rnacentral:lncRNA from 1 species
GGUUUUCAAUCUUGGUGGUUCCUGGUAUGGGACAAACGUUGCUCCCUUGGUGAUGGACCCAGGCCAGGGCUAGCUGCGAUGGGGUGCAUCCCUUCCUUGCCGCAAUUUUAUUAACUCGCUCAAAUAUGUUACUAUUGUCCUUUAGAUUCUCAGGGUGGAACCUUGGUAGAUCCUGCAGUACAUGAAAUUCAUGUAAGUACUUCAACAAUACAGAACACAGCUAUAGUUUUUAAACGUAAAGACAAUAUAAUGGAGAAGAGUAUUCGUUCCAACUUAAAGACAAAUUAGUAGCUACAGAAUAUUGGUUAUUUGGAGACCAGUGGAACAGAAAUUAAACUAAUCAAAAUUCGGUAUGAGAAACCGGGACACGGCACAAGGGUUCCAUGGUGUAGUGGUUAGCACUCUGGACUUUGAAUCCAGCGGCCUUGGUUCGACUCCCGGUGGGAUCUUCCUUCACAUGAAUUUCUUACUCUUAAGUGCAUUUUUUGUCUUCCCUUUUAAGCAAAUUUUCACAUAUUCAUUGAUGGUGAUGGGUAAUGCAAUGUUGGUCGUGUGUACAAACCUUCCUGUAGUCAUCCUGUGACAAGUUCUCAACCAGCUUCGGUCCUGAAGAAAAGAAACCCCUCCCCAGUGGGCUAUAUGCAACAAUCCCAAUUCCAAGUUCUCUGACCAAACAACAAACAUGAGGAGUUACGAAUCUAGAUUUUCAAACACUUCUUACUUAAACAGCUUUUUCAGUCUCCAUAGAUGCUUCACCUGCAAGUAGGAACUAUGUCUUCCUCUACAUCUCUUGACCACAAGGACCACUCCAACUGCACAGCUGAUAUGGGAUGGACUGCAUGUGCUCUUCUGAUUGUUGAAGCAGAGGCCUCACUCAGACCUAUGUACUUUAUUUUACCCUCGUCAAAAAGUUUCUUCAUUUCUCCCAUCUUCAAAAAAAGACAUGAAGUUAUGACAGAGAGCUCUAAAGGGCAAUAAUGGAUGGUGAUCCAAGGGGAUAAUCCAAAUAGUUAGAUCACUACAAGAAACUCAAUGGAACGAAUUUCCAUGAGAGGUCUCAAUCUGCAAAGUUGAGAGUUGAGGCCUUCAUUGAUGUGGAUUAGGCCAGGAGUGUUACUGAUUGUUGAUCAACAUCUAGUUAUUAUACAUUUGUUAAAGAUAAUUUGGUGAAUUAGAGAAGUAAAAAACAGUCAGUGAUGGCUAGGUUUAACGUGGAAGUAGAGUUUAGAUCUAUGGCACAAGGGAUAUGGGACCUUAUGAGACUAAGGAUUCUUAAAGAGUUACGAGUGAAUGUUAAAAUGUCCAUGAGACUAUAUUGUGACAACAUGGUAGUUAUUAGCAUUGCUUAUAAUUUUGUACACCAUUAUCAUACAAAGCAUGUGGAAGUUGAUCGACAUUUUAUCCAAGGACCAAUUAGCAAAUACUUUUACUAAAGGUAUCACAAGCCUUAUGCUUGGAAGUAUUACUAGUAAGGUUAUAGUAUUUUAUUAUUCUUCUCCCUCUCAUGAGAGGUUAUGUCAUGGAACAAUGAAAGGGAUGAUUGAAUAGUUAUAGGUUUUUAUAAUGAACUCAACUUAAUGACUUAAAAGGGAUUUCAAUAUUUCAAUUUAAUAAACUAUUAUGACUUAAUAACUUAAGUCAUCAAGCAAAUUAAUCAUGCUAGGUAAAAUAACUUAAUAUUAUAAUUUAAAGAAAAAAAUUAAAUAUUAAGUUAAAAUAAUUCUUAAAUCUCUUUUGCCAUAUUUGUUCAUAUCUAAUGGGAGUUUAUUUUACAACCGUGAAUAUACAUCCAGAACCUUUUUUUAUGGUUAAUAUUUUGUAGUUAUUUUAUAUAUCUAUGAUACUUUUGAUAUGAAUAUGUAACAAAUAAAUUUAUUGUUGAUUAUUAAUUAAUGAAGGUAAAUAUUAGUUAAAAUCAAUAAGAAGUAAAUAUGUUAAUUUGAUGAUUUAGAAAAAAUAAAUUAAGUUAACUUUAUCAAACAAUCUUAAUGGUUAAAGUUAAAAUUAAGUAAUAAGUUUCAAGUGAAUAAUUUAAUUUAAAAUCAACUUAAAUCAUUGAAUAAAAAUUAUUAGUGACUUUAAGAAUAAUUUAACUUUAAAUUAACUUAAGUCAUUAAGUAAAAAACAAUAAGGGCUUGUUUGGUUGUUGUUUAUAAGAACUGUUUUCUGUUUUUGAAAACAAAAAAUACUAAAAACCUAUUUGAUAGGGGAAAUAGUUUUUGUUUUUAUUGUUCCCCGUGUUCUCAAAAUAACUCUUUUUAGAAAACAAAAAAAACAUUGUUUUUCUUGUAUUUUUAACUAUUUAGAGAACAAAAAAAGGUAUUAGAGAAUAGGUUCUUCUCAAUGUUUUUCUUGUCCAUGUUCUCACCUUUCCCCAGUGGUUCCUCCUCUAGCUUAGUGGUUUCUCCUCUAGCACAAUGGUUUCUCCUCCGAUAAAUGAAUUAUGCAUGUAAAAAUUAUUUAUAUAUUUAUAAUAUCACAUUAAUUGAAGAAAACACUUUAUUAAUUGAAAAAAAAAAACACAACAUCCAAAUAUAUUUUUUGUUUUACUUGCUUUAAAAACCUUUUUAUUAAUUCAACCAAAAAUGUUUUUCUUUUUGUUUUUCAGAAUAAAAACUGUUUCCAGAAUUCAAUUCCUAAACACACACACAUACACACACACACGCACACACACACACACACACACACACACACACACACACACACACAUAUAUAUAUAUAUAUAUAUAUAUAUAUAUAUAUAUAUAUAUAUAUAUAUAUAUAUAUAUAUAUAUAUAUAUAUAUAUAUAUAUACAUUUUUUUGAAAAUACACAAAAUUGUUCUGAAAAACAGUUUUCAAGAACAUUUUUCAAAAACAAUAACCAAACAGGCCAUAAAUUUUUCUAGACUCCUUAAUAAUAAUUUAACUUAAAGUUAACUUGAAACAUUAAAUAAUAAAUAUUAAGUUUUAUGAACACCUUCAAACUCUAAACGCUUGUCCUAUUCAUAGACUUUUAUCUACUCAUUUAUUAUGAUAGGAUUGCGUGGUUUUACUUUUUAUAUAGCAUAGUUUUCAAAAUUAAUUUGUUGGGGAUUGUUUUUGAAAAUGAAACAGUUUUUGAGAAUUGUUUUUAAAAAUAGUUGUUCUUUGGUGUUUUAUAGAAUAAAAAUAUGUUUAUGAACUUGAAUUAUUCUUAACAUAUUUUCCAAGUUUUCAAAUAUUUUAAUUUUUUAUUUAUUUAUAGUGUUUGAUUUUUAGUUAUUUUUCAUAUUUGUAUAAUUUUUUUUUGAAAUAGACCUUAGAAAAUAAGUGAAAAUAAUUGAAAACAACCAUUCUCAAAAAAUAAAAAACUAGACUUUGUCUGGCAAUUUUUCUUAAAACAAUUUUUUGUUCUUUAGAAAAAAAAAAAAGAAAAUAUGUUUGAAAACUAUAAAAUAGAAAUAGUUUUCCAUUCUUAAAAACAAAAAAAUAUGGUUUUUUUAAGAGAACAUUUUCUAGUUGUUUUUCCAAGGAGUACUAUUUUAAAAAAUGAUCAUAUAAAUAUAAAAAAAUGAUUAAAAAUAAAAUAAAGUGGCGACCGACCUCCAAUCACUUCUUGAGGGUGUUCAAAAGAAUAAAUGGACUAUGAGAAGGAAAAUAGGGGUCCCGUUAGCUCAAGAUUGGAUGUAUCAAUUUUUCUCAAGGAUAUACCUAGGUUUCCAAAGUUCAUUUUGGAGUAGGGAACGAUUUCUAAUCAUUUCCCAAAGAUCCCUAAUGGAAUAAACGAAUCAUGGGUAAUAAGAUAGAGGUCUCGAUAGCUGAAGGAUUGGAUAUACCAAAUAUUUUUAAGGAUGUACCAAAUUUUAUGAAGAAUAUACCGAAUUUUGUAAAUAAUGUAUCAAAUUUUGUAAAUGAUAUGCCAAAGGUGCCAAAGUCCAUUCCGAGGUGGGGAAUGACCUUCAAUUAGUACUUGAGGGUCCUCAAAGGAUAAUAUGGAUCAAAUUUUCUUAAUGAUGUACCAAAUUUCAUUAAAGAUGUACCUAGAAUUCCAAAGUUUGUUUCAGAGUAGGGAAUCACCUCCAAUUACUUCCCAAAGAUCCCUAAAGAAAUAGACAAAUCAUGAGAAAUAAUAUAGAGGUCUUGGUAGCUCAUGAAGUGGAUGUGCUAUUUUUUUAAGGAUGUAACAAAUUUUGUAAAAGAUAUAUUAAAUUUUAUAAAGGAUGUACCAAAUUUUUUAAAGGAUGUGCUAAGGAGGCAAAGUCUGUUUUGAAGUGCGGAACGACCUCCAAUCACUUCCUAAGGUUGUCUAAAGGAAUAAAUGCACAAUGAGAAGGAAGAUAUGUGUCCCAUUAGCUUAAGGAUUGGAUGUACCAAAUUUUCUUAAGGAUAUACCUAGGGUUUGAAAUUUUGUUUCCUAGUAGGGAACAAUCUCCAAUCACUUUCCAAAAAUCCCUAAAGGAAUCAAUGAACCAUAGGUAUUAAGAUGGGGGUCCCAGUAGCUCAAGAAUUGGAUGUACCAAAUUUUUUUAAGGAUGUACCAAAUUUUGUAAAGAAUGUACCAAAUUUUGUAAGUGAUGUAUCAAGGGUUUCAAAGUCCACAUCGAGGUGGGGACUGACCUCCAAUCAUUUCCCAAGGGUGUCCAAAUGAAGAAAUGGACUAUGAGAAGGGAGAUAGGUGUCCCAUUAGCUCAAGGAUUAUAUGUAUCAAAUUUUCUCAAACCUAGGGUUCCAAAGUCUGUUUUAGAGUAUGGAACGAUCUCUAAUCAUUUUCCAUAGAUCCUUAUAGGAAUGAACGAACCAUGGGUAAUAAGAUAGGGUUCCCGGUAGCUUAAGAAUUGGAUAUACCAAUUUUUUUUUUUAAGAAUGUACCAAAUUUUAUGAAAGAUAUACCAAAUUUGGUAAAAUGAUGUACCGAGGUUGCCAAAGUCCGUUCCAAGAUGGGGAACGACCUCCAAUCACUUCCUGAGGGUCUCCAAAGGAAGAAAUGGACCAUAGGAAGGAAGAUAGGUGUCCAAUUAGCUUAAGAGUUGGAUGUAUCAAAUUUUCUCAAGGAUGUACCUAGGGUUCCAAAGUCCGUUUUGGAUUUGGGAACGACCUCCAAUCACUUUCCAACGAUCCCUAAAGGAAUAAAAAUAUCAUGGGUAAUAAGAUAAGGGUCUUGGUAGUUCAAGGAUUGGAUGUACCAAAAUUUGUGAAUGAUGUACCAAAUUUUGUAAAGAAUAUACCAAGGGUGCUAUAGUUCGUUCCAAAAUGGGGACUUACCUCCAAUCAGUUUCCAAGGGUCUCAAAGGGAAGAAAUGGACUAUGUGAAAGGAGAUAAGUGUCCCGUUAGCUCAAGGAUUGGAUGUAUCAAAUUUUCUAAAGGAUGUACCUAGGGUUCUAAAGUUUGUUCUGGAGUAGGAAAUGAUCACCAAUCAUUUUCCAAAGAGCCCUAAAGGAAUAAAUAGACCUUAAGGUAAUAAGAUAGGGAUCUCGAUAGUUCAAGGAUUAGAUGUAUCGAUUUUUUUUAAGGAUGUACCAAAUCUUAUGAAGGAUGUACCAAAUUUUAUAAAACAUGUAGCAAAUUUUGUAAAAGAUGUACCAAGGGGGCUAAAGUCUGUUCCAAAGUGGUGAAUGACCUCUAAUCACUUCUUAAGGCUAUUCGAAGGAAUAAAUUGACCAUAGGAAGAAAGAUAGGUGUCCUGUUAGCUCAAAGAUUGGAUAUAUCAAAUUUUCUUAACAAUAUACCUAGGGUUCCAAAGUCAGUUUCAGAGUAGGAAACAAUUUCCAAUCACUUUCCAAAGAUUCCUAAAAGAAUAAACGGACCAUGGGUAAUAAGAUAGGGGUCUCGAUAGCUCAAGGAUUGGAUAUACCAAUUUUUUUUAAUGAUGUACCAAAUUUUGUGAAGGAUGCACCAAAUUUUGUAAAGGAUGUACCAAGUUUACCAAAGUCCAUUUCGAGGUGGGGAACGACCUCCAAUCACUUCCUGAGGGUCUCUAAAUGAAGAAAUGGACAAAGGGAAGGGAGAUAGGUGUCCCAUUAGCUCAAGGAAUUGAUGUAUCAAAUUUUCUCAAGGAUGUACCUAAGGUUCCAAAGUCCGUUUCGGAGUAGGGAAUGACCUCCAAUCACUUUCCAAAGAUCCCUAAAGGAAUGAACAGAUCAUGGGUAAUAAGAUAGGGGUCUCAGUAGCUCAAGGAUUGGAUGUACCAAAUUUUGUAAAGGAUGUACCAAAUUCUGCAAAGUAUGUACCAAGGUUGCCAAAGGCUGUUCUGAGGUAGGAAACAACCUCCAAUCACUUCCCAAGGGUCUUUAAAUGAAGAAAUUGACCAUAAGAAGAAAUACAGAUGUCCAAUUAGCUUAAGGAUUGGAUGUAUCAAAUUUUCUCAAGGAUGUAUCUAGGGUUCCAAAGUUCAUUUUGGAGUAAGCAACGACUUCCAAUCACUUUCCAAAGAUCCCUAAAGGAAUAAAUGGGCCAUGGGUAAAAAGGUAGGGGUCCUGGUAACUCAAGGAUUGGAUGUACCAAAUAUUUUUAAGGAUGUACCAAAUUUUGUGAAUGAUGUACCAAAUUUUAUAAAGGAUGUAUCAAAUUUUGUAAAGGAUGUACCAAGGGGGUCAAAGUUGGUUCCGAAGUGGGAAACUAUGUCCAAUCACUUUCUAAGGUUGUCCAAAGGAAUAAAUUGACCAAGGGAAGGAAAAUAGGUGUCCUGUUAGGUCAACGAUUUGAUGUAUCAAAUUUUCUUAAGGAUGUACCUUGGGUUCCAAAGUUUGUUUCAGAGUAAAAACUCUAAUUACCUUCUAAAGAUCCUUAAAGAAAUAAAUGAACCAUGGGUAACAAUAUAGAGGUCUCGAUGAUUCGUGGUUCCCAACUGGUGUCUUCUAAUUCAGUCCUCAGACGGGAGUAAUCAACAAAAUUUAUAACCUAUUUCACCAUGUACUAGGAUAGCCUCAGCUAGCAUAGCAUAGUGGCUCUAGGAUCGUUCAUUGGGAUGGGUUUUCAUUUCACACAUGAUAUUAGUUUAAAGAAUUGGAUUGGUGCUUUUUCUUUUCUAAGUUAGCUUGAAAAGAAAACAUAAACUUUGAUUUGGAAAAGGUUGGUUUUAAGCUAACAAAAAAUAGUAACUGAGUUUAAUUACAAAGAAAAUGGUCUCUUGGAUUUUCAGGUCACUAGGUUUAGGCUCUUUAUACAAAAGUGGAGAUUUCGGAUCUUUCCUCGCGUUGGGGAUUUAACCUAUAGUUAUCCUCCCAACCGGUGUGUUACAGUUGCUUCUCAUUAAUGGUUUCAACGCUAAUUCCCUCUCACUGAUGCAUCUUGCAAUGACUCGUGCCUCUCACCUAGCAUUUGCCAUUCAAGGUGAUCCUUAACCUUGGAUUACCCUUCACAAGCUCGCAAGAGAUAACUAAUGGAUGUCUCCUUAGAGUCCAAAAGCUUACCAAGUGUUGGCUAUUCUAGAAAAUCCUACCUUUAAACCACCUACCAGAGGCUUGCAAGAGAUAAACUAGUGUAACUCAAUGGAUGGAGUCCACUUGCCUUACCAAGUGUUGGCCCAGGUGAUUUUAAGGCGUUUUAAGUUAACUAAAAAUAUAAAAACCAUUAACGGGUCACAACUUCCUCUUCAUUAAAAAUUGAAACAAGGAAAACUCCCACUUUUGUAGUCGGGUCCCUUACCAAGCUCCCUUCCGUCCAAGAGACAAAAAGUCUAGCCACUCAUCCUCUGAGAAAACAUCUUCAGAGGUUGUUUGGUUAGAAUGAAAAAUACAAUCAAAAUGAGAAGGUAAGGUAGAGCAACGCUCUGUAUAUUUCUUAUUAAAACAUGUAUAAGUGAUCCACUCUCUAAUGUCUUCCCCUCUUCAGAGAGAUGAGAGAUAUCAGAGAUGUCUCAGAGAUUGUGAUUGUAUCAGGGGAUUAUGGGGGAUAGAUAUUACAAGGAGAUAUCUUAGGAUAUAUAAAGAGAGAUAUUUUCAACCUCUUAAUUAGAUAUCCUAAAUAUCUUAAAAGAUCUUCAAUUGAUUACAAGGAGAGAAUUGAUAAUUACACCAAAUAUAUUAAGGUAAAAAAAAUCUAAAAGAGUCGGUGUAAAAUAUCUGAUUAUUACAUUUUCGCAUUGGAGAAAGGUGGUGCAAAAAAUUUCGCAUCGGAGAAAGUCAGUGCGAAAAUUUUCACAUUGGGAAAGUGUGCUGCAAAAAUUUUCGCAUUGGGAAAAGUCAGUGCGAAAAUUUUCGCAUCAGGGAAUGUCAAUGCGAAAAUUUUCGCAUCAGGAAAUGUCAAUGUGAAAUUCCUCUUCAGCUUUGCGUAGUUGCCUUCAAUUGGCCAUAACUUCUUCGUUUCAACUCCAAAUUGCACACCGUUUGAAGUGUUGGACUCCUGACUUCUCGAGCUUCUAAAUGAUAUAUAGCAUGUAGAAAAUGGACUCCAUUAAGUGCUCCAAAUUUUCCUUGAAACUUCUGUCCCUUGAAUUUCGCAUAGCAUGUGAAGAUUUCGCAUUACCAUGCAAAAUUGCUUCAUGAUGGAUUUCUUUCUUUGAUCCUCUUCCUUGCAUCUCUUGAUUGGCUUUGAAACUCAUUCCCAAGGGUUGCACAAAGUUCUCCUUGAUUCUUGGUUUGCUUCAAUGAUAAAAAAGCUACCAAAAACACCAAAACUAGCCAAAAAUUGAUUAAAAACAUUUGCAAGGGUCCUUAACGUGCCAAUUGAGUGAAAAUGUAUUAAUUACUACUCAAAAGUGUUUAAAAGAGUUUAUAACAAGCUAUAAAAGAGCACUUUUUAAGUGGUAAUCACUCAAUAGCUUAUGGAUUGGGUGUACCAAAUUGUUUUAAGGAUAUGUUAAAUUUUGUGAAAGAUGUACCAAAUUUAUAAAGGUUGCACCAAAUUUUUUAAAAGAUGUACCAAAUUUUGUAAAUGAUGUACCACAAUUUCCAAAGUUCGUUUCAAGGUGGGGAACGACCACCAAUCAUUUCUCAAGGGUCUUUAGAGAAAGAAAUGGACCAUGGGAAGGGAGAUAGGUGUCCUGUUAGCUCAAAGAUUGGAUGUAUAAAAUUUUCUCAAGGAUGUACCUAAGGUACCAAAGUCCGUUUCGGAGUAGGGAACGACAUCCAAUCACUUUCAAAAGAUCUCUAGAGGAAUGAACGGACCAUGGGUAGUAAAUAGGGGUCCUGAUAGCUUAAGGAUUGUAUGUAUCAAUUUUUUUUAAUGAUGUACCAAAUUUUAUGAAAGAUGUACCAAAGUUUAUAAAGGAUGUACCAAAUUUUGUAAGGGAUGUACCAAGGUUGCCAAAGUCCAUUCUGAGGUGGGGAACGACCUCCAAUCGCUUCCUAAGGGUCUCCAAAGAAAGAAAUGGACCAUGGAAAUGGAGAUAGGUGUCUAAUUAGCUUAAGGAUUGGAUGUAUCAAAUUUUCUCAAGGAUGUACCUAGGGUUUCAAAGUCUUUUUCGGAGUUGGGAACAACCUCCAAUCGCUUUCCAAAGAUCCCCAAAGGAAUAAACGAACCAUGGGUAAUAAGAUAGGGGUCUUGGUAGCUCAAGGUUGGACGUACCAAUUUUUUAUUUUUUUAUUUUUUUUAAUGAUGCACCAAAUUUUAUUAAGGAUGUACCAAAUUUUGUAAAGGAUGUACCAAGGGUACUAAAGUUCGUUCCAAGGUGGGGAACAACCUCCAAUCACUUCCUGAGGGUCUCGAAAGAAAGAAAUGGACCAUGAAAAGGGAGAUACGUGUCCCGUUAGCUCAAGAAUUGGAUGUUUCAAAUUUUCUCAAGGAUGUACCUUGGAUUCCUAAGUCCAUUUUGGAGUAGGGAAGGACUUCUAAUCACUUUCCAAAGAUCCCUAAAUGAAUAAACGUACCAUGGGCAAUAAGAUAGGGGUCUUAGUUGCUCAAGGAUUGGAUGUACCAAAUUUUGUGAAGUACCAAAUUUUAUAAAGGAUAUACAAAAUUUUGUAGGGGACCAAAGUCUGUUUCGAAGUAGGGAACGACUUCCAAUCACUUCCUAAGUCCGUCUAAAGGAAUAAAUAGACCAUGGGAAGGAAGAUAGGUGUCUCGUUAACUCAAGAAUUGGAUGUAUCAAAUUUUCAUAAGAAUGUGCCUAGGGUUCCAAAGUUUGUUUCGGAGUACGGAACGACUUCCAAUCACUUUCGAAAGAUCCCUAAAGGAAUGAACGAAGCAUGACUAAUAAGAUAGGAGUCCUUGUAGCUCAAGGAUUGGAUGUACCAAAUGUUUUUAAGGAUGUACCAAAUUUUGUGAAGUAUGUACUAUAUUUUGUAAUGGAUGUACCAAAUUUUUUAAAGGAUGUACCAAGGUUUCAAAAGUUCAUUCUGAGCUGGGGAACGUUCUCCAAUCACUUCCUAAGGGCCUUCAAAGGAAGAAAUGGACUAUGAGAAGGGAGAUAAGGAUCCCGUUAGCUCAUGGAUUGUAUGUAUCAAAUUUUCUCAAAGAUAUACCUAGGGUUCUAAAGUCCGUUUCGAAGUAGGGAACGACCUCUAAUCACUUCCCAAAGAUCCUUAAAGGAAUAAACAAAUUAUGGGUAAUAAGAUAGAGGUUUUGAUGGCUCAAGGAUUGUAUGUACCAAAUAUUUUAAAGGAUAUACCAAAUUUUGUAAAGGAUGUACCAAAUUUUGUGAAAGAUGUACCAAAUUUUGUAAAUGAUGUAUCAAAUUUUGUAAAGGAUGUAUCAAAUUUUGUAAAGGAUGUACAAAGAGUGCCAAAGUUCGUUUCGAGGUAGGGAAUGGCCUCCAAUUACUACCUAAAGGUCUUCAAAGGAUAAUAUGGACCAUGGGAAGAUAGAUAGGGGUCUUGAUAGCCCGAUGAUUGGAUAUACCAAAAUUUCUUUACAAUGUACCAAAUUUCCGUAAGGAUGUACCUAGGGUUCCAAAAUUCAUUUUAGAGUAGGGAAUGACUUCUAAUUACUUCCUAAAGAUCCCUAAAGAAAUAAAUGAACCAUGGGUAAUAAUAUAGAUGUCUCAGUAGCUCAUGGAUUGGAUGUACCAAAUUGUUUUAAGGAUGUGCCAAAUUUUUUGAAAGAUGUAUUAAAUUUUGUAAAGAAUGUACCAAAUUGUCUUUAGGACGUACCUUGGGUUCCAAUGUCCUUUCUAGGGUGGGGAACAACCCAUAAUUUCUUCUCGAGGGUCCCCAAUGGAAUAUAUGAACUAUGAGAAUGGUGAUAGGGGUCUUGGUUCCUCUAAGAAUGGGUAUACCUAAGAUUCCAAAGUUCGUUUUGGGGUAGGCGAGGACCUCCAAUUACUUGUUGAGGGUCCUAAAUGAUGAAUUUACCUAUUUUUUUUUUAAGAAUAUGCCAUGAUAAGUAUGAUAGUGGUUCUGGUUUCCCUAUGUAUGAAUUUACCUUUUUUUUUUUUUUUUGAAGAAUGUACCUAUUUUUUUUUAUGAAAUUAAUAUAAAUGUUAAGUACAAUUUUUAUUUUUAUGAAAAAAUAUAUUUUCUUUUAUAAUUUAUUUUAAUUUAAAAUUAAAUAUUUUAACCAAACAAAAAGUUAGAUCCACAAUCAAAUUAAAAUUAUAAGAAAAAUGAUAAAAACACCAUCACUUAUUGUGAUUUUGAUUUGAUGAAUUUAAAAUGAAAAUUAAAAGAAAAAUAAUGUCAAUAAUAAGAUAAUAUUACAAAGAUAUUUUUACUUUUACAUGUGAUAGAAUUUGCAAAAUAAAUAAAUCUUUUGUUUAGUAUUAAUAUAAAAAAUCUUAUAUCAUUAACCUCUAAAUAAUAAAAUAGAAUUUUUAAAUUUAAACCUUAAUUUAUCAAAUUUAUUAUUAUAAUUAAUAUUUAAAAUCAUCAAGUAUAUUAUUUGUGGAAUAAUAUUUUCAUUUUUGUCCAUGAUAUAUUUUUGUUUUUAUUUAAUUUGUUAUAUUAACUAUUUAUUAUAUAUUAUCAUUUUAAGUUUAAUAUGUCAAAAAAUAAUUAAAAUCAAUAAAUAUGGAGAAGUUAGAGAGUAAAAAAAUAAAAAUAAAAUUAAAGAAGUUUUAUAAGAAAAUACAUGAGCAUAUUAAAAAGAAUAUAAAGGAAAAAGAGAAAAAAAAUAAUAAAAACUAUAAUAGGUGACAACGGAUUAUUAUGAAAGGAGAGGAAAAGAAAAAGAAGAAAAGAAAAAAAAGAAAAAAAAUGGGAACAUGGCAAGUGGUAAGUGAGAUAUAUUGAUGUGAGAGAAAUAAUAAAAAUAAAUGAGACAUGUAUUUGUUAACAUGUGGUAUUAAAUUAGUGUGUACUUUGUCUUUUACUUUUGAGGGUAAUUGUGGAACGAUUUUGAAAGCACAAUUGGAGUGCAUGAAUAGACAAUAUUUUUACCCAUUUUACACUAAAAUUAAAAAACAAAAAGCAAAGUUCUAAAAUCUCAUGUUUUUGUUAGUUGAUGUAUAGUUAUAUUAUUUCCCCUUUUAAGUUUUAACAUAAGUUUUGUAAAAGGGUUAAACCUUACAUUUGUUUUUAUGAAAGGGUUAUUUUGCCCCAAAACUCUAGUUUAACCGUAAAAUAACACAUAGGCAACAUGAUUUAAAAUUCAUUCAAUUUUUUAUUAGAAUAAUUAAUAAAAAUCUUUUCCAUUAAAAUAUUUAUUAAUUUUUUUUUUUAAAACCAACUUUGUGUACCCUUUGAAUUUCUCUAGUUUAACGCUAUUCUAGGUAAGAUACCGAAAACAUGGUUUUUAGUGGAUAUCUAAAAGCUUGAUUCAAUAGGUAACUAACACGGAUAAAAGACAAAAAUCUAAUUAUUUUAUUCGAUCUAAAGCAAAUAAAUAAAUAAUUUUUUUUAUGAAAAUGUAAUUUGAAUAUAUUUGUAUAGACCCUUAUUUUAGGUUCAUAGGGAGACUCAUAUGUUUUGGCUAUUUUUUUGAAGGCUUCUAGACAUUUCUAGAGAGUUCAAUAGGUGGAGACAUGUAGUAGAGAGAGGUUUUUCUUUUUCUUCUACUGGGUGGUUUUGGGAUAAAGAUCUCUAAUGGGUCGGGCCGCCUAUUUUGGCUCAUGGCCUGACACACCAAAAGGCUAGUUCGGGUCGGCAUGACCCAGUUACUAUAGAGGGUCGGGUUGUCAUGACCCAAAGAAGCAGGUCGUGCUAGGCCUAAAGAGAUGACCCCGUUGUGCCAUCGUGCCAACCUAUCAUACUGACCCACUUGGCUAAUUCAAAUAUUACUUUUACUUUUUAUUACAUGUCAAAUAUCUAUAAUACCCCUUUUAAUAACUAUAUAACGACCAGUUUGAGGGAUAAAAAAGUGAAUCAAUAGUUAUUUUUUCUUUUUCACAUCAAAUGUCUAUAUUAUCCCUACCAACAACUAUAUAAUGACUAGUUUAAAUGAUAAAUAAGUAAAUCACUCACUAUUAGUAUUUUUAUAUGUCAAAUAUCUAUAAUAUCCCUUUCAACAACUACAUAAUAGUUAGUUUUAGGAGUUAAUAAGUAAAUGACUCACAAAUGAUUUUCUAUAAAUACUCCUAUGGACCCAUAUUUUUCACGUGCGUCCCCACUUGAAACAACGUGAUUCGUUUUUUAUUUGGUAAAAGAUUGAUUUUUGAAAAAAAGUUGGAAUCGCUACUUAUUUUAGUUUAUUUUUAAAAGAAAAAAUAAAAUAAGAAAGAAAACCUUGUGUGACUCCUUAUUUGGAAAAUAAAAAUAAAAUUGAGUCUAGAUUCGAGGGUCAAGUUACCUAUCAAGAAGGUACGGUGGUGAGCCUAUGGUCUCUACUAAACAAAUUGAGGAAACUGUGACAAUUAAUUAAUUAAUCAUGAAUACCAGGAAAAAAAAAAGGAAAAGAAAGAAAUACACAUAAGUCAGGGUAAAUAUCAAACUACAAGAAUAAGCAAAAUAAAUGAAAUGAGAAAGUUAUGAAUCGAUUUAUUAGGUUAAUUAAAAGAAGGUUUUAUUAUUUCAAAUGUCACGACGUGGUAUUAAGAUAAUUUUGAACGAAACUAUUGGCAGAAGAAUUUUGGGUUAAUGUUUUUAAUUUACAAAAAAAUGUUUUAACUUAAAAAAAAUACCGAAUAAUUUUAUUUGAAUUGAAUUGAAUCGGAUUUUUAUUUUCAAGAAAGUCAUCCUUACUUAUUACUAUUAAGAGAAUUUAUUGAGUGAAAAUAUGUAUAUAAAUUAAAUAAAUUAAAAUAAAAAGAUUUUAUUUAUUCGAAAAAUAAUUUUUAUUUACUUUUGCUAGAGAGAAUGAAUUUGGUAGUUUUAUUUACAAAGGUAUUUUAAUUUAAUUCUUAUUUAAGAAAAGUGAUUUUUAUGAAUUGUUUAGAAAAAUACUUUUUAUAAAUUUAUGUACAAAAUAAAUUUCAAUUCAAUUUUAUUUGUAACCAAAUUAAUUUUUAUUUUUAUUUUUUGGUAUACAAAAGUGAUUUAUAUAUAUAUAUAUAUAUAUAUAUAUAUAUAUAUAUAUAUAUAUAUAUAUAUAAGUGUGUAUGUGUGUGUGUAUGUAUAUAUAGAGAGAGAGAGAGUGAAGAAAAUAAAAGGUAAAAAACACAACUAAAAAGAAAACAUAGAAACAAAUAUUAAAACAUAAAAAAAUUAUAAACUCAAAAAGAUUGGGGAAAGAAAAUACAAGAAAACAAUUAAAAAAAAAUCUAAUUUAUUUCCCUAUCAUUUCUCUUUCUCCUUAUUUAUUUACAAUUCUUGCAUUUAUAGAUAUGAAGUUUCCUUUGUCCCUUACUGCUCUGAAACCGUCCUAUUAAGCUAAGCUACCUACCCAUGUUGGUGCUCUAAGUGUGGAAUGUCAUUGUGGAGCGGCUAACUACACUUUUUUUCUUUUUAGUAUGAUAACAUAGUGAUAUGGGUGGAUCAAUAAACUCUCUAAGGGCAUUAAGUGCUACGCAACCUUGAGUGUGCAAUGAUAGGAAGGUGUAGCAUGAGCUCAAGGUGGAGCAAUCGAAGCAAUGCAUUAAAGUAGAAACUAUCUAGGAUAAGCUUCAUAGAUGAAGGAGAGAAGUGCGUACUUAUGAAUUGGAGAGGUGUGUGGUGUUAUUAAAGGAAAAUUCUGUACUUAGGGUUGCUGAGGUGUGCUUAGCUUAUUAGUAAAAAAUAACACACUUAUGGUUGUAAGGGUGCGCUUUGUGAGUGUUAUGUAAGCUGGGGUAGUGAAGUGUGCUUCCUUCUUCGUGUAUGUAAGUAGUGCACAAUUGUUGAAGUGCCUAAGGGAAGUGUGAUAAUUACUUGAGUGAAAAAAAAAGACCCUUAUUCAUCACAUUUCCACUACUACCACUGAAAUUUUAAUUUUAAAUGUAAGUUGAAGGUGAUUUGUGGAUUGAUGUGUCAUGGAAAUGGAUAAUUGGGAGUCAUUGGUCCGAAUUAGGUUUACUAGUCAUUUUACUCCCUAAAAGCAUUGUUCCAUAAACAUGUCUAAUUAGUGCUAGGUAUCUUUCUCUUUAGUGAGACAUGAUGAUUUUCAACAAUAAACAAAAUAGAAAUAAAAGUGAUACAAAAGAGAUUGUGAACUAAUGGACCUAAGCAAAUAAAUGAACCAUUCUUUAUAAUAAAAACACUUUUAUUGAAAUAAAUUGAAUAAUUCGAUUUAUUUAUACUAGAAAUUGAAAUCAAGUUCCUUCUAAACUCAGGUACAUAAAGACAAUCCUUGAGUUUUAGAUGUUUAUUAUUCUCUAAUACUAGGGUAAUGUCUCACACUGCUUACAUAACAAUCCUUGCAGUAGAUGUUAAAGUCAAGUACAUCUUUUCUUCAUUCAAAAAUUUCCUUAGUUAAAACCCCUAUAUAGAAUUAUAGAUAUGGUUAGUGGCCCUAGAAUCUAUCCAUCAUGAAUUGGUGGAAUUCAUUACUAAUCAUGAUUCAACUAAGAAUGAAUAAAGUUUACUUUUUUCUCUUUAGGUAGAUAAGACAUUUUUUCUUCUAGUGGCCCUUCUUACCACAAAUGAAAUAUUUGUUGUUUUCCUUGCUCUUACAUUUCCUAGCCUUAGCCUUUCCUUGUUUGUUUUUUUUUGAAAAUAUUCUUCUUAUUCUAAUUAUGGGAAUAACCUGAAAAAUCUUUCACUACUAUGUGAACACCUCUAGCGUCCUUGAGAAUCCCUUCAACCAUCUAGAGUUAUCUCAUCAAUUAAGGCAAGCUUAUCAUUAACUUAUUCAUAGUAUAAUGAACUUAAACUACUUUAAUGAAUUUGAUAAGAACUCUAGGAUUGUGUUGACCUAGGUUUCCCAAUUAAUCUCAGCUCUAAGGGUCUUUGUCUCAUUAAAGAGUUCAAUCAUAUUAAUUAUAUGAUCUCUAAGGGGAAUUUCUUCUAUCAUCUUAGUGUUCGUAAUGAACCUUAGGGCAACUUGCCUAGCUAACCUAUCCUUAUCACCAAACAUCUUCUAUAGGCUUAACAAAAUAUCAUAGCUAGUGGAAAUACCUAUGUGUUGCUAUUGCAACACAUUAUUAAGAGACCUAAGUAUAAUACAAUGGACCUUCUCAUCUGCUCCUUGCCACUAGGAAUGAGCAUUUUUAUUUUCCUGCAUGGAAAAAUCAUUAUGAUUUGGGAAUAAGUGGAGCAAACUCCUAACUUACCCAUUUCAACUGUUCUAUAGUGAGCACUAUGUCUAAGAUUAUUUUCCAACCAACAUAAUUUUGUAUGUUCAACUUAUUAUCAGUGAGAAUAAGAGUGAUAGGGUUAUAAGACAUGAUUCUUGUAACAAAUAAAACAUUCCCUAGAUUAUUAAAGGAAACUGAUCAUUUAAGGAAAGAUCAUAAUAAAUUUAGAAAAAAUGUAGUUCACUCAAAUACAUAUAUCUAUGCAAGGUAUCCUAGUGUCACAAAAAUUAAGCCUACUUUAGGUAGGACAUGAUUUUUAUUACUAGGAUAGAAACCCUCUUUAAUUUAUCAACCUACCUUAAACCUUAAAAGGUUGUUCUAAGGUAUUAAUUAACAUACCUUUUUGUUCGACUUGCAGCAUAUGCAAGUAGGACCACUUUAGGUGAUUCUAUGACUUUAUGUUUAAGUCAAGUGUAUAACCAAGAUCCUUGUCAUCAAUGUUACCGAGUGAAAAGUUCCAUAUUUUGAAUUGACUACUCCCAGUACAAACAUAUAUGGUAUUGUCCAAUAAGUAUAGUAUAUGUCUUGAUUCCUUAGGUUAUCUCAUCUUUAGGAUGGUGAUAGAUCCAAAAUCAAGAUGAGCUUGAUAUUGGAGGUUGUGGGCUUUCCUAUGAUUCUCUCUCUCUUAAUAUUUUGAAAUAAAAGACUUUAAGUAAAUUUAGGUAAGCUUCUUAAAAUAUCCAUCAUGAGAUUUUUCCAAAAUCCUUAUUUAUUACUUGAAUUGGAAUGAUAAUGCUAAAUAGGAAUUACUUUAAUAUUAUUUAUCCUUGAACAUUCAUUUCCAAAUAUAGUUCUUUUUCUCUUGUGGGGAUAAAGCCUGAAGAACUUAGUGUUAUGUUCCUUCACUCAAGGUGGGAAAGCUUGGAGGACCAUCUUAGUGUUGUUCUCUUUAUUUUAGGAUUGGAAAGUUUGGAAAACCAUCUAACCUAAAACAAUGGGAAAGUUCCAAAAGGAAUGGCAAUCCAAUAAUAACAACAUCCAAUUCUAAAAUAAAUAAUGUUGAAAAAAAUCCCCAUGAAAAUUGAUUUUCUAUAAGAAAAUCCAAAAUUACCAUUUUGAAAAAUCUUUUAAUUAGAUUUCCUAUGAUAAGCAUAAAAGGAAAAAUAAAAGUGAGAUUCCCAUGGAUGUAGGGAUCUUAUUACUUAUUUAGUAACCCAAAUAUUUGGAUUUUUAAGAUCCAAACAUAACAAAAAAAGCCUACAACAAAAAUAGGGUUAGUGGCCUUAAAAAAGACCCAAAAUACCCUUAAAAACCCUCAAUAUGACGCAUAAGCCGCUAGAAACACUUAAAGCAACUUUGGGCGUUGGAUACAAAUUCAAGCACUUGAGCGAUUGAUGGCUACUUGCGAUCAUUGGAGAGUUAAUGUAGCCAUUAUUUUAAAAAUUGGACCAGAUUGGCCGGUCAGACCAGUUGAAUUAUCGACCAGUGGCCUUUUUGGUCUAGUUCCCUUUUUUGACUUGUCUACCCAUUGGGCUGGUUUCAAACCGCUUGAACCGACGAUUGGACUGAUGAACUAGGUGAGCUUGACGAGUCAAGACCACCACUUUUUACUUGUUUUAUUUUUGCAAAAUAGGCCAAAUUUCCCUCAUAACCUAAUAUUCUAACCCAUUCCUAUUCUUGUAAAAUGGGCUAUUAUGUCAUACAAUGAGCCCCAUGGCCCAACAACCAUUUGGUUUGUGGAAAAGGUUUAUAAAGCUCUUCAUAUUUCGUCUCAUUUCCAAUGUGGGAUUAUUGUGAAGGGCUUUAAAGAAAAAAAAAGAUUUGUUGUUGCAACAAAGAAGCUUGAAUAGAGGACCUCAAGUUUAUAGUGGGAUAAUCUCGCCACUGUGCUACACCUUUGCUUGUGUAGAAAACUAAUUGGGAACAACUACAUAGGUAUAUAUAUAAAAUUACAUAAUACGAUUUUUUUUUCAUUUUCAAUAUGUUUUCACAUUUAAAUACAUGUUUUUUUUUUCCAUUUUCAAUAUAUUUUCAUAUGUAAUAUUGUAUAUAUUUUGUUUAAUAAAUUUUAAAUAUUAAUACAUUUAUAUAAAAAUGAAUAAAUAAUAUUACAAAUAUUAUUAAUUUUAAAUAAAAUAUAAAUUAUAAAUUUAUGAAAUCACCAGUUCGACCAUGGUUCGACCGCGGUUCAACCACCAGUCUGACCAACGAACUGUGAGCCGGUAACUUUUUUGGUUCAAUGUCCGAUCUGAUUAUGAAAGCAUUGAAUCUAACUUCUCAAGUGAUAUUACAUAUUUGCAUAAUUCAAUGAUGGAUUUCUACAUCUUUGACCAUUGUUUUCUCCAAAAGGACUCAUUUUUCUUCUAAGGGAAUGUGUAGGAACGCCUUGUGAUUGUCUAGAAUGAUUCAUACUUUCCAUGGGUUACAUAGAUUGAUAUUUUUACAUAAAAAUCUAUACUCCAACUAUUUAGAGUUUACAAACCAAUUUACAAAUAAAAUAAAAUAAAAUAAAAAUACAAUGAACAAAAAAACCUAUACCCCUUAUGGGGUUUACAAUCUAUCUAAAGAUCAAUAAAAACAAAUCUAACAAACGACCAUAAUAUAUAAUCAUCAUAUUCAUAGAUAAUAAAAUUUCAUGUACAUAUAGUCAUCUCUUUGGCCCUGGAAUAAAUAAUAAACCUUGUAAAACAAGGAUUAGUACAACCUAAAAGGGAUCUAACAUGUUUUUUCUUAAUCUAGAGCUUUGAUACUAUUUAUUGAGAAUCUUGAAUUACUUCGUUCCUUAUCCCAAAAUCAAGUUUGGUGCAUUCAAAAUUCCUUAGGCUUAUCUAAGUACUAUGUACAACGGAAUACAUGCAUUAAAAAAUAAUUCUAUGAUUUAGAUAAUAAGAUUAGAAUGCUUACCAAUGAUUUGGAUGUUCCCAAAACAUUUCCUUGUAGUGAAAAACAAAUGCGAUGUUGUUGAAGAUCUCGUACACUCACAAUCUUUCACUAGAUGACUCUCCCUUCAUGCUAAGCACUAAAAUGGUGAGAGUUUGGAGGGUGGCAGUUAUGACUCUCUCUUUGGAAUGUAGAUAAUAGUGGUGGUAGAAAACUGAAAUCUUAACUCUUAAGGGGAUAUUUAUAAGGUUCCUAUUGAGCUUAAGUGACUUAAGUCCAACUUGGGCUUGAGUCACUUAAUCUAGUCUAAAAUGGGUCCUAAUUAAUUAAUUAACCCAACAUAGUCGUCUAAUUAAUCACUUAGUCUAAUAUAGAGAUAUCGUUCACUAACCCUUGUGCAACCUUAUGAAAUUACUAAAAUACCCUUAUACACAUAAGUAAACCAAGAGAUGAUCAACCCUUAUAAACCACAUCAUCAAGGUAUAUAAGCUUGAGCGAGGACCUUUGAGACCCAUAGGGCAGUACUGGCUUCCUCAAAAUCUAAUUCUAAAGUUAAUUCAACAUCCCACAACAAAGAAUCAAGUGCAUUCUAUUACCCUAUGUAAAUAAUAAUGAGACAAUAAGUGCUCAAAUUUGUAACUUACUAUCCGUUGUAUAUAGUCUCCCCAUGAUAUGGUGUCCUUAAUCUAACAAGGUUAAAGUUAUCAACCUCUCAAGAUAACCUUGUAGACCCCAAAAUUUGUCCCAAUUUCAUUUUUACAUUAAUUUUGAAGUCAAUUUUAUCCUUAAAUUUAAAUCCUAAUUACAUAUCAUAUUUUUGGACCACUCACCAUUUAAUUAUUAGUUUUUAUUAUUUUGUAUAUUGUUUUAUUUUAUUUUAUUAUUUUACUAUUAUUAUUAUUAUUAUUAUUAUUAUUAUUAUUAUUAUUAUUGUUAUGAUUAUUAUAUUAUAUUAUAUUAUAAUAUAAUAUUUCUUUUAUUUCUUUUUUUCAUUUUUUUCUCUUCUCUCUUAUUUUUCUCCCAUACCUUUCCCAACCAUUCCACCCACUCUCUCUCUCUUGGCCGUACCACUCAUGUCAAGAGACCCAUCCCCUCUCAUCUCUUCACUCUUCCUUCUUUUCUCAUUUUCAUUUUUUCUUUGGAUUUUGGUGCGACCCAAUUUUUUUUUCCAAAUGUUCUCUCUCUCUUCUUUCUUCCUAUAGCCCUACCCACACACUGCCACAUGCCCCCCAUUUUGUUCUUUCUAUUUUUUUUCCAUUUCUUUUCCAUUUUCUAUUUUUUUUCCCACAAAACUUGUCUCCAUACCCACAACCAACCAGUCAUCACCGAUGAGCUACCGUCGACAACACCAUUUCCAGCAAUCGGGGCCACCUUCCUUUCCCUUCUUUUUUCAUCUUACCAUUAUUUUUCAUUUUUUUUCCUCUUAUUCUCUUUCUUUUUCAUUUUAUUUUAUUUUUAUUUUUGUUUCUCUCUUCAACUACACUGCUGGCAAACUGUCGCUGGCGAGCAAUUCUGACAGCCCGUAGAAUCUUAAAAAAAAAAAACAAGUGUAAGCCCGUUUAUGCAUUUAUAUAUAUAUUAAUCUUAUUUUUCUUAUUAUUAUUAUUAUUAUUAUUAUUAUUAUUAUUAUUAUUAUUAUUAUUAUUAUUAUUAUUAUUUUUAUUAUUACUAUUAUUAUUUUAUAUGAUUUUAAUAGUAAUUGUUGUUUGUGAGAUUUGAAUUAUUAAAUUAAUAUGAAACUUGGGCUUUGUUAAUUAAUAUGGAAUUUGGGUUAAUAUGUUAUUGGAGAAUGAAUAUGAAAUUUGAGCUAAUUUAUUGUUGAUGAAUUAAUUUGGAAUUUGCUAAUUUGGGUUAAAUUAGUUGAUGAUUUAUAUAGUUGUGCUCAUUUGAAUCAUUUAAUUUGGACAUAAUAUAAUGUUGUGGUAUAUUUUGGAUGUGGGUUUGCAUAUUAAAUUGGGUUGAUUUUGGUUGUUGAUUUAGGUUUGUAUAUUAAAUUAGACUUGAAUUAUGAGAUAUUAAGUUUAACCCUAAUGGAAUUUAUUUUAAUUUAUCAUGUUUUGAGUUUGAUUAAUUGAGCUUAUAUAUUGAUUAUUAAUUUGAAAAUUUUGGAUUAGGGCCUAUGACAUGUAAGAUAUUUUUAUUCGAUUAUAUUUGCUAAUUUGGGCACAUUUUGAUUGACGAAAUUUGUUAAGCUAAUUUGAAGUUUGAAUUUGGGCUUGAAUAUCUAUUGUGAACUUUAUAUAUUUCUAGACAUUUACAUUUGAAUUAUUUUUGUUUUUGCAUGGACACAUUCCGCAAUUCUAUUGGCUGAGUACGGAUUUAUGACACAUGAAGCACGAAAUUUCGUGAAAGAAAAUGAGACUCGAAAAGCUAGAGGAAGACAUUGAACUUGUUGUAACCUUGUAAGCUUAUUUGGGUACACGUUUUAUUUCUCACUACCAUUGAGUUUUAUUUUUAUUGGUUUCUAUAAAUAUUCGUUUUUAUAUGUUUAUUAGUUGUGUGCAGAAUAGAAUAUCGAACAUACCAGAAAUUUUGUUUAAAUAAGAGAAACAAUUCAGUAAACAUGUUUUAAUAAAAUAAUAGUUCUAAAACAUUUUUUCUUAAUAAAAGAAAGUUUUAUUUUAUUUUAUAAAAAUUUAGAAAAAUGCUUUUAGAAAAAUCCAAGAAAAUUGUAUUUAAUAAUAAUUGUCCCAAAAUUUCUUUGUUUAAUAAAAAAAAUGUUCAAAAAAUUGUUUUUUUUUUUAAAAAUAAAAUUGUCCCAAAUGCUAAUUUUAGAUAAAAUUGUUCAAAAAAAAUGUUUUUUUUUUAAAUAAAUAAAUUCUUUCUUUAAGUAGAAUGGAAUUAAAAGUAAUUUUUGUAGGUAAAGACCUUAAAUAAUUUUUUUUAAUAAGAAUUGCAUUUGUAAAUUGAAGUUGUAGAAAUAUUUUUUCUUGAUAAAAUUGGAUUGAAAAUAUUUUCUUUGUAAAGAAAUUAAUUCCUUUUGAAUAAAAUCAAAUUGAAAUAUUUUUGUAAACAAAGUUCAUUCUUUUUCUAGUAAAAGCAAGUAAAAAUAAUUUUUGUUGCCAAAUUAAAUUUUUGUAAUAAAUUAUUUUGAUACAAUAAGUGUAGAAUACAAAUGGAAUUGAAUCAAAUCACUUGAAGAAAAUAGAUUGAAAUAUUUUUUUUUGUAUAUAAAUAAAUUGAAAUGAUUAAUUCAAAAUUGUUUUUAAUAAAAUGCUUUGAAAUUUUUGGAAAAAUAAUUCUUUUGAAAUAUCUUUUUUAUUUAGUUCAAUAAAUCAUAUUGCAUAAUUCUCUUGUCAUAUAUUUUGUGCAUUCUUGUAAUUUGAUUUUAUUAUCAUUUUUGUGUAUAUUGAUUUGUUCAUUUAAUCUUGGUAUCUACAAUUAAUUAAUUAAUUAUCAUAAUUCCCUUAUUUUGUUUAGUAGAGAUCGUAUGUAUACGCGCUUAUAGGGGUAUUAUGGUUCACCAUCGUACCUUCUCAAUAGGUAACCUAAUACUCAAACCCAGACUUGGUUUUUCACGUACCUGUUUUUUUCCUUCAAGAGUCACAGUUAGGGUUUUUAUGUCUUAUUUUGUUUUUCCCCUUAAAAAAUAAAACUAAAAUAAGUGGUGACUCCAAGUCUUUUUUUUUCUUUCUAAAAAUCAAAUUUUCACAAAUAAAUAAAAAACGAGUCUCGUCGUCGAGUGGGGACGCAAGUGAAAAACGUGGGUCCAUAAACCUCUACCAUCCUUAAGUUACAAAUAUUCUGAUAGUAUGGUAAAUUGAUAUAUCCUAACUUACAAAGAGCUUAUGUUAAGUUCUACUUAAAGAACUACUAUGACCAUAGUUUACUUGAAUGCACAUCCUUAGGAUUAUCCAAGAAGACACAUUGUUUCAAACCUACGAAAUAUGAUGGGGUCUCUAUUAAGAAUACCUAUUGAUACCGAAUUCUAUCAACAAUGAUUGAAUCCAUAAGAAAUAUAUGACACUUUAGGACCUCACUAAUUGGAUCCAAAGUAUGUGCUCUAAUGACACAUAUUUGAUAUGAUUUGUGCACCAAAGGACAUUCAAAUCACCCAAAUUGACCUAAAUAGAUGUUAAGACCCUAGACAUGAGUUUAACUUACACUUUAGAGAUUUAUCUUAGGUUCAAGGGAAGAAAAGGGUGUAAGUUGAAUCACUUUAGAUUUUGAAAGAUCAAGAAAAGAUUAAAUGAGUAAAUAAGUGAGUCAAGACUCAUGGACCAUGAGAAAAGGCAAGAUGAGGAUAUCAUGAGUUUGAAAAAUGAGAAAUGACCAUUAUGGAGUAAGAAAGAAGGCAAGAAAACAUGGGAAAUGAGGCAUAGAGCAAGAUUCAGCUGCAUGGAAAUUUAGAACUCAAAAUAUGGUGACAACAUAUACUCCGAAUUUGAGGACAAAUUUUAAGAACUUUCUAGAGUCCAUUUUAGACAUAUUAUAUAUCAUUUCAAAGCUUGGGAAGUCAGAAGUCUAACACUUCAAACGGUGUGCAAAUCGGAGUUGAAGUGAGGAAGUUAUAGCCAUUUGAAGACAACUAUAUAAAAUUGAGGGGCCAUUUCAAUAUGAUUUCGAAAUUUAACUUAUGAAUUCGAAGUCCAAUUUGAAAUGACCCCAAUUUCGAAUUCACCCGCUUCCACUUUGAUGUUUCACCUCCUCUACCUUGAGAAUUGCAUCUAGGGCACUCUAUCUGCCCUAAGUGGACCCCACAUGACUAGAAAUCAUCAUUUUAUUAUUUUUUUAAUCAUUUUAGAUAAUUAUUUUUGUAAUGAGUGGCCAAUGAGAGUGUGCCACAUGUUAGGUAAUUGAUGAUAUUAUAUAAACUCUCUUGAUUCUAGGUUUUGAGGAUCUUGGAUGUUUUUCCGGAGAGUUGGACAUUGAAAGUGGAAGAAGAUGAAAACUUUGGUUUGUUUUCUUUUUAUUCUUUAUUAAAUAUAUAUUUUUUAGUUUCUUUUGAUUCAAAUAAUGAUUUUUUACCCUAUUAUGAAUUGUGAAUGUGACAUCACCCCCAUGAGAGGCUAAAAAGCCAACUUGGGGCUUGAAACAUGAAAACCUAAGGGCUAGGAAACCUAUAGGGACAAUGGGUAAAUUAUUAUAACAAUGAGAUUAAUUAUUGGUUGGGUGACAAUUUAUCAAAAUUUUUUAUCCUAUCCUUGUGAGUUAGUUUAGAGAAUGAUAGAGUAGGUUAUUACCCGAUACUAGUGAUUCUUGAAAAUUCUUGAUCAUUGGUUAUGCUCGUUUUUUCUAUCGUUAUUUACCUCAAAACAAAGCUAUAAAGAGUAUGAAGGGUUAAAAAGCCAAAUCUUAAACUAGUAAUCAGUCUCAUUCAUUUGAUGGUCUUAGGAAUAUGUUUUAAAAAGUAAAAUUAGGUGUCAGAUGCAAUUUUAGUUAUAGAACUCAAGUUGACCAUGAGCGGCCAAGGAUCCCAAAACUCUAAGAUCACUUUACUUAAGAAACCCUUGUUUUCUCUAUUUCUAUACCUUAAGUUGGAUUGUGGAAAACCCUAAACUUGAAUCGAUUGAAUUAAAAAUCAAUAUUUAGUUUGUUAUUAAUUUAGUUUCAUUCACUCAAUCUCAUUUCAUAAAAAAUAAUUCCUAAAUUGUUUUUCAAUUUAGGAUUUAAACAAAAGCAAUUCAUUUAUUCAAGUAUUGACAAUUUCCAUAAGCUGGUCAUUAAGGACGAUACCCAGAGUAUUACAAAAGUCAUAGUAACUCUUUCUCUAAUUUUUCUUGACCAGAGUUGCUACGUAAAAAGGUUAAGUAUUUUGGUACAACAGUGAAGUUCAGUCACUCAUCUAUAAGUCAAAGCCACUACUAACUUUGACACAAGCUCGGUGUUCUCUUAAGGUUGAUAGACAAUACAAUAUGAUAACUUGGUGAAGUCAUGACUACUUAAUAACCUUAGGUUAUGACUCACCGUAAGUCUUAUCCAAUAUGUAACUAUAUACACUAAUGCACCCACCAUAGGAAACACAUCUCAAUGGUCAAGACUAGUCAUCCCUCCACUUAGGAGGUAGUGGACUACAAUCUCAAAUGGAUUGCUUAAGUCCAUGAAUCGACUGUGAGCAAGUCAUCUACUUGUAAGAAACCCGUGACUUAGAUAUUUUGUGUGACUCUUUAUACACCUAAGUCACGUAAAAUGCAAGAGAUGCAUGCUAGAAUGCUCAUAAAAUACAAUGCAUAAAAUAAGAAUAGAUUAAAGUGCAAUUGAAACUUUAUUAAAUAAUCAAUAAACUCUAUCCUAACAAUAUUAUAAGCAUAUUGAACACUCGAGUCAAGGCCUAAUGUGUUCUCGCUUUUUUCCUUGUGGUAUAGGGCUUCUCAUGUUCAUUUUUAGUUGACUAAUUCUCUUUCAGAUAAACAGGUUCUUUGGAGCUUAGUCUUCUUAACAUGGCUCCAAUGAGAGAGCUUCGACUUAGGGUGGCUUUGUCAAUGAUUGGCCUUGUGAAGAUUCUAUCGUGAAGAGCUAAAUAGGAAUUGCUUUAAUAUUAUUUAUCCUUGAACAUUCAUUUCCAAAUAUAGUUUUUCUCUUAUAGGGAGAAAACCUGAAUAAACUUAGUGUUAUCUUUAUUCACUCAAGGUGGGAAAGCUUGGAGGACCAUCUUAGUGUUGUUCUCCUUUUUUUAGGGUAGGAAAGUUUGGAGAACCAUCUAACCUAAAACAAUAGGAAAGCUCCAAAAGGAAUGACAAUCCAAUAAUAAAAACAUCCAAUUCUAAAAUAAAUAAUGUUGGAAAAAAUCCUCAUAAAAAUUGAUUUUCUAUAAGAAAAUCCAAAAUUACCAUUUUGAAAUUUUUUUUAAUUAGAUUUCCUAUGAUAUGCAAUAUAGAAUAUAAGCAUAAAAGGAAAAUUAAAAGUGAGAUUCCAUGGCCUUAGGGAUCUUAUUACUUUUUGGUAGCCCAAAUAUUUGGAUUUUUAAGAUUCAAACAUAACAAAAUAAGCCUACAACAAAAAUAGGGUUAGUAGCCUUAAAAAAACCCAAAAUACCCUUAAAAACCCUCAAUAUGGCGCAGGAGCCGCUAAAAGCACUUGAAACAACUUUGGACGCUGGAUACAACUUCAAGCACUUGAGCAAUCUAUAGUUACUUGUGAUCAUUGGAGAACUAAUCUAGCCAUUAUUUAAAAAAUGGGACCAGACUGGCUUGUCGAAUCGGUUGAAGCAUCGACCAAUGGUUUUUUCGGUCCGAUUCCCCUUUUUGACCCGUUUGCCCAUUAGGUCGGUCUCAAACCGCUUGAACCAAUCAUUAGACCGAUGAACUGGGUGAGUUCGACGGGUCAAGACCACCACUUUUUGCUUGUUUUAUUUUUGUAAAAUGGGCCAAAUUUCCCUCACAGCCUAAUAUUCCAGCCCACUCAUAUUCUUGCAAAAUGGACUAUUAUGUCAUACACUGAGCCCCAUGGCCUAACAACCAUUUGGUUUGUGGAAGAGGUUUAUAAAGCUCUUCAUAUUUCAUCUCUUAUCCGAUGUGGGAUCAAUGUGAAGGGCUUUAAAGAAAAAAAAAAACAAGAUUUGUUGUUGCAACAAGGGAGCUUGAAUAGGGAACCUUAAGUUUACAGUAGGAAAAUCUUUCCACUAUGCUAUGCUUUUACUUGUGUAGAAAGCUAAUAGGGAACAACUAUAUAGGUAUAUAUAUAAAAUUACAUAAUACGAUUUUUUUUUCAUUUUCAAUAUGUUUUCAUAUUUAAAUACUAUUUUUUCCAUUUUCAAUAUAUUUUCAUAUUUAAUAUUGUAUUAAUAAAUUUAAAAUAUUAAUACAUUUAUAUAAAAAUUAAUAAAUAAUAUUACAAAUAUUAUUAACUAUAUAUAUAUUUUAAAUAUUUAAAAUUAUUUUUAAUCUUAAAUAAAAAUAAAUUAUAUUUUUGACAUCAUUAAUUAUAUCGCAAUUCGGCCAUCGAUUCAACCAGUGAACUAUGAACUGGUAACUUUUUCUGUUCAAUGUUCAAUCCGAUUAUGAAAACAUUGAAUCUAGCUGCUCAAGUGCUACUACAUAUUUGCAUAAUUCGAUGAUGGAUUUCUGCAUCUUUGACCAUCAUUUUCUCCAAAAGGACUUUUUUUUUCUAGUAAGGAAUGUGUAGGAACGCCUUGUGAUUGUCCAGAAUGCUUCAUACUUUCCAUGGGUUACAUAGAUUGAUAUUCUUACAUCAAAAUCCAUACUACAACUAUUUAGCGUUUACAAAUCAAUUUACAAAAAAAUAAAAAUAAAAAUAAAUUACAAUGGACAAAAAACGUAUACCCCUUAUGGGGUUUACAACCCAUCUAGGGAUCAAUAAAAACAAACCUAACAUAUGACCAUAGUAUAUAAUCAUCGUAUUCAUAGAUAAUAAAAUUUCAUGUACAUACAGUCAUCUCUUUGGCCAUAGAAUAAAUAAUAAACCUUGUAAAACAAGGAUUAACACAUCUUAAAAGGGAUCUAACAUGUUUUUUCUUAAUUUAGAGCUUUGAUACUAGUUAUAGAGAAUCUUGAAUUAUUUCAUUCCCUAUCCUAGAAUCAGGUUAGGUGCAUGCAAAAUUCCCUAGGCUUAUCUAAAUCCUAUGCACAACGGAAUACAUGCAUUCAAAAACAAUUCUAUGAUUUAGAUAAUAAGAUUAGAAUGCUUACCAAUGAUUUGGAUGUUCCCAAAUCAUUUCCUUGUAGUGAAAAACAAAUACGAUGUUGUUGAAGAUCUCAUACACUCAUGAUCUUCCACUAAAUGACUCUCUCUUCAUGCUAAGCACUAAAAUAGUGAGAGUAUGGAGGGUGGAAGUUACGAAUCUCUCUUUGACUCUCUCUUUGGAAUGUAGACAAUAGUGAUGGUAGAAAACUGAAAUCUUAACCCUUAAGGGGUAUAAGGUUCUUAUUAGGCUUAAGUGACUGAAGCCCACCUUGGGCUUGAAUAACUUAAUCUAGUCUAAAAUGAGUUCUAAUUGAUUAAUUAACCCAACAUAGCUGUUUAAUUAAUCAAUUAACCCAAUCUAAAGAUAUCGUUCGCUAACCCUUGUGCAACCUUAUGAAAUUACUAAAACGCCCUUAUACACAUACUUGAACUAAGAGAUGAUUAACCCUCAUAACCCGCAUCAUCAAGGUAUAUAAGUUUGAGCGAGGACCAUUGAGACUCAUAGGACAAUACUGGCUUCCUCAAAAUCUAAUUCUAAAGUUGAUUCAACAUCCCACAACAAAGAAUCAAGUGCAUUCGAGUACUCUAUGUAAGUAAAAAUGAGACAAUAAGUGCUCAGAUUUGUAACUUACUAUCAGUUGUAUAUAGUCUCCCCAUGAUAUGGUGUCCUUAAUCUAACAAGGUGAAAAUUAUCAACCUCUCAAGAUAACCUCUACCAUCCUUAAGUUGUAGAUCAUCUUAUAGUGUGAUAAAUUGAUAUAUCCUAGCUUACAAAGAGCUUAUAUUAAGUUCUACCUAAAAAACUACUAUGACCAUAGUUUACUUGAAUGCACAUCCUUAGGAUUACCCAAGUGGACACAGUCUAAAACCUAUGAAAUAUGAUGGUGCCUUUAUUAAGAAUACCUAUUGCUAUCAACUUCCAUCAACAAUGAUUGAAUCUAUAAAAAAUAUAUAUAACACUUUAGGACUUUACCCAUAUUAAAGCCACUACUAACUUUGGCAUAAGCUCAGUGUUCUUUUUAGGUUGAUAGACAAUACAAUAUGAAAACAUAGUGAAGUCAUGACUACCUAAUAACCUUAGGUCAUGAUUCACUGUAGGUCUUAUCCAAUAUGUAACUAUAUAUACUAAUGCACCUACCAUGGGAAACACAUUUCAAUGGCCAAGACUAGUCAUCCCUCCACUUAGGAGGUAGUAGACUACAAUAUCAAAUGGAUUGCCUAAGUCCAUGAAUCGACUGUGAGCAAGUCAUCUACUUGUAAGAAACUUGUGACUUAGAUCUUUUGUGUAACUCUUUAUACACCUAAGUCAUGUGCAAUGCAAGAGAUGCAUGAUAGAAUGCUCAUAAAAUACAAUGCAUAAAAUAAGGAUAGAUUAAAGUGCAAUUGAAAAAUUUUUAAAUAAUCAAUAAACUCCAUCCUAACAGUAUUAUUAUCAUAUUAAACACUUGAGCCGAGACCUAAUGUGUUCUCGCUUUUCUCCUUGUGGUAUAGGACUUCUUAUGUUCAUUUUGAGUUAACUAAUUCUCUUUCAAAUAAACAUGUUCUUUGGAGCUUAGUCUUCUUAACAUGGCUCUAGUGAGAGAGCUUCGACUUAGGGUGGCUUUGUUAGUGAUUGGCCUCAUGAAGAUUCUGUCGUAGUUGAUGUUUUCUUAGGCAAGAUUCUCAUUGUGCCUCUUAACUCUACUAGCCAGGAUCUUGUUUCUUUUGAUUCCCUUUGGAAUUUUCAUUCCAUCUCUUCCAUUUGCUCUCUUAUCUGUGCCAUUGGUGUAUUACUUGGUGGCAUCAACUAAUAGUGUGCGUUUGUACCAUGAUUAACUUAGCUCAAGUAUAGGUUUUGUAUGUUUGUUUCCCACAAACAUUGCCAAUCUAUUUUGUCCUCUUUUUGAGAAUGUGAGCUAAGCACCUUCUAUAAUCCAAAGAGACAUAAUAAAGAAAACAACAAAGGAUAGGAUAGGGUCGCUAAGUCCAACCCUUCUUGGAAGAUCAAGUUAGUUAAAGGAAAAGGAAGACAAAACAAUAAAAAAGAUGAUUAACUUAUUGUGUCCAUACAUUGUUCUUGGUGAGAUUCUUUUCUUAUAGUUGUGCCACGCUUGAGGUGUAUGAAAUUAAUGGUUAUAUUGGUUAUUUGCGGCCUUUAAUGAUUUCAUUAUGUCUCUCAUUAAUGUUUUAAUUGUUUCAGUGAUGAUUAUGGCAUGGUAUUUAUGAUUUGAUAGUUAAAUGUGGGGUGAAACCAUUAUGUUGACAUUUUACCCAUCCUUUGGAUCAAGUUUCUUCAAUGGUGAUCUUUUUACUUUCAACACUAGCCCAUAAUUAGGAUAAUGAUGAUGCAGGUUUACUCAUAUUUAAUGCCUUGCAGCAUGGUAGGUUCCUUAAGAGCAUGGCGAUGAUUGUUGAUUAGCUCUCUUGUUCCUCUUCUACGGUUGUGCCAUGUGGUUGUUGAUAUGUACAUGCCCAAACUUCCUAAGGUUUCUUUUCUUGUGCUAAAAGGCUCACUUCCUGUCUUUAAAUCUUUCCAUUCUUGCUAGAUACAAAUUAUUAUGUUUUUAAUCCCCUUUCUACUACACAAUCCCAUAGAUUUUCUCAUUAGCAAACAAAUAAGUACUAGCAAUGAUAUAUAUAGUUAUGAGUGACAUAUCAAUGACUUAAAUUUUCAAUAAGGAAAACCUAUCCAUACUGAGCUAUGUUACGUUCCCUUUUAGUUUAUUUUUUGAAAUGCAGGUGAAGUUUAUUGUGAUGGAAUAUUGUAAUUUGACAUGAAGAUUUGAGGUAUGUGGCUAGAUAUGUGCUCAACAAAGUAUUGACCAUUUAUAAGCUACAUUAAGAUGUUUCUUUGUUAUAUGUUGUAUUAUAGGAAUGAUUAAACUAGAAAAAUGUACUUGUGUUACUAUGUCAAUCUAUGAAGAAUUUUUUCUUAUUUACAAAAAACAAAUAGGGGAAUAAGAGAUUAAUUACCUUUCAAUGUUCUUCAAUAACACUAUUUCUUAUUGUAUUAAUUGGUUAGCGAGUAAAAGUUAAUUUUUCAAUUAAAUUGAGAUUUUCUUCCUAUUUCAAAAUCAUGCCAUCGGUGCCUAAGAAUAAGUUUUAAGUGUUAUAAAGGUAAAGAAAUUUAGCCAUAGAGUAGAUCAUCUUGCAUAAUAGAAAGAUAAAUGUAUGCGAAGUUAUGGAAUGCUUACACAAAGUCUAUCACCUCUCCUAAUUGUCUUUUUUUUUUUGAAUAAUUAAUCAUUUUCUAGAUCUCCUAUCGCUUUCAAAACUAAAAUCGUUUAAGUUGACAUUGAGAUGAAAACAUAUUAGAAUCUCAACAACUUCAAACAUCCAAACAAUCCUUGCGACCAUUUUGCCAACAAUAAUUUCUAACUUUGGAUUAUACAUUUUUGUAAGAGGAAACUUAAGGAAGUCAAACUAUCUUUAAUAUUAAUCUUACCUCUUUUUUUCACAUAUGGAAAUCCUAGAAUCAUGUGUGAACACAACAUUAUCUUGAAUACUCAACAAAUAAAAAAAAUUCUUAUUUGCCAAUGAUAAUCGUCUCACUUUAAUUGAGGUUAAUCUCUAAACUAGGGUUUACUUGAGCCGCAAUUGUACUUCAUAAUAUAUAAGGAAAAUGUGAGGCCCCUAAGGAGGAUCUCCCUUUUGGACCAAGCCCCUUCAUCACACAUUUUUGGUGGGCCCUUCCUUUCCCUUUGUUAAGGGGCUUUUGCUAGAAUUUGAUUUUUUAACUUGUUUGUUGACUGGACUGCCGCAGGGGGGUGGACCAGAGGAGGGACACUGCCCCACCCUUAUUAUGAGGGUUGAUAGAAGGAAUCCGGUUGAGAUCCGUGAGACCACCUUCUACCGACAUCCCAGAGCCAACUCCUUUAAUCACGCCACACUAAGCAACUUUGAUUCCUUCUUUAAUCAACCUUUCACAACCAUGCUUUCCACGAUAGUGGAUAAUACCAAGCAUCUUUACCCAUAAAAAAUAAUGAAAUUGUAAUUUAUCAUUUUUCUCUUUCUUUUUUUUUUUCUUUACAUUUUUUUAAAUCAUUGUAAUUAAUAAAAAAUUGAUUAAUUAAGUAUAUUUUAAUCAAUAAAAACUAAUUUUUAUUUUUUUUGAAAAUAAAAAUAGAUAAUAAUUUAAGAAAGCUGGGAGUUAAUUACGGAAACAGUAGGCCAGUGGAAAUAUCCUGUCCCUGAAGAUCUGAAGACGUUGUGGGCAAAUCUCGUAGGGCUAAGUCCAUUGUCGAUGUAUACAAAUCCCGUGGGGCUAAAUCCAUGGGCACAGUCUCACCCCACCAUGGGCUGAUAUUAUAUAUUUACAGAUUUAAAAUAAAUAAUCUAAAAUUCAAAUUUAAUAUUAAUAUAUAUGGAGAAUUCUAUGGUACGAAAGAAUUAUUUUAGACCAUUGGAUAUGUUAGAUAGGAUUUUGAUCAUUCAUUAAUAGGUUUUAUUUAAUUUUUUUAUUAUAUUUUAUACACGUGGCUAUAUCCCAUUAGAUAAUAUGUGGAGGUAUGACAUCGAAAAGUUGUUCUUCGGUACAUAGUUUCACCCUAUAUGAUUAUAAAAAAUUGGAAUAGGAUUUGUUUUUAUUCUCGUGGAUAUUUUAUGAUUUUAUAUUUAGAAAUUAAAAUUGAAAUCGAAAUCAUUUGACGAUUAAAACAUUUUCCUAUAGUAAAAUUAGAACGUGAAGUAUGGAUCUAAUAAAUUUAAGAAGCACAAACACGAAGAUGAAUGACAAAAGUCCAAAAAGAAAAACUCUCAAGUCCGAAUGAUUUUCAAAAGAUUACAAAAGUGAGUGAAGAAAAGACUAGAAAAGUACAAAAUUCAAUUCAAAAGAAUAGAAAGUUAAUAAAAGUGGUUAGAUGGAGAGGCUUUUGGGAAAAGGCUUGAAAUAAUUAAUGGGUUAUUUUCUUAAUAAGGAAAAAAAAUAUAAAUGGGAUUGUUCAAAUUAAUAGUGAUAAUUAAAAGGGAGAAUUAUCUUUUGGGGGUAGAUGGAUCCCCAAAUUAACAAAAGGUCCAUAUAACUCUUCAAAUUGAGUUGGAGGAUAUGAAAUAGUAACGGACAAAUAUACCCUUUAAGAACACAUAAAAUAUUUUAUAAAAUUAAGUUAAUUAAUUUUUUUUUAAUAAUUUUUUUUAAAAAUACUAAAUUAAAUAAAAGUAGUUUUCACAAAUAUUAAAUUAAAUAAUUUUUUUUUCAAAAAUAUUAAAUUAAAUUAAAGUAUUUAAAAAAUAUUAAAUUAAAUAUUUUUUUAAAUAUUAAAUUAAAUAAAUUUAUUUUUAAAAAAUAUUAAAGGGUAUAUUUGAAAAAAAAAUAUUUGUUUGGAUGUGUUCUUAAAGUAUUUUUGAAAAAAAUUAUUUUAACUUAAUUAACUUAAUUUUAAAAAAAAUAUUCAAAAAAAUAUUAAAGUAUUUUUGAAAAAAAAAAUUAUUAAAAAAAAAUUAAUUAACUUAAUUUUAUAAAAUAUUUUAUAUGUUCUUAAAGGGUAUAUUUGUCCGUUACUAUUUCAUAUCCUCCAACUCAAUUUGAAGAGUUAUAUGGACCUUUUGUUAAUUUGGGGGCCCAUCUACCCCAAAAGAUAAUUCUCCCUUUUUUUUAUAUAAAAUAUUUAAAAUACCAAAUUAAAGGUUGAAUAAAAGCAAAAAAACCUUCUAUAAUGGCGUCCAUGUAAAACCAUAAAUGUAAUAAAUAUAAAUGGAAAAAGGGGCCAAUGAAUCCCCAGGCAAUUAAUACAAGGAUUUCCCAUACAUUUUUAGUAUUUCCGUGCUUGAGUAAACAUGAAAUUUUCAUUGACAAACCUGCUCACAGCCACACCCUCCCUCUCAUAUUUAAUUCUUUUGUUCGAUCUUUGGAGAGGGGUUUUGUGCAAUCCUUCAGGGUUUUGAUGUAGGGAUUUGAGAUAUACCAGUGAAGAAUGUGGUCUGUAAGAGGGCAUUGGAAGCAGAUGGAGAAAACAGUCGCUGGGAAGUGCCUCAAUCAAUUCUGGUCUGUUCUCUUGCCUCUCUGUCUGUUCUUGUUCAUAUCAGCGCUGUUCUUUGAUUUUUGUGGUUUAAAACAAGGAGUACUCAUCAAUUUUUCAGCCAGAGCCCCUAAAAUUUUUGGUCAAAUUCAUCCUAUAGUAGAUGAGUGUGUGGGUCAAUACAUUUAUGUUCAUAAUCUUCCUAGUCGAUUCAACGAUGACCUUCUGGAGGAUUGCCAUUCCAUUAAUCAAUGGUAUGAUAUAUGCGAGUAUCUAUCCAACUCGGGACUUGGUCCCCAGCUUUCAAAUUCUGGGGAUGUUGAUGAUUUUCCAAACAAGAGCUGGUUUGCCACAGACCAAUUCCUUCUGGAAGUGAUUUUCCGUACCAGGAUGAAGGAUUACAAGUGCUUGACUAACGAUUCGGCCAUGGCUUCUGCUGUAUAUGUGCCAUUUUAUGCUGGCCUUGAAAUCAGCCGACACCUUUGGGGUUUCAAUGCAUCAGUCAGAGAUGCUGUUUCUAAUGAUCUGAUCAAGUUUUUGGUAGAGCAGCCCGAGUGGAAACGCAUGUGGGGUAAGGAUCAUUUCUUGAUUGUGGGCAGGGUUACAUGGGAUUUCAGGAGAAUGCCUAACAACGAAUCCUUUUGGGGUAGCAAUUUUUUGAGGCUGCCUGAAUCAGAGAACAUGACUAUUCUCGGGAUCGAAUCCAGCCACGGAGCAGACAAUGACUUUGGAAUACCCUAUCCCACAUACUUCCAUCCUUCGCAUGACAGUGAGGUGUUUGAAUGGCAGAAUAGUAUGAGGAGAAAGAGACGGCAGUACUUGUUCUCCUUUGCAGGGGCGGAUCGACCUCAAGAUGGGGAUUCUAUUCGGGGAGAGAUGAUGAAUCAGUGUCGAGCUUCAAGGGAUAAAUGCAAGUUGCUGGACUGUGCAUUUGAUAAGAAGAACAACUGCAAGACGAUUAAUGUGAUGCAGAUGUUUCAAAACUCUAGCUUCUGCUUACAGCCUACAGGGGAUUCAUUCACUCGGCGAUCGACUUUUGAUUCGAUUCUGGCAGGCUGCAUUCCUGUUUUCUUCCAUCCGGUUUCUGCUUACAGGCAGUAUUUGUGGCAUUUACCCAAGGAGCAUACAAAGUAUUCUGUGUUCAUUCCAAUGAAUUACAUAAAAGAGGGGAUAGCAAGCAUCGAGAAAGUGUUGCUUGGAAUUCCAGAACAGAGAAUGUUGGCCAUGAGAGAGGAAGUAAUAAGCCUAAUCCCUAAGAUCAUAUAUGCCAAUCCAAGUUCUAAGCUGGAGACAAUUGAAGAUGCAUUUGACAUAUCAAUAAGGGAAGUUCUUCAAAGAGUAAAGGAAAUGAGGAGAGUGGGGAGGGGGGAGAGGUCUACAGUGGGAUAAGCAAGAGAGGGUGGAUGUCUCCAUUUAUGGAGGACCCCAGCAUCACCUGCAUACAGCUAAAGCUUAUUCUUUUUUUUCUUUCUUCAUUGCUGUCAUAGGCUCUUUCAAUUUCUAAUGUGCCGUAGAAGGGCUUCAAUUUUAAUAUAUGAUAAGAACUCUUUCAAUACCAAUAAUGAGAAGUAACCAGUAUUUGAGACAUACUUCAUUAAUUUUUAAAAUCUAUGUUUAGAUUAAGUUCUUAGAUGAAUGAAAUUGGCAAUGGCUCUCUAGCUAAAAGAUCUCAAAUAUGGAGAAUUCAAAGAAGGGGUUUGUAUGAUAUGAGAUGGAUUUGAAUAUUCCACAGAGAAAACUUCCCCAAAAGUGGCUCCUCGACCCUUCAUUCAUGGGCUCUUUUGAAAGAGACAAUAAAGUUAGGAAAAAAUGAUGAAUUUAGUCAUACAAUUAGCGGACUAUUUUAGAGAAAAUGCCGCCGACAACAGCAUUCACCCUGAGAAGUGGUUCGCCCUCUCUCAACCCAGUCCACAUGGGUGGGGCUUUGAUUUGUACUUUCUGGGACCAGCUAGGAUGUCUUCCUAUUUAAUCACCCAAUCAAGAACCAUAUAACAUGUUGAAAGCGUAGUAUCACAAACCCAACAUCAAGGCCCAUUGUUGGACCCUUCAUGCUUUAGUACCCCUAACUUGAGUAAGAAUCCUUUCUUUUGUAUGCAUUAGGAAAAGCAUAGGGAAUUUUUACUUGAUUUCUAAUUUAAAGUCCGUUGGACAAUAUUUUUCAAAAAUCAUUUUAAAAGACACUUUUAAAAGUUGAAAAGUUACUUAUAAUAUAGAGAAAUAUUUGAUAAGUGAUUCCCUCAAAAACGUUUUUAGAGGAAAUGUUUCCACUAAAAACACUUAAAAAAAAAACAUUGUCAAAUGCACUCUUAAUCCCCUCCCACCCAAAUCCAUUAUUCUAAAAAGGUGUAAAUCAUUUCGAUAAAUUAUAAAAGAGCUAGUAUGAAUCAUGAAGUGACUUCUUAUUAACCAUCUUAGCACAAUAAUGUGCCACCAAUUUCGUGUAUUAUGAUAGUCAUGUUCUAUAUAAUCUGCAUCCUUGUUUUGGUGCAAAAUUGAGUAUCAAUAAUUAAUGAGAUGCAACUAAAUGUUGAUCAUUUGGAUAAAUCUCAUUUGGGGAUGACAAUGAGAUGGGUUCAGGAUGGAUCGCCCCAUCCCAAUCCCACCUUGUUUAUUUAAAAUAAUUCUCAUUCCUAUCAUAUUUAAAAAUUUAAAUGAGGCGGGUGGGUAGGUAUGAGAAAUUCUCAUAUCUGCCCCGCCCCAUUUAAUUUUUUUUUUAAUGUAUUUUUUAAAAAUAUUUUAAUAUUUUAAUUAUAUUAGAAUAAAUAUAUUUUAUAAAUAAUUAAAAUAUUAUAAUUUUUUAUAACUUAUUUUUUUAAAAAUAUAUUAUUAUUAUGAUUAUUAUAUAUUAAAAACAUGAAAAUAAAAAUUAAAUUAAAUUAAUUUUAAAAAUUAAUUUUAUAUAUAAUUGAGACAGAGUGGGACAAGGUAAUACCUAAACCUGUCUUGAAUUGUCUUAGAUUAAAAAAAAAAAAAAAACCCAAAACUCAUCUUUAACCAAUUUAUUUAAAUUUCAAACCCCUCCCAUUAGGGGUGAGAUGGGUGGGUACCUGAAAAAACCCCAUUGCCAUCCCUAAUCUCAUUGUUUUUAUGUUCCGCUAGUAAUUUUGUUGCUUGCCUCAACAUUCAUUGUAGUAGGCGUAGAUUAACCUAGUAGAUGUUUUUAGCUGUCACAAGCAAUUGUGCUUUGUUUAUUCUUUUAGAAAAUUAUGUUAUGAUGCUAUUUUUUUUAAUGAAUAAAUCAAUAUAGACCCCUCUUUUCACUUUUACAUGUACAUUUUUUUUUCAAUAGUAAUCCUCCUCACAACAUGCCUUAAAUAGUAAUUUGCUUUUCAUGAUUAAAAAUAUCCAUUUUGUCUACUUCGCAAAUCUAUCCAUAUUAGUAAAUGCACAAUUUUAAUUUUUUUCUUUUAUCUUUUAUAAAAAAAAUCCUCAAAUUUUCAAUUUUUUAGAUAAAUAUUAAAAUUAUAUGAUUGCAUUAAAAAUGAAUAAUAACAUUUUAAAAAUUGUAACAAUUAAUUAUAAUAUUUUAAAAAUUGACUAAUUUUUAUCUACUUUGAAAUGAAUGUUAAAUUAUAAAUAAUAAAUACAAAAUAAAUGGAUGAUAAUUAUUUAAAUAAAUAAUUUAGUAAUAGAUUUCCUAAAUAAUAAAAUUAAUAAGAAAAAGUUAAAUUAUGUUUUUUUUAAAUGAUAUUAUUUUACAAAAAAAAUUAUAAAAUAUAGAUAUAUUUUAGUAAAUCCAUAAUUACAUUUUUUAUUAAAAAUUAAUAAUAAUGUUUUGGAAAUUUGUAGUUCAUAAUAAUAAUAAUAAUAAUAAUAAUAAUAAUAACAAUAAUUAUAGAUUUAAAAUGGAUCAUAAAAACUAUAAUUCAUUUUUUUCUAAAAUAUGUAAGUAAAUCAAGGUUUUUCAUUAUUUACUCCCCAAUCACUAUCAUGGUAUUUUAAGAUCAAUUUGGUUUAGAUUCCUUGAUAAUUAAUAUAUAUUUUUUAAAUUUCAAACUAUUAUUAUUACGAUCAUAAAAACAUCUACUCAUUAAAUCUUACUUUAUUUUGAAUCUAUUUAUCUAAUGAUUAAAAUUUGAAAAAGUACGGUUAUGCGUCCAGGAGAAAUUGACAUAAUCAUUUUGGAUUAUUUUUUGUGUGAGAAAUUAUAGUGUUAACAAAUUUUCAAUUUUAAGUUAUUUUUAAAAGUUACUAGACAUGUUAAUGAAUCAAACAUAUUAAGAGCUCAUUUGAUAGUAAUUCUAAAAAACAUUUUUAAUAUUUAUAACAAUUGAAAUUUUUUAUAAUUUAAGUGUUAAAAAGACUAAAAGUGUUUUCUAAAAUUACUACUAAACAUACUUUAAGAAUCUGUUUGAUAGUAAUUCUAGAAAGUGUUUAUAUCAUUUUUAACAAAUGAAAAAUAAAAAUUUUCAAAUGUUAAAAAGAUUAUAAUCGCUUCUUUAAAUUAUAAUCAAAUGGGCUCUAAGUCUCACUUGCCUUGGGGCCUUUUUGCAUGGUGAGAAAUUUUAAGAAAGUUAGAAAACUCAUUGAAGGAGGUACAAGUCUUUACUCAAUCGCCGGAUUAACACGUGUGUUAAGAUGGGCUAAUACAUGCAUAAACAAAGAGAAUAACGUGCUUAUUUGCUGUUAGUCAACCAACUUUUAAUUAAUUUCCCUAAAAUUUCUCGAAUUUUCCCAUCAGGUAGGUAAUGAGACUUGAUGUGUCCGUUUGGAACCAAGAAAUUAAGUGAAUUAAUACCAAAAUCUCUUGGGACAAAAUUGACUUCUUAAUGACUAUGUUCAUAUUUUUUGUGCAUAAUUCUAUUUUUUUUCAUUAGUCAAACUUAUUCCAAGUUAAGUGAAACUUAAUGUGAUAAAUUUUUAACUAGUAUAAGAAUUUUUAAAGGAAUUUGAAAUUAAAAAAAUUAAGCUUUGUUUAACUAUUCGAAUGUGGAUGGGUGGAGAAUGGUAAAGGAGCAGGAUGAACAUCAUCAACUAGAAGUAGGAGAUCGAUAAUAGUACUGAUGUCUUACAUUGUGUCGUUGAUGAAGGCAAAAUCUGAAGGAAAAUGAAUUCAUACUGUAAAUCAAAGCAUUAUACUUUGGUAAAUCCUACUUGGUAAAGGUGAUGGCAUCAUAAAUACGUAACUUAUUCCAAAGACUUCUGUGAGUGUUUAGCUAGGUUGGCAAUUCUGGACAAAAUUCCUAAGUGUCCCCUAACUCGGCUUUCCAAUACCUCUUCGGACUACUUAACUUUGAAGACUAAGACUUCGCUAAGAGGUCGAGGUAUGUAGCCGAGUGUGUGGUGAUUGAAUGUGAAUCAACCCGUUUUUUAAUCUUUAACUGUGUUAGAAAGUUGGAAGAAAUGGUUUUUGGUGCAAGACUUUUAUUCCCCAUUUCUAGAUUGAUCCAAGUACAAGGGUGGAUCGAUCUAACUAAUUUUUUUUUUAUAUCAAAUCUCAACCAUUAUAUUAAGGGCUUCUUUUUACACUUUAAAAAGAAAUCUUCUCUCAUUUUUCUUAAGAGUGACUGCAGAAAAUGUGGAGAGAGCAGUCACUCCAUGUGUUCUUCAUUUUCUCAUAUUGUUUUCCUAAUUUUUGGGGUUUUUGAUUGCAAAGCAAAUCCACUUCUCUUAAUGUUUUCCAAACUAGUUUUUAAUGGAUUUUCUUGAGCAAUAAAUGGGUUGAUUCAUUUCUUCAUUCAUAUCUCAAUCUCUCAUUCUAUUUGGGUUUGUGCAAAAACCCAUUUUCUUCUUGUGUGGAUUCAAGAAAAGACCAAGAUUGAGCUUGGUGCGGACUCCAAGUGUGUUCCGGAAAAAGAAGGUGAGAAGCUGAAAGUGAAGGUACUAGUCAAGUACUUCGGGAAGGAUUAGUUGGCUUGAGCUAGGUAAAACCUUGUACUCAAUUUUUAUUCUUCAUAGUGGAGUUUUUCAAUCGGUGAUAGGGUCGUGGUUUUUGAUUUCUUCGGAGGUUUUCCACGUUAAAAAUCUAUUGUUCAUUGUCUCUUUCUCUCACUCUACACUUUGAUUUAUUUUAUUUUUUUGAUAUCAUUGAUUACUUGGGCAUACAUGUUGAAUGGAAGAAAUAUGAGGUGAUAUAAGUGUGAUGAUCCAUGAAAUGUCUUUAAUAAUUUUUCUGUUCAUUUUGUUUAAUGAUAUCAUGGAGUCAAUUGAUAUGAGUUGAGGAGAUGAUUGUUCUUUUGAUUUAUUUUUUAGGAGUGUUGAAGCAUUUGCAUGUGUUUUGCAUUUAUAAAUUGUUGAGAGAGUGUUGAUGCAUACAUUCUUGCUUGUGGAUGUUAUGCUUUGUUGAAAAGUUGUUGGAAAAGAAGUUUUUUGACAUUGAGAUAGUCUAAGGUUAGGUAAUCUUUGUUGGGGGAAUUUUUAAAUUGUUCUACAACACCUAUUCACUCCUCAUCUAGGUGUAGUCCAUUAUUGAGAUUCACAUUUUCAAUUGGUAUCAGAGUAGGUUUUUAAAGAAAAAAUCAUUUUCGGUCCUUGAAUCUCAAUCAUGGAACCUCAUCAAGAGGGAGCUUCCAUUGGGAGACCACCAAUUUAAUUGGCAAAAAUUAUUCUCAUUGGAAAGUGAGAAUGCAAUAAUUUCUCAAAAUGCAAAGUGAAAAAGUUUAGAAUGCUGUUGAAUUUGGUUGGUGGAGACCUAAGGUGUUGGAUAGAGAAAGUAAACCAACUAAUGUUAUCAAGCCUAAAUUAGAAUGGGAUAAAAGUGAAAAUGAAGCAAGUGAGAAUAAUGCUAGAGUCAUGUACUCCAUCUUCAAUGCCAUUAGUACAAAUGAAUUCCUUAGGAUUGCUACAUGUGCUUUGGCUAAGGAGGCUUGGGAUAUCCUCCAAGUGACUCAUGAAGGAACUAAUGUCGUGAAAGUGUCCAAGCUUAAAAUGUUGACAUCUAGGUUUGAGACCAUUAGGAUGGAUGAUCAUGAAACUUUUGGAGAAUUUCAUGCAAAACUGAUGGACAUUGUGAAUUCUAGCUUCAAUCUAGGUGAACCCAUCUCUAACUCUAAGGUGGUUAGAAAAAUUUUAAGAUAUUUUCUAGAGAGAUUUAGAGCUAAGGUCACCGCCAUUGAAAAGUCUAAGGAUGUGGAUUCCUUGAAGAUAGAUGAACUUGUAGGUUUCCUCCAAACCUUUGAGAUGACUCUUGUAUCACCUAGGAAAGCUAAGGGAAUUGCUUUAAAAGCUAUUAAAAAAGAGUCCUUAAGUUCCGAAAGUGAGGAUGGUGAGAAAAUGUCGGAAGGUGAGCUUACUAAGUUUGCUAAAAAAUUCAAGAAGUACAUGAAAUUCAGAAAAGCCAAGAAAGAAACAAAUGAUGGUAAAAAAAUGGAGUAACUCAAUUGGAAAAGAGAAAAAGAUGGAGAAAUGUGUGAAAAAAAGAGUUGAAAAUUGAGUGCUUUAAAUGUGGGGGAAAGGGUCACAAUGCAUUUGAAUGUCCCUCAAAGAAAAAUGAUAAGAAGGCCAUGCAAGUUACUUGGAGUGACUCCGAAUCUAAUCAAUCAAGUGAAAAAGAAUCCAAUGGAAGUGAGGAAUGCACUAACUUCAUAGCCUUUGCUGCAAGUGUAAAUGAGGAACCUCUUUUAAAAUAAGCUUCAAGUGAGUUAAGUCAGUCAAGUGACUCCAAUGAUAAUGACAUGAGUUUUGACACAACAUAUGAGACUUUGUAUAAGGAGUGUUUGAGACUUAAACAAGAACAAGUCAAGUGGAAGGCUUCUAAGAAGAUUUUAACCAAUGAGGUUGAUGUUUUAAAGGGAGAAAAAAAAGUCUUGCUUGAUAAAAUUGCAUUUCUUGAAAAUGAACAUUUGGAAGUGAAGGAAAAAUGUGAUGUGUUGAAAAGUGAAAAUCAAAUGUUCAAGGAUGAGUUAAGACUUAGGAAGGAAGAGUUACAUCCUAGCUCUAAAAGACUUAAUGAGUUGAUUAAUUCAGGGUGUAAAUCUUUUGAUAAAAGAGGCUAAGGAUUUCUUGGUGGAAAUGCUACUCUAAGUAGUAGUAAAACAGUUUUUAUUAGGCCUUGUGAAAAAGAAUUUCCUAAGAAAACUCAAUCUCAAAUCAAGUUUCAUUGCAAUCAUUGUGGAAAAAUGGGACAUACUUUUGAUAGAUGUUAUGCAAGAUUGUUUGAUAAUUUUCAAAGGAAGUUGACCAACCUAAUGAAUGAAUGUCAUACUUUGAAGAAUAGGUUGCUGAAUGAGAAUAAGAGAGUGUCUAAGAAGAGCUUAAAGAUCUCUCAUAAUGGUGAGUUGAAAGAAAACACUUUGAAUGAAAAGACAAAAGUCUCAAAUGUUAAAAAAAUUUGGGUGAAAAAGAAUGAGUUGAAGUGUUUUGUUGUCCAUACCGUACUUAGAGAUAGUGAGUCACACUCAUGGUAUCUUGAUAGUGGAUGUUCACAUCAUAUGAUAGGAAAUAAAUCUUUGUUCACUGAAUUUGAUGAAGGAAAUGUGACUUUUGGAGAUAGUAAUGUGGCUAAAGUGAAAGACAAAGGUACCAUUUGUGCCCCCAACAUUCCCAAUCUUGAAGAGGUCUUAUAUGUUAAAGGUUUAAAGGAUAACUUAAUUAGCAUAAGCCAAAUGUGUGAGAAUGAGUUCAAUGUCCAAUUUUCACAAAAUCUUUGCAAGGUGUUUGACUUGAAUGAUGCAUAUGUGAUGAUUGGCUUGAGAACUUGUGAUAAUUGUUAUGUUGUUAGUAAAAAAUCUCCUUCAUCAUCUUCUCUUGUGUGUGGAAGUUCUAAAAUUGCAUGUGUUAAUCACUUGUUGCAACAUAGAUUGUUGCAAAAUGAAAAAGAACAUCCCAUUGUAAAAGUUAAGAUUCACAGGGGGAGAAUAUUUGAUGAUACCAAUGUUGUUGAUUGGUUAAAGAACCAUGUUCUUCAUUCUAGAUCAAAAAAUGUAGACAUUAAGCAUCACUUCAUUCAAGACUUGGUAGAAGACAAGGUUGUUUCACUAGAGUUUUUUCCUAUAGAGGGUCAAAUUGCUAACAAUGUUACUAAACCUUUGGAUGUUUCUAGGUUUGAAUCACUUAGGAGCCCCAUAGGUUUAUAUACUCUAUGUUAACUACCUCUAGAACAUGUCUAGGACUUUUUUCCUGCAUAUCUUUGAGUCCUAGGUGUCUUCUCAAGUUCCAAAGUGUCCUUGUGGUGGUGUUCUUUUUUUUUUUUUUGGUUCAAUCUUUUCUUUAUUUUUCAUAAAUUUUCAACAUUUGCUGAGUUCAUGAGAGUGACAUGCUUACACUUUUGUUUAAAAGUUAAAUUGACUCAUAAUGAUCUUAAAUGCUUCAAGAUGUUUUUAACUCCAUGGCUUGAUUGAUAAACAUGAUAUUGAAUCCUUGCUAUUUUGAUUUGAUUAGAUAAACCACAAAAGGUUAGCUUCAUUUCUUUUAAGUGAGUAAUAGCUCAUGGUCGAACCUUGUGAUUACAUAAAUGGUGAGUAAUGCUUUUUAUAGUCUAAAUGCAAACUUAUGUUUAUCUAAUGAGCAUUAAAAAGUGAUUAAAAAGUGAGUAAAGUCACCCGGAAUAUCCUUGAGUGUUUAAGAUUAUUCUUCAUUGAUUGUUUGCCCUCUCUUUGAAAUUAAAAAAAAAAUGAAAAGGGAAAAGAAAAGAAAAAGAAAAAUAUUAAGCUUCCUAGAAUGAUUAUGGCUCAUUGGCAAUGUUUCAAGAGUUAAAAAGCCUUCAUUGCAAAAUUGGGACAUCCUUUAUGUUAUGUUGUUGGUAAGGCCACCGUAGUGAUCCUCAAGUAAAAAACAAUUGAUCCUGAGGGUGAAACUCUUGUUGGUGUAAUCAUUUCAAUGCUCAAUGUGAAAAACAAAUAAUGUAUGAAUUUUUUUUGGGAUGUGAAUAGGUCGUAUUAAACAAAAAUCCGGCCAAGAGAGGUGCAAAUUGACUUCUUGGAACAUUAUCUUGAAUUUCUCUAGGAAGAAAGUGUGUCUUGAAAACUUUCUUUGCUUUAUAGGUGGAUAUAUGUUUAUACGUGGAAAACAAUUAACAUUCUCACUAUUUUAUGGUGUCAUGAGUAAGUCUUCUUUGAGCUUAAACUUCCUUGUUAGAAUGUUGAUAAUAAUUUUUUUUUUACCUAUUCAUUUGAUAAAUUUGGAAGGUUCUUCAAUCUUUAUGUUUAUUAAUUUUGUUUAAAGUUAAGCUCUUGGUAGCAUUCUUAUUCAAUAUGAAUCAAUUCUAACUUCUUGAUUGAAAGAUAAGUAUGUCAUUCUAUUGUAUCUUAGGUUUGGUGAAUCAAAAUUUUAAAUUUUUGGAAAGCUUGUUGGUGUGUUUUUUUGUGUCUUAUCGUUAAUUUUUUGUCUAAGUUAUUUUUUAGUAAGGUGUCGAUCGAUCUGCUGAAUUUGUGGAUCGAUCCACUGUGUGCACAAUCUUGUGACUGAGAGCCCUUGAACGAAAUGUGGAUCGAUCUACCAAGAUCGAUACCACUUGACUCCAACACUUAGAAAUUUUCGUGAAAAGUUUCCUACACAGUUUUUUCCACUGAGAGCUCUUGAACAAAACCUAGAUCGAUCCACCAAGAUCGAUACCACUUAUCCCUUAGUGAAGAAAAUUCCUAUUUUGCCCUUGGUCUUGUGAAUUUUUUUAAAGGGGGUCUGAGGGGUAAAAUUGUCAUUCCUAAGUGUCCCCUAACUCGGUUUUCCAAUUCCUCUUCGGACUACUUGACUUUGAAGACUAAGACUUUGCUAAGAAGCCAAGGUAUGUAGCCGAGUGUGUGGUGAUUGAAUGUGAAUCAACCCGGUUUUUAAUAUUUAAAUGUGUUAGAAAGUUAGGAGAAAUGGUUUUUGGUGCAAAAUUUUUAUUCUCCUAUUUCUAGAUUGAUCUAGGUGCAAGGGUGGGUCGAUCCAACCAAUUUUUUUUUAGAUCAAAUAUCAGCCAUUAGAUUAAGGGUUUCUUUUUACACUUUAAAAAGCAAUCUUCUCUCAUUUUUCUUAAGAGUGACUGCAGAAAAUGUGGAGAGAGCAACCACUCCAUAUGUUUUUCAUUUUCUCAUCUUGUUUUCCUAAUUUGAGGUUUUUGAUUGCAAAGAAAAUCCAAUUCUCUUAAUGUUUUCCAAACUAGUUUUUAAUGGAUUUUCUUGAGCAAUAAAUGGGUUGAUUCAUUCCUUCAUUCAUAUCUCAAUCUCUCAUUCUAUUUGGGUUUGUGCAAAAACCCAUUUUCUUCUUGUGUGGAUUCAAGAAGAGGCCAAAAUUGAGCUUGGUGCGGACUCCAAGUGUGCUCUUGAAGAAGAAGGUGAGAAGUUGAAAGUGAAGGUACUAGUCAAGUAGUCCGGGAAGGAUUGGUUGGCUUGAGCUAGGUAAAACCUUGUACUCAAUUUUUAUUCUUCAUAAUGGAGUUUUUCAAUCAGUGAUAGGCCCGUGGUUUUUGAUCUCUUCGGAGGUUUUCCACGUUAAAAACCCGGUGUUCAUUGUCUCUUUCUCUCACUCUACACUUUGAUUUAUUUUCUGUUUUUGAUAUCAUUGAUUACUUGGACAUACAUGUUGAAUGGAAGAAAUAUGAGGUGAUAUAAGUGUGAUGAUCCAUGGAAUGUCUUUAAUAAUUUUUUUGUUCAUUUGUUUAAUGAUAUCAUGGAGUCAAUUGAUAUGAGUUGAGGAGAUAUUGUUCUUUUGAUUUAUUUUUGAGGAGUGUUGAAGCAUUUGCAUGUGUUAUGCAUUUAUAAAUUGUUGGGAGAGUAUUGAUGCAUACAUUCUUGCUUGUGGAUGUUAUGCUUUGUUGAAAAGUUGUUGGAAGAGAAGUUUUUUGACAUUAUAGUUUAAGGUUAGGUAAUCUUUGUUGGGAGAAUUUUUAAAUUUUUCUACAACACCUAUUCACUCCUACUCUAGGUGUAGUCCAUUAUUGAGAUUCACUUUUUCAACUUCUUUUAGAAGUAAAGAGCUAGUCUACCUAUUGCAAUCACCUAAAAGGUUAGGCUACCCUCUGAAGGAAGAUGCUUAGGUAAAAAAGUCAUUAUCUUCAAACUUGAAAAAAUGAAGCGAUUUGAUAGGUUUAGAGGGAGAUGUGAGAGAGAGAGAAUCUUAGAAACAAAGUGGGGACCUAAGAUAUGUUGUCCAUGAUCAAUUAGGUCAAUUAAGUAUGCUGUAUGCCAAGAUUAGGAGGAGGAAUUACCUUUCUUUGAAGGUUGAUAAACACUACUGGAUUGUCUAGGUUUCACCAUGACGGGCAAUCCUAAACCAGUAAAGGUAAUGAACAAGGUAAGGAUAAAAUGAAUUAAGGUAGGACCAAUGAUAGAAGAGUAAUGAGGGGUAAAAAUAAAAUAAAAUCCUUGGUAAUCAGAGGAAAUAGUUGGAAGUGAAGGAUGCCAUCAUUCUAUACCAUUUUUUUUUAAUGGAAAAAUGGUAUGGUGAGGGUCACAUCUGGCUAAACUUGGAAAUUUGAGGAGAAUGUCAAUAAGGAACUUUGAGUUGGGAUGUGUCACCCUAUCUCAACCCUGAACCUUGUUUUGUUUAUUUAUGUUUGUUCUCAUCCCAUAAUAAAUAAAUAAAUAAAUGGGGUGGACGGGAGUAGGAAAUUCCCAUACUUGCCUAGCUUCAUCUUGCCCCAUUUAUUUAUUUUAUUUUAUUUUAUUUUAUUUUCAAAUUUUUAAUUUUUUUCAAUUUUUUAUUUUUAAAAAUUUAAACUUUGUUAAAAAUAAAUAAUAUUUGUCAACAUAUAAGUAUUUAUAAUUUUAAAAUUAAUAUUUUAUUUAUUUUUAAAAAAUUUAAAAAUGAAAAAAAAAAUCAACUAUAAUAAUUUUUUAUUUAUUUAACAUUAUAUAUAAUUGGGAUAGCCGGAUGAGACAAAAGUCAUACUCAAAUUUGUCUAAAACCUACCUUGAACUCGUUUAUCUUCAUUUGAAACUCAUCCCAUUAGGGGAGGGAUGAGAUGGGUACUCUUGCUCCAUUGUCAUCCUUACUUUUGAGAGAGGGUGGUAAUCAGGUGUUAGAGAGAAUUAAACAUUUAAAUUUAAUUAAAAAAAAAUGAGAAGUCAAGAGAAGAAAUUACAAUGUAGACCUAUUAGGUAUUAGUUAAAUAUAAUCUAAUUAUUUAAUAGGUCACAUUAUCCCAUAAGAAUUGUAAGAAAAUUAGGAAAUUUAAAUAGGAUUAGUUAUUGAAAAUAAUGGAAAAUUAAGUGAUAGUGAACUCAUUUCUUCUCCUUAUGAGUUAUUUUUUGUGUUGACAAUUGUUCCUAUCUUUUUAAUUUCGGUGUUAGUACAAAUUCAAUGAUUUAAAAGUUCUGACUUCAAACAUAGAAAAAGACUUAAUGCAUAGAAAGUGUCCCUACAUACAUGCAUAGUUACUCAAGGAAGGAAGAUGUGUGAACAUUCUCCUCGACAUAUAUACCACACUUUUCUUUGAGGAAUGAGACUAUUUGAGGAUGAUGAGUAGUGCCUCUAAUAGUUCUAAAUCGACAUUAUUAAGAAUUAAUUUUCUUUGGCAUGCUCGCAUUUAGAGGACACCAAUAGUCUAUUAUUUUCAUUUUAGGCUUUCGAUGUGCUCUUGUGAUUGAUAUUUCAUGCUUCACAUUUCAAAUUAUCACCUAUUUGAAGUGGGCCAAUUUGAUGAGUAUACUUUGAUUUUAGGGAAAAUUGGGAUUGUUAAAAAAGAGCUCUUAAAAGUAAUGAUAUGGUAUAAAAAUUGAUUUCAUUAUACAUGAUUCUAGUUUUUUUUCUAGCUUAUUUGCAUAAUUGCGAUAUUUUUUAGCAUCUAGACAUAAUUACUUGUAUUGUAUGUAACUUGAGUGCAUUAUGAGUUACAUAAAAAUUUCUAGUCAUGGGUUGCUUAUAAGUUGAUAAGUUUGUUUACAAGUAGUUCAUGAACUUAAGCAAUUUAUUAGAAAUCAUAGUGUACUACCUCCUAAUUACUUGAUUAUCUGGAUAACUUUCAUAUGGUGAGUAUAACAAUGUGUAUGGUUAUAUAUUGAAUAAGACCUAUGAGGAAUCAAUGAUUGAAUAAUUAUUGAGUUGUCAUGAUUACUCCAAACUACCAUGUUAUUAGAGUUCUUAACCUUAAGAGAAUAUUUGUUAGUGUUGAAGUCAUUGGUGACUCUAAAAUAAAGAUGAGAUCCUACAAUAAUCAUAUAUUCCCCAACAGAAUGGAUAAUUGGUGGUUUAGGUAGGUAAUAAUAGAUAUUUCCAAUAGAUGUAGAUAAAUAGUAAUUGGUUGAGUGAAUAGUAACCAAUUGAGCUACUUUGGUCACACUUACAAAAAAUGCAAGAAAAUGAUGCACAAAUAACCUUUAAUGACUCAUAUUAUUUCAACAUGAAAACUUGGUAUUAAAAAACCCAUUUUAGUAUUGAAAUACAUGUCAAAACAUAAGUUUUUAUCUUUGAAACAAUCAAUCUCAUUUUCUUUUUUUAUAAAAAAUAUUCAAAGAGGCAUAAAUGGACCAUAUAAUUUUUACAACUUUUGCAUCUUUAACAUAAAAUCUUUAAGGGAAUCCCACUAGAUAAUUCCUUGUCAUUUUGAAAACCUUUUUAAUUAUGGAUAAUAUUAAAAAAAAAUGUGAUUUUCAUUUAAAAAGAUUUUUCGUCUAAUUUAUAACAAAAUAAAACCGAUUUAGGCAUUUAGAUGAUUUUAGGUGCUUAAAAAAAUGUAAUAUAAUAUGAACAUAGUGCAUUAACAACCUUACAAAGGGGCUUAUAGAAAGGUCUUGAUUGAUCUUUUCUUUAAGGUCUUCUUUUCUUGACUUUCAUUUGGCUUGAUUUGUUUUUGUAAUUGUCACUUUAGAAAUCAUUUUACCUAAACACACUUUGGAUAAACCAUCAGUUUCAACCUUGUUUUGUUAUCAUCAAAACUGAGAUUAACCAAACCUUAGUUUCACAAAGUGGUGUUAGAGCCUAGUUGUGAGAAUAUUUAUUCUUGAAGGGAAUGAAAAUAGAAGGAAACUCAACCUUCAUGGCAAAGCUUAACAAUUCAAAUUGGGCCAUGUGAAAGUCUAUGAUGGAAGAUUUUCUCACCAUCAAAGAUUUGUUAGAUACUCUUAAGGAUGAAGAAUCCAUGCCCAAGGAUAUUUUUGACUUGGAAAGGAAGAAGAUAAACAAAAAGGUAAUUGCCUACAUUAGGCAAUGGAUUGAUACAUCCUCAUGCCAUCAUGUGGCAAAUGAAACAAACUAUCAUCUUUAGAAGAAAUUAAAGUCAAUGUUUGAACAAAAAAUUGCUAGGAAUAAAAUUUUCUUGUUGAAGAAGUUAGUGAACAUGAAGUUGUAGGAAGGAACUCUGAUAACAAAUUACUUCAAUGCUUUUCAAAGUGUGGUAAAUCAGUUGACUACAAUGAAAAUGGUUAUAGAUAAUGAGAUGCAAGCCUCCUAAUUGCUAUGUUUACAAUCAAACAAUUGAGAAACUUGUGUUAUCAUGACUAUCAAUAACUCUAUUUCGAAUGGUACAUUGUCUAUGGAGCUUGUGAAGAAAAAUUUUGUAUAAUGAAGAAACAAGAAGAAAGACUUGUGGGACAGAAAAUACAUAGACCCUCAUCAUAAAAAGUAGAGAGAAAUAUGAAGAGAGGAUAGAAAGGCCAUGACAAGUUCAGGGUAAGGUCCUAGUCUAGUGAUAAAAUCAAAUGUUUCCAUCAUUGAAAAGAAGGUCAUAUGAAAAAAAUUAUCAUAUUUCAAAAAUGGAACAAAAUAGGCAAAAUUAGGAAAAAAGAAGAUGCUAAGAAUACCAUAGCUUUUGUAUCCGAUAGUGAUAAAGUUUUGGUGCUCUUAGAUUACCGUUUGCACGUAGAUGAGUAAGGAGUUGAGUAAAUUGUAGACACUACGACCUGCUAACAAGCUAUUCCUCACUUGGAGUUAUUUACUGGCUACAAAGUUGGAGACUUUGGCACAAUCUAAAUAGGAAACUCUAGUCACUCCAAGAUUGUAAGGAUGAGUGAUGUUUGCUUUGAAACUAAUGUGGGGUGUAAGUUGACAUUGAAAGGUUUAAGGCAUGUUCCAAAUUCGCACCUUAAUUUGAUAUCAGGUUUUACCUGGGGCAAACAAGGUUAUGAAAGCCACUUUGGUAAAGGCAAAUGAAAUCUUACUAAGGGCUCAUUAGUUAUUGCAAAAUGGAAAACAUACUGCACUUUGUAUAAGACCCAGAAGAAAGUUUGUAAUAAUGAGUUACAUGCUACAAAGGGUACUUCCUUAGAGCUAUGGCAUAAAAGGUUAGGGCAUAUGAGUGACAAAUGAUUGCAAGUUUUCUAGGCCCUAUUCUAGGGCUCAAGAUGAAGGUUCAAAUUCUUUCAUCGACCUUUUGGAAAAGCUCUUGUGAUAUGAUCUCUUCCUAUUCAUUGUUUUCGAGGGUGAUAAAUUCCUACCUCAAGCAUUAAUAUAUGUUUCCACUAGUUUUCAAGGUGAAGAAACUAGUGAUCAUUUAUUUGUAUUUCCAUUUUUAUUGAAGUGGAAGAAUUUUUUUUUCCAUAGUUUUUCACCUUCCUUAAUUAAUAAGGGUUGUUCUACGUUAUAUUUGGUUUCAUUUUUUGUUGUAUAUUCUUAGAUUAUUAUUAUUAUUAUUAUUAUUAUUAUUAUUAUUAUUAUUUCUUGUUAGGUUUUUGGGGAGUUAUUAGGCAUGAGUUUUGGUUUUCUCUAUUUAUAUUUUUACUUUUUUAAAUAAUAUUAUGCCUCUUUGGUUGAUUCUUUACAUCUACCACACAUUAAUAAAUUCAUACAUCUUCUUAAUUUAACAAUAAAAGUAGCCAAAAACAUGUUUAUGUACAUAAGCAGGAGAAUUGAAGGUCUCAAUUAGUUAGCUAUUAGUAAAGACUUGCUAUUGUCAUUAUUUAGUCUUAUCUACCACCUUUAGUUUCCUUACUUCUACCCAUUUUGAAUAAUGAUAGGGUUUUGUGUAAGUUGAAAAUAAUUGAUUGAACUGCACAAAAGCCAUGCCUAGCUAGCAUAGAUUACUUCAAAAGUCUAAUCUAAAAUUUUCAUGAGUUGAAUGGAAAAGUCCAAGUACCCUCUUAUUUUCUUUCCCAAUUGACAUCCUUACUCAUUUCUUUGGGCAAAGGAUGCUAGCUAAGAAAUAAUAGCCAAGAAGCUGUAGAAGGUUUAUGUCCUUAGGGAAAAUUAAUUACUUUGAUAGAUCUUAUAAGCCAGUCAUUGAAUUUCCAACCACCUUAAUGCUAUGUUGGUUCCCCAAAAAUGUGAGGAAACCAUAAGAGAAAAAAAUGAUGGAGAAAAGUAGAAGGAAAUAUAAAAUGAAAAAAAAAAUAGAUUUAAAAGAAUUUUUUUUAUUAAUGAUUAACCUAAGUUUUUUUUUUUGUUUAAAUAUGUGUAUGGGUUUAUUAAUUAUUAUAAAAAUAAAAGAUAUAUAACUAAAAUGACACAAUUAUAAUUAACUUACAAAAUCAUUCAGAUAAAAAUAUUUAUAUUGAUAAAAAUAUUAAAAGAAUGUAUUAAUUUUUAUACCAAAUUUUUUUUUUCAUUUCAUGCAGGAAGCUAUUAGAUAAAAAAAAAAAAUCAUAUCUAUUUGAAAUAAUUUUUUAAGAAGAUUUGAUAAUUAAAAAAAAAUAUUAAAGUAAAAAAAUGAUAUUUGGAAACAUUUGUUUUAAUAAGGUUUAUGAUUAUCCUUAUAAAAUUAUUGCUAAUAAGAAUUCAUCUAGUAUAUAAUGUUAAUUUAUUGAAAUGAUGUAUUAAUAUAAACACUAAUAUAGUAUAUUAGUAGGAUGAAACAACAUUCUAAGGCAAUAAGAUUUGUUGCAAAAUGUUGGUAUAAUAAUAUUUACGUAUUGAACUUACAAUAUAAGUACACUAAAAGAAUGAUACAUAAUGAUAUGUGUUAAUUUUGCUUUUUAACAAUUAUAAAAACAAAUUUUCUAUUAUUAUGUUUUAUUAAUGGUUAUAUUGUAAAACAAAUAAUAAAAUUUAUGAAAUCUAUUUAAUAAAAAUUAUAAAAAUAAUUUUUUAUUGUAAUGUUCUCUUCAUAGUUAUAUUGCAAAGCUAAAAUUAUAAUUAAUAAUUUGUAAAAUUAUUAUAUUAUAUAUUAAAUAAUAGUAGUAGUAGCAAAACGUGUGUAGUAGUAGUAGUAUUUAGAACACAAAAAGUGUAGUAGAAUGUGUAGUAGUAGUAUUAUUUGUUAGAACACAAAACUUGUAGUAGUAGUGGUUAGAACACAAAAUGUUGUGUAGUAGUAGUUAGAACACCAAAUGUGUUGUAGUAGUAGUAAUUAGAACACCGAAUGUGUUGUAAUAGUAGUUAGAACACAUAACAUGUAGUAAUAGUAGUUAGAAUACAAAACAUAGACAAUUAAAUUAGACACAAAAUGUGUAGUAGUAGUAGUUAGAACACAAAACGUAGACAGUUAUACAUUGAACAAAAUUUUAUAUUGUAAUAUUUUCUUAAUAGUUAAUGUAGACCAUUACACAUCAAACAAUUUUUUUAAAAAUAUUUUGUUAAUAGUUAUAAAGUUAAAUAAUUCAAAAUUUCGAUAAUAUAGGACGUGAAAUGUAGGUACUACAGUUAUGUAUUGAACUUACAUUAUAAGUAUAUAUGCUAAAAAUAUAAUACAUUACAAUAUGUUUUAAUUUCACUUUUCGAAAAUUAUAAAAACAUUUUUUUAUUGUAAUAUUUUCUUAAUAGCUAUAUUGUAUAGUUAAAUAUUCAAAAUUUUGCAAUCCAUUUAAUAAAAAUAUAAAAACAAAUUUUUUAUUGUAAUAUUUUCUUAUUAAAUCUAUAUAAUAGAAAAUACAAAAUUGACUUCUUAAUGAUUGCUCAUUUUUUUAUGCAUAAUUAUAUUUUUUUCAUUAGUCGAACGUAUUUCAAAUUAAGUGAAACUUAAUAUGAUGGAUUCUUGACUAGUGUAAUAAUUUUAAAAGAAUUUGAAAUUUAAAAAAAAAAAAGCUUUGUUUAACUAUUCGAAUGUGGAUGGGUAGAGAAUGGUAUAGGAGUGGGAUAAACAUCAUCAACUAGAAGUAGGAGAUCGAUAAUAGUACUAAUGUCUUACACUGUGGCGUUGAUGAGGGCAAAAUCUGAAGGAAAAUGAAUUCAUAUUGUAAAUCAAAGCAUUAUACUUUGGUAAAUCCUACUUGGUAAAGGUGAUGGCAUCAUAAAUACGCAAUUUCUUCCAAAGACUUCCUUUAGAAGUAGAGAGCCAGUCUACCUAUUGCAAUCACUCAAAAGGUUAGACUACCCUCUGAAGGAAAAUGCUUAGGUAAAAAAGUCAUUAUCUUCAAACUUGAAAAAAGGAAGCAAUUUGAUAGGUGUAGAGGGAGAUGGGAGAGAUAAAUGAAUCUUAGAAACAAAGUGAGGACCUAAGAUAUGUUGUCCAUGAUCAAUUGGGUCAAUUGAGUAGACUAUAUGCCAAAGAUUAGAAGAAGGAAUUACCUUUCUUUGGAGGUUGAUCAACACUACUGGAUUGUCAAAGUUUAUCUAGACUAUAUUUAUAAUUGAUAAAAAAAUAUUUAUUAAUAUAUAAAUAUUUAUAAUUUUUAAAAUUAAUAUUUUAUUUAUUUUUAAAAAGUUAAAAAAAUCAACUAAAAUAAUUUUUUAUUUAACAUUAUAUAUAAUUGGGACAAUCGGAUGAGAUAAAGUUAUACUGAAACCUGCCCAAAAUCCACCUUGCACUUGUCUUAAACUCAUUUAUCUUUAUUCCAAACUUGUCCCAUUAAGAGAGGGAUGGGGUGGGUACUCCCGCUCUAUUGUCAUCCCUACUUUUGAGAGAGGGUGGUAAUGAGGUGUCAAAGAAAGUUAAACAUUUAAAUUUAAUUAAAAAAAAAGGAGUCAAGAGAAGAUAUUACAAUGUAGACCUAUUAGGUAUUAGUUAAAUAUAAUCUAAUUAUUUAAUAGGCCAUGUUACCCCAUAAGACUUGUAGGAAAAAUAGGAAAUUUAAAAAGGAUUAGUUAUUGAAAAUGAUGGAAAAUUAAGUGAUAGAGAACUCAUUUCUUCUCCUUUUAGUUAUUUUUCUUGUUGACAGUUGUUCCUAUCUUGUUAAUUUUUUUGUUAGUACAAAUUCAGUGAUUUAAAAGUCCUCACUUCAUACAUAGAUAAAGACUUGAUGCAUAUAAAGUGUCCCAACAUACAUGCAUAGGUACUUGAGGAAGGAAGAUGUGUGAACAUUCUCCCAAACAUACAUACCAUACUUUGCCUUGAGGAAUGAGAAUAUUUGAAGGUGGUGAGUAGUACCUCUAAUAGUUCUAAACCGACAUUAUUAAGAAUUAAUUUUCUUUGGCAUGCUCGCAUAUUAGAGGGCAUCAAUAGUCUGUUAUUUUCUUUUUAAGCUUUCGAUGUGCUUUUGUGUUUGAUAUUUCAUGCUUCAUAUUUCAAAUUAUCACCCAUUUGAAGUGGGUAAAUUUGAUGAGUAUACUUUGAUUUUAGGGAAAAUUAGGAUUGUUGAAAGAGAGCUCUUAAAAGCAGUGAUAUGAUAAAAAUUAAUUUCAUUAUAUAUGAUUCUAGUUUUUUUUUCUAGCCUAUUUGCAUUAUUGCAAUAUUUUUUAGCAUCCAAACAUAAUUACUUGUAUAGUAUGUGACUUGAGUGCAUUCUGAGUUAUAUAAAAAAUUCAAGUCAUAAGUUUCUUAUAAGUUGAUAAGUUUGUUCACAAGUAGUUUAUGAACUUAAACAAUUCAUUAGAAAUCAUAGUGCACUACCUCCCAAUUACUUGGUUAUCGGGAUAACUUUCCUAUGGUGAGUGUAGCAAUGUGUAUGGUUAUACAUUGAAUAGGUCCUAUGGAGAAUCAAUGAUUGAAUAAUUAUUGAGUUACCAUGACUACUCUUGGCUACUAUGUUAUAUGAGUUCUUAAGUUUAAGAGAAUAUUUGUUAAUGUUGAAGUCAUUGGUGACUUUGAAAUACAAAUGAGAUCCUACAAUGAUCAUAUAUUUCCUACAGAAUGGAUAACUGAUGGUUUAGAUAGGUGACAAUAGAUAUUUUCAAUAGAUUCAGAUAAAUAACAAUCGAUUGAGUGAAUAGUAACCAAUUGAGCCACUUCGAUCAAACUUUGGUCACACUUACAAAAACUGCGAGAAAAUGAUGCACAAAUAAUCUUUAAUGACUCAAAUUGUUUCAAUAUGAAAAAUUAAGAUUAAAAAAUUCAUUUUAAUGUUGAAAUAUGUGUCAAAACAUAAGUUUUUAUCCUUGAAACAAUCAAUCUCUCUUCUUCUUUUUUUUUUUUUUAAUAAAAAAUAUUCAAAGAUGCAUAAAUGGACUCUAUAAUUUUUGCACCUUUUGCAUCUUUAAGGAAACCCAACUAGAUAAUUCCUUGUCAUUUUGAAAACCUUUUUAAUUAUGAAUAAUAUUAAAAAAAAAUGGUGAUUUUCAUUUAAAAAGAUUCUUCAUCCAAUUUAUAAAAGAAUAAAACUGAUUUAGGCACUUGGAUGAUUUUAGGUGCUUAAAAAAAUGUAAUACAAUAUGAAUGUAGUGCACCAACAACCUUACAAAGGGAUCAUAUAGAAAGAUCUUGAUUGAUCUUCUCUUUAAAGUCUUCUUUUUCUUAAUUUUCAUUUGGCUUGAUUUGUUUUUGUGAUUGUCACUUUGGAAAUCAUCUUGUCUAAACACACUUUGGAUAAACCAUUAGUUUCAAACCUUGCUUUGUUAUCAUCAAAAUUGAGAUAAACCAAAUCUUGGUUUUACAAAGUGAUAUUAGAGCCUAAUUGUGAGAAUAUUUAUUCUUGAAAGGGAUGAAAAUAGAAGGAAACUCAACCUUCAUGGUAAAGCUUAACAAUUUGAAUUAGGCCAUGUGGAAGUCUAGGAUGAAAGAUUUUCUCACUAUCAAUGAUUUGUCAAAUAUUCUUAAGGAUGAAGAAGCCAUGCCCAAGGAUAUUCUUGACUUGGAAAGGAAGAAGAUAAACAAAAAGGUAAUUGCCUACAUUAGGCAAUGGGUUGAUACAUCCUCAUGCCAUCAUGUGGCAAAUGAAACAAAUUUCUAUCAUCUUUAGAAGAAAUUGAAGUUAGUGUUUGAACAAAAAAUUGCUAGGAAUAAAAUUUUCUUGUUGAAAAAGUUAGUGAACAUGGAGUUGUAGGAAGGAACUCUAUUAACAAAUUACUUGAAUGCUUGUCAAGUGUGGUAAAUCAGUUGAUUGCAAUGAAAAUGGUUAUAGAGAAUGAGAUGCAAGCCUCUUUAUUGCUAUGUUCACUAUCAAACAGUUGAGAAACUUUUGUUAUGACUAUUAGUAACUCUAUUUCAAAUGGUGCAUUGUCUAUGGAGCUUAUGAAGGGAAAUUUGUAUAAUGAAGAAACAAGAAGGAAGGCUUAUGACACAAAAAAUGCAUAGACCCUCAUCAUAGAAAGUAGAGAAAGAAAUAUGAAUAGAUGAUAGAAAGGCCAUGACAAAUUCAGGGUAAGGUCCUAGUCCAAAGAUAAAAUUAAAUGUUUCCAUCAUUGAAAAGGUCAUUUGAAAAUGAAUUAUCGCAUUUCGAAAAUGAAACAAAAUAGGUAGAAUUAGGAAAAAGAAGAUGAUAAGAAGAUUGUAUGGAUGAGUGAUGUAUGCUUUGAAACCAAUGUGGGGUGUAAGUUGACAUUGAAAGAAUUAAAGCAUGUUCCGAAUUCAUGUCUUAAUUUGAUAUCAGGUUUUACCUUGGGCAAACAAGGUUAUGAAAGCUCACUAAGGGCUCAUUAGUUAUUACAAAAUGGGAAGCAUGUUGCACUUUGUAUGAGACCCAAGGGAGAGUUUGUAAUAAUGAUUUACAUGCUACAAAGGGUACUUCCUUAGAGUUGUGGCAUAAAGGGUUAGGGCAUAUGAGUGAGAAAGGAUUGCAAGUUUUCUAGGCACUAUUUUAGGGCUCAAGAUGAAGGUACAAGUUCUUUCAUCAACCUUUUGGGGAAGCCUUUGUGAUACAAUCUCUUCUUGUUCAUUGUUUUCAAGGGUAAUGAAUUUCUACCUCAAGUAUUAAUGUAUACUUCUACUAGUUUUUAAGGUGAAGAAAUUAACAAUGAUUUGUUUGUAUUUCCAUUUUUAUUGAAGUGGAAGAAAUUUUUUAUGUGGUUUUUUACUUCGUUUAAUUAAAAGGGUUGUUUUAUGUUAUAUUUGAUGUCAUUUUUUGUUGUAUAUUCUUAGAUUAUUAUUGUUUUUUCUUGUUAGAUUCUUGGGGAUUUGUUAGGCAUAAAUUUUGGUUUUCUCAAUUUAUAUUUAUAUUUAUAUUUUUAAAUAAUAUUAGUUAAUAGUAAAGGCUUGCUAUGGUCAUCAUUUAGUCUUGUCUUCCACCUUUAGUUUCCUUAAUUUUACCCACUUUGAAUAAUAACUGGGUUUUGUGUAAGAUGAAAAUAAUUGGUUUAACUGCACAAAAGUCAUGCCUAGCUAGGAUAUAUUACUUCAAAAGUCUAACCUCUAGUACAAAAUUUUCAUGAGUUGAAUGGAAAAGUCCUAGUACCUCUUAUUUUCUUUCCCAAUAUACACACUUUCUCCUUUCUUUGGGCAAAGGAUGCUAAGAAGUAAUAGCUAAGAAGCUACAUAAGGUUGACGUCCUUAGGGCAAAUUAAUUGAUUUGAUAGAUCUUAUAAGCCAUUGAUUGAAUUUCCAACCAUCUUAAUGCUAUGUUGGUUCUGAAAAGAUGUGAGGGAAAAUAUGAGAGAGAAAAAAAAUGAAGGGGAAAAGUAAAAAAUAAAAUAAGAUUUAAAUUUAAUAAAUUAUUUAAUAUAAUACUUAAAAUUCGUUUGAUUUGUUUUAAUUGUUAAGGAUUAAAUAAUUUUAAGAUACAUAAAUUUUUGACCAAUUUGAAUUAUAUUUUAUUUUCUAAUAUUUUUAUAAUAUAAUCAAACAUGAAAAAUUCAUUUUCCUUCAUAUUUGUCUCCUUUUCUUAAUACUUUUCAAAAACCAAAUACAACUUAAAUAUUUGUAUUGAUUGUGUUUGUUUUUUCGUUGAAUAGAAAAAGUCAAAAUAUUUGGUUUUUUCUAUUUAACUAAAAGCAUGUAAAAAUAGGAGCAGACCGACCGAUCCAACUGGUUGGACCAUUUACCAAUUCCAGUCCAGUCUGCCGACUUGAGCUACUUAUAGAUUGGGCGGUCUUUGGACCAUUCAAACUGACGAUUCAAUCGGCGAACUGGUUAACUCUACACCCGGCCCAAAAUUAAAAGGGGCUUGCCACACUUAGCGCAGUAACAUUUAUAACCCACUCACCCAAAUAAGGCCCAAUCCCCCAAACAAGGUUGUUAUUUCCUAUGUGCUGGUCACAAGACUUGUAUAGAGCUCAUAAAGCUCAUCAGGCCUUUACUCUUCCGCUGUGGGAUGAUUUUCUGCUGGGGAAGGACUUGAGCCAAGGACUUGGUGGUUAUAAAAAUGUAAUUUGAAACAUUUUAUUAAAUUAUUCUUGUACAAUAUAUAUAUAUAUAUAUCCUUAUUAAAAUUUUGAAACUUUCAUAUUUUGAAACAUUUAAAUAAACAUAAUCACAUAAAAAUAAUAUAAGUUAAAAUAAUAAAAUAUAUAAUGUUUGACAUAGAUAAAAUUAAAUAUUAUAAUUUUUCUUCUAUAUUAAAUAUGUCUUCAUAUUUACAUAUUACACAUAUUUAUUUAAUAAAAUGAAAAAUAUUAACAUAUUUAGAUUUAUCUUUAUUAUAAUUUUUUGAAAAUAUCAAAUAUAAAAAUAUGAAAUAUUAUUAAGUUUUUAAAUUAUAUAUAUUCUUAAUUUUUAUAAUUUUUUUAAAUUUUAUAUAAAAUAUAAAUUAUGUAUUUACGACGUCAUCGGUUCGAUCACGGUUCAACUACGGAUUCAACCAUUGAACUGUGAAUCAAUAACUUUUCUAAUUCAAUAAUUAGUCUAAUUUUAAAAACAUUGACUAAAAGUAACUUGUUGAUAUCAACCAACAUAACUAAAGUGAAUUUGUUAUCAAUAGGUUUAAUUCAGUUAUAUUGAUUGACAUCAACAUAUUACUUUUAGUUGAAUAAAAAAUGUCAAAUAUUUUAACUUUUUUUAUUAAGCCAAAAAAAAAAAAACACCACUAAGUUUUAUUUGCUUAUACCUUGGCGUAUGUUAUAUUUUUUAAAAGUUCAAUAUGGCCCAACUUUGGUGUGGUACCUUAACAUUUUCCUAAAUCCCAAGGUUGUAUUUUAAAUCAAAUUUUAAAGGAACAAAAUUCAAUUAGCAAAAUUUAAAAUGAAAAAAAUUGGAUUUCAAUUCACUUAAUUCUUGUUUGGUAUAAGAAGGAUUUGAAAGCAAUUCUUUGCUUUAAUAUUACAAUACGGAUGAAAAAGAAUUAAUUUGUUUACUAUUUUAACCCCUAUUUGAAUCAUAAGUAUAAAUAAUUCAAAUAUGAUUUACUUCCGUUAUAAAAAAUGAAUAAACUCCUAAAAAAAAUUAAAUGAAAAAUUAUUAUAAAUUAAUUAUUUAGAGUCUCUACACAAAAAUUAAGAUGAUAAAUUAUUCAUACACCUAAACUAUCUUAAAUUCAGAGUUUAAAUCACUCAAAACAAAAAUAGCUAAUUAUAUAUAUAUUUGCUAUUUCAAAGAAUCAUUUCUUUUUUAUUAAUGAUUAACCUAAGUACCUUUUUGGUAUAAAUAUGUGUACGAGUUUAUUAAUGAUUAUAAAAAUAAAAUAUAUAUAACUAAAAGUAACUCGUGUUUUUACUUGAAAAGUAAUCCAUUUUUGAUACAAAUAUCCUUUACCAUUUCAAGUUUUUAUAAGUAGAUUUUCAAAGAAAAUAGUGAGAGUAUUUUUUUCAAAAUGAGACAAAAAAAAAAAAAAAAGAUGAAGGGUUAAAUUUUAAAAUUUGGGUUUUUAUUGACUCUUUUAAUCAAAUAACUCAAUAUCAAAAGAAUAUAAUAAUUUUUAUACCAUUUUUUUUAUUCCACGUGGGAAUCUAUUAGAUAAAAAAAAAUCAUAUCUAUUUGAAAUAAUUUUUUUAAAGAAGAUUUGAUAAUUAAAAAAUAUUAAAGUAACAAAAAAACGAUAUCAUUGGAAUACAAAGAAGAAGAGAAUGAAAGAAAGAAGAACAUAAAAAAAACAUGUACUAAUCAUCAUUAACACAAAUGCUUCCAACAUUACUAAAACCUCACAUCUUAUCAUCGACAAUCACAUUUUCUUUCCAUUUUCAAUACAUUAUAUUUGAUUCCUAGAAAAUUUGUGGAAAAAUGAGGAGAAAAGAAAAAAAAGAGGGAAAGUAAAAAGAAAGAAAAAGUGCAGGUAAAUAAAAAAUAGGCUUAAAAUUAAUAAUUUUUUUUUUAUAUAUUUCUUUAAACUCAUUUUACUUAUUUAAUUUCAUUAUAUAAAGAUUAAAUAAUUUUAAAAUACAUAAAAUUUUCACUAAUUUUAAUUAUAUUUGAUUUUCUUUUAUAUUUUUUAUAGUGAAACCAAAUAUGAGAAAACCAUUUUUCUUAGUAUUUUUUUUUUCCUUAGUACUUUUCAGGAAACAAACAUACCACUUAAAAGGAAUUGUGUAUUGAAAUCUUAAGCACUCAUAUAAAUAGAAGCCAUGUAUUGAUUAUUUUAAAGUUUUUGCAUUGGUUGCUAGAUUAUAUACCAUUCAUAUGAUAAUUGCACUUGCAUCUAGAAAGGGUGGAAAAUUCAAUAAAUGGUUGUGAAGUUAGCUUUUUUUAAUAGUGUACUUGAAGAAAAAGUUUUUGUUGAACAACCACUAGGGUAUAUUAAGGAAGGGCAAGAGAAACAAGUUUAGAAACUAAAAAAGGCAUUGUAUGGGUUAAAGUAGGCACCAUGCGCUUGGUACACUUGGAUUGAUACUUAUCUAUUACGAUAUGGAUUUCAAAAGAGUCCUUUUGAGCAUACACUUUAUAUUAAAUCAAAUUCUAAUGGUGAUAUAAUUGUUGUAUGCCUCUAUGUGGAUGAUUUAAUUUUUAUAAGAAACUAUCAACAGAUACUUGAAGAUUUCAAGGAGGCAAUGAAACAAUAAUUUCAAAUGACAGAUUUAGGAUUAAUGUCCUAUUUUCUUGGAAUUGAAGUCCAACAAACAGAUGAGGAUACCUUUAACUCAUAAAAGAAGUAUGUUAUAAACAUUCUAAAGCGAUUCAAGAUGGAAUCAUCAUUGGCAAUCUGUACUCCUAUUGUAGACUGAUUAAAGAUGAAAAAUGAAGACAUUAGAGAAUUAGUAAAUCCCACAUAUUUCAAGGGUAUAAUAGGUAGCCUUCAUUAUUUAACUUCUACUAGACCAAAUAUUAUUUAUGGAGUAGGAAUUAUCAGUCGAUUUAUGGAAAAAUCAUAUCAAUCACACUUGCAAGCGACAAAGCGAAUUUAAAGGUAUGUAAGUGAUACUCGUGAUCAUGGAAGUUUCUACUUCUAUUCAAAUAACUUCAGUUUAGUGGGCUACAUAGGUAAAAUCUAGGGAGGUGAUGUAGAGACUAGAAAGAGUACUACUAGGUAUGUUUUUUUUUUUUUAAUCUUGGAACAAGAACUUGUCAUGGUCAUCAAAUAAGCAACAAGUUAUGACAUUAUCAACUACAAAAGCUGAAUACAUGGCAAUUAUUUCCACAGUAUGUUAAGUAGUUUGCCUUCACAUGAUACUUAGUGAAUUGAAGAAUGAACAAAAGGGUUCUACAAAGAUUUUAUGUGAUAAUAAAUUUGUUAUUUUAUUAACAAAGAAUCCAAUGUUUCAUGGUACAAGCAAACACAUAAGCAUCAAAUUUCAUUAUGUUAAGGAAACCGUGAAAAAUCAAGAGAUUGAACUUGAAUUUUGUAGAUUAGAAGAUCAAGUUGCAAAUAUUUUUACAAAGCUAUUAAAGACGGAUGUAUUCAAGAAGUUGAAGAUCAUGCUUGGUGUGAUUGACUUUAGAACUCAGAUUAAGGGAGAUUGUUGAAAUUAUAAUUCGACUUAAAGUCAAAUUAGAAGAAUUUUAGGAAUUUGAGAAAUAUUAUGAAUUGUUAUUUAUUUAGAUUUUCUAUGUUAAUUAAGACUUUUUGUCUAAUAGGAAUCAGAGUCCUACUACCAAGGAUGAAAAUAUUGGUAAUCAUAGAUAUAUCGGUACUUCAAUUUUAAGAAUAUAUCGGAUACAUCUACGGAUAUUUUGACACAAAAUAUCAAUAGACCUAAAAUUGAUCAAAACUUAUAAAAAUGUAAGAAAAAACUCUUAAAAAUGAAAUUAAAAAAUAUAAAUUUUUUAAUUGUACAUUGAUUAUUAAAUUACAUCAAAUAUUAUUGGAUAAUAAUAUUGUGAUAUUUGAUUAUAAUGGGUAUAAUUUUAAAAUAUAUUUAAUAUUAAAAUUAUGAUAUAUUUAAUUCAAUUGUAUUAAUUAAUAUAAAAUAAAUUAUGAUAUAUGUAUAAUUUUUUAAUAAUUAAUUAAUAUGUUAAUGAUAUUAAAAACAUUAUGAAGAAAAUUAUCGUGAUAAUUUUUAUAUUUUUUAUAACCAAUUAAAUAAAAAUUUUCAUUUAAUUAUAAAAUAAUUAUAAUUAAUUUGUUUUUUUUAAUAUUUUGUUUCUAUGAUAACCUUUAAUAUAUAUAUUUGGUGCAUUAUAUUUAUGAAGGGGUGAACUUGCCCUAGUGGUGAGUUAAGGUUCAUGCUGAACCUUUUGGACGAGGUUUGAGUCCUGUUCAAGACCCCUUGUAGAAAAUUGUGGCAUUUUUAAACUUUGACCGCUACACCCGUGUUGACUAUUUGGUUUGACCGUUUUGAUCAAUGUUGAUUGCCCAAAAAUGUUGGGAAAUAUCAACAAAAAAAUCAGUAAAAUACCAAUAAAUGCUGAAAUUUUUAGAAAUUUUGCAUAAUAGAAAUUUCACCUGUCAGUUUCGUGUUGGUGAGCAUCGAUAAGCGAUAUAUCGAAUUCACCGAUAUAUAUGGAAAUUUUUGUCCAUACUUAAUAGAAGUAUAAUUAAUUUAUUUUAAAUAGGUUUGUUAUUACGUUUAAAAAUAGAAUGUAUUAUUUUAAUAAAAAUAUUAUCAAUAUCCAAUUGUAUGGAUUACAACACUUUUAUGUUGAAAGUGCCACCUUAUUCGGAAUCGUAAAAAUAUUAUCAAUACAAUACCCAAUUGUAUGGGUUACAACACUUUAUGUUGAAAGUGCCACCUUAUUCAGAAUUGUAGACACAAAUAUUUAUGGACCACAUUAUAUAAUCGUCUCUAGGAAUUAAUAAUAAAGGUAGAGUGUGAGACUCAUGUAGAAGGAUCUCUUAUCGACGUGCAUGUAUUGGACGACCAUUAUGUAUCGGCUGAUUUGGCUGCGGAGGUGUGAUGGUUGGACUUUCCCUGCUACUCUGACAUAGUUGUUUGUCUGUCAAUAAGAGUAAAAACAAGAAACUAGCAUUAGAUAGAAAAAGAUUAUUUUAAGGAAACUUUUCCUCAUACUUAAUAUAAAAGGACUUCUAAUAUAAAGAACGUUUUCAAAGAAAAAUCAAACAUUUGAUAAAAUUUUAAAAUCAUUUGUAGUGAAGUACUUGAUUUUUUUUUUUUUUCCCAAAAACAUUUCUAGAUGAAAACACUUUUAUUAAAAGCAUUUUAAAUAAAAGAACAGUCAAACACACUUAAACUUUUAUUGGCUUAUAUUGAAAAGUAAUAAUUUUUUAUUUCUAAUUUUUUUUGAAGUGAUUUUUAAAGUUAAAAAGGAAGAUAUAUACUUUUUAUAUUUCUAGUUUUGAAACGUAUUCAGUUUAAUAUUAGAUGAUAUUUGUUUUUUCAACUUUUUGUUGAAAACAAGUUGCUUUCAUAUUUUUGUUUUUUUUAUAUUUUAACUUAUUACUUAUUUUUUUAAAAAAAUUUAUUGAACAUAAAAAGUUAAAAUAUUUUACUUCUUCUAAAGUAACUUGUUGAUUUUUCUAUCCUUCUUAAUACUUAAUAUCAAUAAAAUAUUAAAACAACAAACAACUUAACACUCAAGUAUUAUUUAAUUUUAAAUUAGUAAAAAAAAAACAAACACACCUAAAUUGGCUGAAAUUGAUUAAAAGUGGCUUCUCAUCAAUGAAUAAAAAAAAUUGAGAUAAGAGAAAGUGUGCACCUUGAAAAGCUGAGGAAUGCAGGAUUCUUGCCUCUGUCAAUAGAGACCAAUGAUUCAUUGACAGCAAGAUAAAAGCUACAAGCAAAACAUAGACAACAGCACUCAUAAACGAUCUUCCCAUUAUUCGAGUCUCCCAACUAGAUCAAUUUUUAUAUCUAGAGAGAGAGAGAGAGAGAGAGAGAGAGAGAGGGAGAAUGGAAGGGAGAGAAACCUCUUGCCAAGUGAUAAAAUGAGCAGUAUUUUUUAUACACUUAGUUAGAAGCCAGAAAUUUGAAAGGUCCGAGUCAGCCCAGUCCCUUUAAUAACUUGCAGUGUGGCACAAGGGAUCUUGAAAUAAACAUUAAUCUACAUUGAAUGGAAAAGUGCAAGUAAUAACUCAUUUCCUCAUCCCGUUCUUUGAGCAACAGAUGAUUCGCCUUGUCAUAUGCCCAACACCCACUCUAAGAGCAUAAAAAUUAUUUUACACUUCUAAAUUGGAAAAUUUAGAGAGUGAAUGAUUCAAACAAAUUUCUUGUAAUUGAAAAGUUAUUAAUCACCAAAUACAUGUUCAAACUAAGUAAAAACAUAUUACAUUCCCGAAAGUAAUGGUCGAAACUAUUGUUAAAUCCUAAAAAUUCAAAUAUUUCAAAUACUUUUACUCUCACAUAUCAAUAAAUGAAGCCCAAUUAAGCGUGAUUACAAAUGAGUGUUUGAUCUUAAAUGGUUUUUUUUUUUAAAUUUUAAAUUUUAUUUUUAUAAGGUGGUUGAAACCAAACUUUACUAGUACUGGUAAUUUCAAACCAAACCCCUAAAAGUCGAGUUUUAAUGUAAUUGCAUUUUUCACUAAAGAAUGUAAAGGUUGAUAAUAAUUCUCUCCCCGACUAAGGACAUAUAAACCAAAGUCAAACAAAUUUUUUUUUUUCAUUUUAUUCAAACUUACACAAAAACAUAAUGACUCUAUAUCUUUGUGUAAUAGACAAUUAAAAACAAUCUAACAUAUUUUCAUGCAAAAAGAUAUUUGAUUUAUAUAAAGAAACAAAUAGCAUUCAUAUAAUUUUCAAAUAACAUAUAUAUAUAUAUAUAUAUAUAUAUAUAUAUAUAUAUAUAUAUAUAUUUACAAAAUUUAUAUUAAUUUCCUAAAUACUCAAUUUUUUUAAGAACUUAAUCAUACCUAACAUAAUAUAAGAAAAGCGAUUAAUUAAUUUCAACUUAACUAAUUAGUUUCUAAAUUCUCGAUUUAUGUAACACUUUUAUUUUCUAAGUUAUUGUCUAAACCAAAUCUCUUCAAAACCUAUUCCCUUUAUUUAUUUGAAUUAAACAUAUUAUUAUUAUUAUUAUUAUUAUUAUUAUAUUUAUUCGGAAUCCCUAAUUAUAUUGCUCUCCCUUAUUCUUUACUCCCCAUUAAUAUUUUUAUUAUGCUCCAUUAUUAUUAUUAUUCUUGUGUUUUUAUACAUUGCACAUUGUUGCGCAUACAAAAUGAAUCUAGCCAUGGACCGAUCACUUUUCCUUUCCUGCAAUGUAGCCACCAAUCACUUUUUCGGUUUCUUUAAGUCUCAUUGUUCAAUAGGUAUGAUUUCCUUUUAUUUGUUGUUGUUGUUGGUUUUUUUUAUUUUUUUUUUGUGCCUAUUUCCAUUAAUGAAUUCACCUAUAUUAAAAUAUUUCUAAUUUUUUUGAAAAUCUAAUCUAGAUUUACAUUUUUCAAAAGAAUAUUUAAAUUAUUUAAAAUUAAUGAAUCUAAAAUGUUAUCUUAUAUGAAAAAAAAAAAUUUGAUUUUUAGACCCUAUAUUUUCAAAUAUUUAGCCCGGAUCUCCAUGCAAAAAGAUCUAUGUGCAUGGAAGUUACAUAAUCUAAUUUAUAUCUAAGAUUUUUAAUAUGAAAAGACUUCUCUACCUUCUAAUUAUUUAUUUAUUUUUAAAUUCUAAUUUAUAUUUAACUUUUGUUUGAGAAAUUUUCUGUAUAGUUUUUGCCUACACAAAAUUGAAGUGUCAACAUUUUCAAGCUUCUAACUUGAGCAUAGAAAAUAUGAUUUACAUAAUUUUUUACUAUGAUAAAUUUUAUGUAUAGCUUUUAGUUAUAUGUUCUAUUUUAUAUAUUUUAUCACAAUAAAAAUGUGCAAAUUUUGUAUAUAACUUCAAGUUAUGAAAUAUUUACUAUAUAAUUAUUGGUUAUACAAUUUUGUUUACAUAACUUCCAAUUAUACAAUAAAAUUUAAAGAAAUUAAAAAUUACAUGCAUAGCUCUAGCUAUGUUAUUAUAACUUAAUAAUUUCCCGUAUAACUUGUCAAAAUGAGGAUUUUACAUAUUUUAUAUAUUUUUCAUAACUUCUAGAUAUGAUUUAUAUUUCAUAAUCUUUGGUUAUAAAUACUUUCUACAAAAUAUUUGUACAUGUUUUUGUAUUUAAACAAGAUAAAUGGAAUAGAAAAUAAAAAUAAAAGUGUAAUUUUAUCAGAGAAAGAAGAGAUUUUAUGAUAAUAGGUUUAUUCUUUCAUUGUUUCAAUCUUCUACAAACUCUAUUAUCAAAUGUUACAAUUUUCCACAAACACUCUUCUUACUGUUUCAAUCUUCCACAAACACUCUUAUAGAAACUCUUCGUACAAGACUACAAGAUCUUAUAAGAGUUUUCUUUUGUAAAACUCUUCGUACUGAUAAAGUGUUAGCAAGGACGAAAUGCCUCAAAAGCAUCCCUAUUGCAGCCCAAUCCAUCCAAUCCUUCAAAAGCAUGCAUCCUUGUUGCAGUCCAAUCCAUACCUCACAUCCCUUCUUAAAUACAACUUCAUUUUGUUGCCCAUUUCCAAUGCGGAAUUCACUUCCACAAAGAUUAGAAAAAUUAUAAACCCAAAGCACACUACCAGAACUUGAACCCUAUAUAUAUAUAUAUAUAUAUAUUUUUAUGGAAUUUAAGUCACUUUCCAAUAAAGCUAUGUUGGUCUUGAUUUCAUAAUAUGCAUAUUACAUAUAUAUUAGUUUAUAAAAUAAAAUUUAUUAGUAUAUAUAUAUAUAUAUAUAAUUAAAAUAAAAUUAUUGUAAAUAAGUUAAAUUUAAUUAUAGUAAUUAAAUACAAGAAAAAUAUAAAUUAUUAACAUUUUUAAAUAAAAAAUACUUUUAUAUAUAUAUAUAUUAUCAUUUUUUGAGUUUUUUAAAUAUUUUUAUGAUUUUUUUUAUCAAUUUUCAUCUACCAAUAUUUUGUUUUAAAAUAUUCAUCAAUAUUUCUCCGAUAUAUUCUUAUAUAUCCAUAAUUAUUGAUAUUUUCAUUUUUACAUACUAGAAAAAAAAAAAAGAAAUAACAAAAAAUAUACAUAUAGAAUAAAUAAAGUUAUGAUAGAACUCUAGGGUGUAAUUUUCAUUGAUCCAGUAUCCUAUUUGUAGGAGUUGAAAAAACAAGAAUUAAAUACAAUAUUUAAUUCUUUACAAAGAAUAACAAAUGUCCUUAUGGAUUACUGUGAGGUCAUUCACAAUUAUCUUUUUAUAACAAUAUUAAGAUUAUUUGCAUUAUUAUUAAUAAGUAUUAAUAUUACUAUUAAUAUUAUUAUUUAUAAUAUUAGUAGUCUGAAUUAUUUAUGUUAUUAUUAAUAUUAUCUAUUAUUUUUAUGAUUAUUAUUACAAAGAAGCCCUAGAAGAUAAUUUCUUUUUUCUUUUUUAAUUCUUAAGGCUUGUAAGCUUUAUUAAAAAAAUAUUCCUUUUUCUUUUCUUGUGUUUUGUGGUUUAUAUGCUACAUUAAGAUUAAUUAAAUUAUUAUUAUUAUUACUAUUAUUAACACCUCAUUAAUAUUAUUAUUUUAUGAUAUUAGUUUUAAAUAGAACUAAUAUUAUAUCCAAGUUACAAGUAUGACAAAAAUGUAUUGAUCUUACAACAUUAAUGCUUUAAAUAUAUAAUACAUUAAGAUAUAACCCAAUUUCAUUUUAAAAUUUUUUUUUUAAACAAACACUUGUGGAUAGUUGCCCUAUACUUUUUAACAUUCCCUUUACUACAAAUUAACCUUAGAAGACAUUUUUUUCAUAAGGUUUAUGAUUAUCAUUAUAAAAAUUCAUCUAGUAUAUAAUGUUAAUUCAUUGAAAUGAUGUAUCAAUAUAAACACUAAUAUAAUAGGAUAAAACAAUAUUUUUAAUGCAAUAAAAUUUGUUGCAAAAUGUAGUUAUAAUAUUUACGUAUUGAACUUACAAUAUAAUAUUUGACAGGUUAUUAAUAGCAACGGUGAUGAUGAUGAUAAUGAUGACGAUAACGAUGAUGAUGAGGACAACGACAAUGAGGCCGAUGACGAUGAUGAAGAAGACAAUGACAAUGAUGAGGACAAUGACGAUGACGAUGAAUUAGAAAAGAAAAAGGCAAAAUAAGGAUAUAUUUGAUUUUUUUUUAUAUUUUUAAACUUAUAAAAAAAGAUGAACCUUUGGAGGAAUUAUCAUUCUUGGUUGACUCUAUAUGAUAAUUUUCCUUUAUUUAGUGAAUUUUGAAAUUCAAUUAUACUUACGUCAUUUUAAUUAUAUCUUUAGUUCCAUAAUUAAUGAUAAACUCAUAUACAUAUAUAUAUAUAUAUAUAUAUAUAUAUAUAUAUAUAUAUAUAUACACUUUCCAAUAAUAAUUUAAGAAAACUUGUAGGAUGUAAAAUUCAAAAUGCAUCAAUGGGGAAGCAUUCCACCUUUGAGAGAAACACUUGCAUGGGCAGGCGUGUGGACGAAGCAGAAGUGAGAAUGUUGGCUUGAAUAAUGUAAACAAUGGUGAGAAUCUAAUGCCUUGAAACCUAAGGUUCCUUCGCAAGGUUCAUUCUAGGCACUUACUUCUUAGGCUCUCUUUUCUAGGGGAAAUCCUUGUCUUCAAAGUUUAGGUCUAGUUGUCCAUCCAGUUUUUGCAAUCGUUGGUCCCAAUGAACCUUACGCCACAAGUUUUCUUUCGUCAAAUAGGCUUUAUAGACUUGGAGGGCAUGUAAGUGAGACAUGUUUCGUAGAGAGAUCGCCAAAUUGGCUUUCUUUGUUCCAGUAUUCCAAUUCAAAAGGAAACAAUUCCACUUGCAUUGAGGAUAGACCAACUUGAUUUCUCUAGGACAAGCAGUGAACAAUAUUUGACUUAUUUAUAUUUAUGAUUCAAAUAGGGUAAAAAUAGUAAAACAAGUUAUUUCUUUUCCACCUCUCUCGUGAUAUCAAAGGAAAGAAUUAUUUUCAUUUCAAUGCCCUCUUAUAUCAAACAAGGUAAAUGAAUUGGAAUCUAAUUUAUUUCAUUUUAAAUUUUGUUAAUUGAUUUUUUUUUUUUUAAAUUUCCUUUGGAAUUUGGUUCCAAAUACAUCGUUAAGAUUCACAAAAUGUUAAGGUACCACACCAAAGUGGCACCAUACCCAACUUCCAAUAUGAGUUGUUAAUGUGCAUAGUCAUACAUACGCAUCUUUCAAGAACAAUACAAAGAAAUAAAUCUAGGCUAUAAAAAAAUAAAAUCCGGAUAAUAAUUUCUAUUUCGGUACCAUGCAAUGACCCAAAGAUUUAAGGAGGUUGGAAAUUCAAUUACCAUCUUAUUGUGUGCUAUCAAACUAAUUAAUCUUCCCUAAGGUCGUCAAUCUUCUUUUGCUUCUUGGCAAUUCCCUCCUAGCAUCCUUUUCCCAAAGAAAUGAGUAAGCGCGUCAUUUGGAAAAGAAAAUAAGAUGAUAUUUGGACUUUUCCAUUCAACUCAUGAAAAUUUUAGGCUACAUAUCAGUUUUUUGAAAUAAUAUAUCCUAGCUAGGUAUGACUUUUUCUUGCAUCUAAACCAAUUAUUUUCUUUUUAUUCAAAACUCAAUUAUCUUUUAAAAUAGGUAAAAGUAAGAAGAUUAAGAGAUGUUUAUUUUUUAACUAAAUAGAAAAAAUCAAAAUAUUUGAUUUUUUUUAUUCAAUUAAAAGUAACUCGUUAAUAUCAAUCAAUAUAAUUAAAAUGAAUUUGUUAUCAAUAUAUUGAUUGAUAUCAAUAUAUUAUUUUUAACUUAAUAGAAAAAAUCAAAUAUUUUGAUCUUUUCUAUUCAGUUAAAAAACAAACACCAAAGUGAAAGAUAAGACAGCAUGAUGACAAUAGCUAACCCUUAAUUACUACCAUCUAAUUAAUUUUUGAGAUUUUCAAUUCUCCUGCUUUUGUAUAUAAACAUGAGUUUGGCUGCUUUCAAUGCCAAAUUGGGAAAAUAGAUGGAUUAAUCAAUGUGCAGUAGAUGUAAGGAAUCAACUUAAUAGGCAAAUUAUUAAAAAAAAAAACGAAAAUAUAAAUGGGAAAGACCAAAGCUAAUGCCACCAACUCCCCGAGAAAAUUGCAGGAAACUUCCUGGUCAGUACGAUACUGCAAGUUAUUUAAAGGACUAAUUGGAUGACUUUGACCUGCACUUCCAAGUUUCUGGCUUCUAACAUGAGAGAAUAAAAAAAUAAAAAAAAAGGGAAUUAUAUAGGCAUGCAUCAUUUAAAAAAAAAUUACAUUUUUUAGAAUUUUGAUUUUUCAUUUUCAAAGAAUAUGUGUUUAGGAGAAAAUAACCCUUAAAACACGCAUUCCAAUAUAGUAAAAUUAAUCAAUAUUUCAAACUUACCUUCAAAUCCUCUUCUCUUACUUUCUGCCACCUACCACAGUUUUUGUUUGCCUUUUUUUUUUUUUUCUUUUUUUGCCUUUUUUUUUCCUUUUUUUUUUUUAUAAUUAUUUUGACAAGACAAAUGAGUUAUCAUUACUAUUACUAUUAAAAAAUAAUAAUAAUAACUCCGACACAUUACCGUCACUAUUCCACAUGAUUUUUCAUUUUUAUUUUUCCCUACCUCUAUGAUAUCCCCAUCUUCUUUUUUGCUUUUGUUUUUUAAAAUAUGUUAGCGUGGAAUCCAUAUUUCGGCUUAUACGUUUUCCACUCCAUGAUGAGCUCGAUUUUUAUUUUAAAAUGAUUUUAUUUAUUCAAAAAUUACUUAGAGUCGCCACUUAUUUUUGUUUUAUUUUUAAAAAGAUAAACAAAAUAAGAAAGAAAACUCUAAGUGUGACUUUUUAUUUUGAAAAAGGUGGUCUGUGAAAAAUCGGAUCGGGUUCGAGGGUUAGGUUACUUAUCGGAAAGGUACAGUAAAUACCGUAGCACCCCUCUAAGUCCCUAAAAGUCAGGUCUCUACUAAUAAAAUGAAGCUGACAUGAUAAUUGAUGAGAUAAUUAAUGAAUAAUCAGCAUGAUCGCACAUAUGAAAAUCAGAACAAACAUAGAGGAUGACCAGAGUGAGAGUGGGUACAUACCUGGUCAGCAAACGGUAACACACUAUCAUAAAAUGGGGUUAGUGUAUAAUAAAAAACAUAAAGCAUGUCACAUGCAUCACAAAACAGAAAUAAAAACUGUUCGAGGAAAAAUAGGAUUUUUGAAAAUUGGAGUCUCAGAGACUAUUGGAAAAUUGGAAUUUUUUUUAAAAAAAUUUUAGGAAUUAAAUGUAAGAAUGAGAAUUUUAGAAAUUAAAUUUGAAACAAAUUGAAAUUUUGAAAAAUUAUUUAAAGACGCAAUUUUACACAAAUGAAUAAGUGAAUAAAUAAAUGAAUGGAAUAAUAAUAAUGAUUGGAUAUAUAAUUGCGUAAGUUAGAGUUUUAGAAAUUGGAAAUUCGAAUGAUUAUUUAGAGAUAGGAUUUUAAAUAUAUGAAUAAAUAAAUAAGUAAAUGAAUGAAAUAAUAAUAAUAACGAAAAUAACCAUUAAACAAAUGAAUGUGAAUAGUGAAAUUUUUUAUAUUGAAAAUUAUACUCGGAAGUCAGAUUUUUGAAGAGUUGAACUUUAAUGAUUGGAAUUUUUAAAAGAAAUAGAUAAAUAAAUAUGGAAUAAUAAUAAUAGUAACAAGAAUAAUAUUUAAACUGAUGAAAGUGAAUAGUGAAAUUUUUGAGAUUGAAAAUUAAAUUUGGAAGUCGGAUUUUUGAAGAACUGAACUUUAAGGAUCGAGGUUUUUAAAAGAAAGAAAGAAAUAAAUAUGGAAUAAUAAUAAUAAUUAACAAAAAUGAUAUUUAAAAGAAUGAAAGUGAAUAGUGGAAUUUUUGGGAUUAAAAAUUAAAUUUGGAAGUCGGACUUUUGAAUAACUAAACUUUAAGGAUUGAGAUUUUUAAAAUAAAUAAAUACGGAAUUAUAAUAAUAAUUAACAAAAAUGAUAUUUAAACGAAUAAAAGUGAAUAGUGGAACUUUUGAGAUUGAAAAUUAAAUUUGGAAGUCGGAUUUUUGAAUAGCUGAAUUUUAAGGAUUGAGAUUUUUAAAAGAAAUAAAUAAAUAAAUAUGGAAUAAUAAUAAUAAUUGACAAAAAUGAUAUUUAAACGAAUGAAAGUGAAUAAUAGAAUUUUUGGGAUUGAAAAUUAAAUUUAGAAGUUGGAUUUUUGAAAAAUUGAACUUUAAUGAUUGAGAUUUUUAAAAUAAAUAAAUAGAUAAAUAUGGAAUAAUGUUAAUAAUUAACAAAAAUGAUAUUUAAAUGAAUGAAAGUGAAUAGUGAAAUUUUUUAUAUUGAAAGUUAAAUUUGGAAGUCGGAUUUUUGAAGAACUGAAUUUUAAGGAUUGAGAUUUUUAAAAGAAAUAAAUAAAUAAAUAAAUAUGGAAUAAUAAUAAUAAUUGACAAAAAUGAUAUUUAAACGAAUGAAAGUAAAUAAUGGAAUUUUUGAAAUUGAAAAUUAAAUUUGGAAGUUGGACUUUUGAAGAAUUGCUUAAAGACAUAAGUUUUUGAAAAUAGGAUUUAGAAUUUGGAAUUUAGAAAAUUUAUUAAGAAACUAGAGCUCUUUUUUUAAAUAAAUAAAUAAAUAAAUUACGAAAAUUAGGAACUUGAAAAUUACUUAAAAUUGAAGCAACCAAAUGGGGUAACUCAAUAUGGGUAUGGGCCAUCUUAAAAAGGGUGAUUGACAUGAAGAGCAUGAGGCCUUUCAUCAGCACAUUUGGGCCUGGGCUCCAUGUCAAGCCCAUAUCCAUUAGCAUGGGCAUGUCCAAACCUCCAAUCCCCAUCAUGGCCUGCUUCUCCACCUGGGCAUCAUCCCCAGAGACAGCUUCCACCACCGGCGAGGCGAGGGAUGAGGUGGCCGCUGAGGUGGAGGGCCACGAGGCUCUCCAGGCCUCCGAGACUUGUGCCGCCGAUGAAGACGGCUGGGGCGACGGGGGUGGUGGAGGUGGAGUCGUAGGAGUGGGCGGCGAAGGCUCCGAUCUCCUCGUCGUCCACUUCGAUGACGGUGGGGUGCACGUCGUCGUUGGAGUAGGGACCGCCCACGAUACAGAUGACAGGGAGGUUCUCGCUGUAAGCGCCGGCGAUGGCAUUGAGGACACUGAGCUCGCCGACUGUGAAGGUGACGACGCAAGCACCGACGCCACGGGACCGCGCGUGGCCGUCGGCGGCGUAUCUUGCGCUGGGCUCAUUGCAGCAGCCAAUGUUUUUAAGCCCAGGCUCAGCGAUCAAAUGGUCGAGAAGAGUAAGAUUAAAAUCCCCGGGAACGGAGAAGACAUCACUGACGCCGAUCUGCACCAAACGGCGAGCCAAGUGACUGCCCAGAGUGGCCUCCGACGAAGCGAUGACGGAGGGAGACACUGAGCUCUGAAUAGAAGAAACGAUGUCGUUUGAAGGGCAACCCACGUUGCUGAGAAGGAUUCUCUCCAACAAGAUCGACAGGGACUCAGUAAAUCACCAUUCUCCUUCUUCAAAGCAAGAAUCCGAUUCCUCUCUCUCUCACGAAAGCUAUCUAAGCUCAAAAGAAUCCCAUCAGAAAACUGGUCUGCUCCCUUCUCUAGCCAAAAUUCUCCCCUCAAGCCAACGAAUCUCCUCUCCAAAAGAUGCCAGAAAUAGAGGGGAAAGUGAAGAAAAAGAAGAAGAAGAAAGAAAAAAAACAGAGUAUAUAGAAGAGAAGAUAUGGUCGUUAAAACCAAGCUCCAUUUUGUGAAGAUCAAAGAGCUUUCAAAAGGGACUGGUGGGAGGGUCUGAAUGAAUUUAACACACUAACAUAAAGCAGAACCAACAUGCAACUCAUAUGGGAGGAAACGAGGACCAAGCAAACACAAAUCAGAGUCAGGUUUUUUUUUUUUUUUUCUCGUUAGAUAGUCGAAGCAAGCAUCUAAUACCAGCAAGAUGCAUAAUGUAACUUCGAAAAUGGAGAUCUUAAAAUGUGAGAUAGUUAAACCUGAAUGACUCCUUUCGAACAAAAAUUGGCUUGGUCUCUAGCAACCUGCAGCCUGCCUCCUCUGUUCUUCCCUCCUCUCUUUCUCCCGAGCCCCUGUUUUUUCUCUUCUCCUGAAAGCCAUCCCCACUUCACUGUGCAUCACCCAGCAAGUGCGUCAUCUUUACCACCACCAUGGCCAGCCAUCCUCUUUUGCUACAUGUCCAAUGCAGCUGCUUUCAUGCAUGCAUGGGGAGGUCCCCCCUUCCAAAAAUGUAAUGAAAAAGAAAAAAUAGCCACUCUCCUCGGGCCCUCACCACAAAGGGGUCUUCAGUUAGGAAAUCUUUUUAAUUUCAAUUUUUUUUUUAAUAUUUCAUCUUUUUAUAUUUAUUAAUUUUAAUUAUUUAUGGACAGUUUUAAACAUAAAAUAAUAAUAUAUAAUUAAUGAUGAUAAUUUUAAUAUAAAAAUAAAUACAUGAUAAACAAAUUUAGAGAUUUAGGAUAUAAAAUUUUCUAUAUCCAUACUAAAUAAAAUAUUUAUUUAUUUUAUAAAUUUUAUUAUAUUGUCAUAUUAUUUUAUUAUUUAUAUUUUCAAAAUUUUAAAUUUUUAUGUGAAAAUCAUAAUUAAUGAUUAUAGUUUUAGUUUUUUGUUUAUAAAUUUAACUAACCCAAAAUUGAGAUUUAGGAUAUAAUUUUUUUUUUUGCUAAAAUGUUUGACAUUUUUAAUUAAAGAAGAUGAAAAUUUGGUUGUGAUUUUAACAUUUUGCUUUAUUAAAAAUUUUAAUUUAUAAUAAAAAUUGUAUUUAAUAAGUUAUAUUAAGUUUUAUUAAAAAUUAAAUUUUUUGUAAAAAAAAAAAAAGAAAAGGCAUCAUUCUUUUAUGAAAAAGGUAUUACUAUUUUAUGAAAAAGUUACCACUUUUUUUUAUUAUGAAAAAAGUAAAACUCUAGUGUUACUUUUAACACACUUCCAUGGAAAUUUUAAUAUACUAUAGUGUUACUUUUUUUUUUUUUUUUUAAAAGAGUGGUAUUUUCUUUUCCAAAAUUUAUGUUUAUUAAUGUGCAACUUUAUUAUACAAAAAUUUCAACUUUUAAUAAAUUUAAAAGAAAUGUAACAUAAAUGAUUAAAUAUAAUUUUUAUGAAAAAUAUAUUUUAUUUUUAUUUUAUCUGAAUAAAAAUUUUAAAACUUUAAUAAAGCAAAAUGUUAGGACCACAACCAACCUUUUAUUUUUUAAAUAAAAAUAUUAAAUAUUUUAACUACAAAAAAAGUUAAAACUACAUUCAAGUAAGAAUCGUAAGCAAAAAGUUAAAAAAAAUCAUGAUAAUUGAUUUUGAUUUUCACAUGAAAAUUUUAAAAUUUUUAAAAAAUAGAAACAAUAAAAUAAUAUGAUAAAGAUAUUUUUAUUUAAUCUAUAAUAAGAUUUAUCAAAUAAAUAAAUAUUUUAUAUAAUAUGAUAUAUAAAAUCUUAUAUUCUAAACCUCUUUGUACAUUAAUAUUUUCUCAUUGAUUACUUAUCAUAUAUUAUUAUUGUUUAUAUUAUUAUUAUUAUAUGUUUAAAGUGUCUCUAAAUAAUUAAAAUCAAUAACUAUGAAAAGAUGAAAAAGUGAAAAAAAAAUGAAAUUUAAAAAAAAGUUAAUAAAUUUCUAUGUAAAAUGAAGAAAAAAGAAAAAUAAUGAAAAAUAAUGUGGAUUAUUUUUUAGGUAAGAUGAAGAAAAAAGAAAAAUAAUGUGGCAUGUUGAUUAGCCACAUGUCAACCUUAAAAGUAAUUGGCAUCUUUUGACUUGUUAUUUGAAGGUUAAAAAAAAAAAAAAAAACAAAUGGGUUAAUCGGUUUAAGAAGGAGAAAAGAAUAAAGGACAAUUUUGGACUUUUAAUAAAGUUACUAUUUAAAUGCAUAUUUAAUAUAAGAAUUCUAUAUUUAAUAAGCAAUCCACCUUUACAUAGUUCACCCACUAGCAUGAUCUACUGCUCAUUUUAUCACUUAACAAGAGUUUUAUCUCUCUCUUUCUAUACAUAUAUACUCCCCAAGAAAAUUGCAGGAAACUUAUAUGCUUGAAGCUCCCUGGUCAGUACGAUACUGUAAGUUAUUCAAAGGACUAAUUGGCUGACUUUGACCAACACUUCCAAGUUUCUGGCUUCUAAUUAAUUGCGGGACAUGACCUACUGUUCAUUUUAUCACUUAGCAAGACUUUUAUCGCUCCCCAUCUCUGUAUAUAUACAUAAUACAAAUGCUUGAUCAAAUUGGAAGAGAGAUGAUGGGGAGGUUCUUUAAGAGCGCGGCUGUUUUUGCUUUGGUCGUAGCUUAUAUCAUGUUAUCAAUGAAUUCGUGGUCUCUGUCAGUCGAAGCAAGAAUUCCUCAGUUCUCAGCUACUGCAGGUGCAAAAUUUUUCCUUACUUCAAUUUCUUAAUUUAUUCAUUAACGGUAUGCGACACUCAAUAAACAACAGCCAAUUAAGCUAACGCUAGUUUCUCUUUUUCUGCUUUGAGUGAUGCCAGACAUACGACGGAGUGCCAGGGAAGAAGCCCCUGCCUUGGAACCUCCGAUACCAAAUGUUGGAAAUAGACAUGGAUGACCUAAGUUUCCCGUUACAAAAAUAGCAUAAAAGAAGAAUAGAAGAAAAGCUGCAUAUGUGGUAUCUGCCCUACAGAUGAAUUCAAAGGCAUCAUGGCAGUGUACAACACUUUGCAUAUACUAUUAAUGCAAAGCUUUCUAAUUUUAUCUUCUUCCCAGAACAACUCUGGAGGCUUCAUGUUGUUUAAUGAAAUAAAAUCGCAACAUUCGCCUUUUCUCUAUACAUCUGUGCUCAUUCCUGCUGUAAUCACCCUCCUGAUGUCAGAAUUCUUGCCAAUAACAUUUCUAACACUAUCUUUUGCAACCAGGCACCUAGUGUCAGCAUCCAUAUUCUGAAGCAAGAAGGUGCCACAAAAACAUAGCUAUCAUAUUUGUAAUUUAACAAAAUCAAAGUAUAAUCAGCAAGCAGAUGUAAAGCAUGAAAUAUCGGACACAAUAGCACAUCCAAAUCUCGAAAGGAAAUGACAGACUGUUUUUGUCCUCUAAGGAGUAUUACCUCACAACAAUCUGUUCCAAAUAAUCAUGAAUUUUAUGGUGCUUCAUGCAGAGAAAUUUAUGAAAAAUGGUACUCAUGCCCUGUUGUGGCAAAAGCUCCCAUCUGUCUGCAAGGAGUGAGAUUGGGCUAGCUAGAUGUGUUGAUCAGAUUUGCAGCCAUAUGAACAUGCCAACUAUCAUUCAAGACUUUUGUUGCAAUCGAUCUUAGAAUCAACAGUCUGCCCCUCCCUUAUGAGUAAACCCCUUCACUAUUAAUCUAGCCCUCACUUUUCAUAUGCAUAUUCGUACAUAUCAUGUGAUAUUUGAUUUUUUUAUUUUUAUUUGAUUAAAAAGACUCUUAAAUAUAAAUAGAUAAAAUACCUACUUUUUUAUUGCUUAGAAAAUCUUGUAAUGUUUAAGAGAAUAAUAAUGAUAGUACAAUAUCAACCUUAAUCAAUUCAAUUCAUUCAUAACAUGGACUCUAAAACCUAUUCUAAAUGGCUUAAAUUGUAAGGGUCUCAAAGUAGAUGACACCCAAAGGCUUUGUAAAUAGAUCAACCAAUUGUUUCUCUAUAAGAUACAUUCUAAUGAGACAACUCUAUCCUCCACAACAUGUCUAAUGAAGUGGUGAAGAAUAUCAAUAUGCUUAGUCCUUGAGUAAAGGACAUAAUUUUUCAAGAUGUUAAUAGCACUCAAAUUAUCACAUAUUAUAGGCAUAGUAUCUUGCUCAAAUCCAUAGUCCUACAACAUCAGCUUAAGUGAAAGCAACUGAAUAUAACAACUCCCAACUGAAAUGCAUUCAACCUUAGUCGUGAAAAGUGAAAUGGAGUUAUACUUUUUGCUCAUCCAAGCUAGUAAGGAGUUGUUUGGUAACUAUUUUUUAGAACAAUUUUUUAUCAAUAAAAUAAAAAAUACGUUUGACAAAAAAAAAAUUGUUUUUGUUUUCUAUUUUUAAAAACAGAAAACAAUGUGUUUUCGAAGAACAAUAUUUAGUUUUUUUGUUAUUUUUACUUAUUUUCUAAGGGUUUUUUUUUAAAAAAUAAUUAUACAAAAAUAUAAAAUGCUUAAAAAUAAAAUACUAGAUUUAAAAAUUAUUUUUAUAACAUAUUUAAAAAUAGGUUAAAAAUAUUUUAGGUUUUCAAAUAGGCUUUUAUUUUAUAAAAAUUAGAGAACAGUUUUCAAAAAUUGUUUUUGAAAAUAGUUACCAAACAAGCUCUAAGUAGUUAUCCACAAAGAAUCAUGCACCAAAGACGUUUUUCCUAUCCUACAUUAUAGCCCAAUUGACAUUAAUUAGAAAUCCAACAAUGGUAAGAGAGGUCUCAAAUGGUUACCAUUAGUGAGUUGGAGUAGUUAGUUUAGGUCGACAAUUUUGUUCCAAACAUUCUUAUAUCCAACUCUACAUACUUCCUAGGUUUUACAUUAGCCUGGGGACAUGAGAUUAUCAUCAAAUCAUAUGCAUGGUCAUUCAAGUAAGUAUAGUUGAGUGUGUUUAGUGAGUAAUGACUUGUAUAGGUGUAUUAUGGGGUUAACUAGGAACCAAGUUAUUUUUGGGCUAAAAAAAUGAAAUUUUAAAAGGAGUGCUCAAAGCACUUAGGAAUGUUGAACACUUGAGGCAGUCAAGCGCCCUUUGAGAAUGCUCAAGCACUUGUAAUACAUUUUACAUAUUUUUCUUACAUUUUUUAGUUUUGGUUUCUCUUUUAUUAUAAACCUAGCUUGUUAGGAUUUUUUUUAAAGUAUAAAUAUACCUUAUAGUUUUAUUGCGAUAUACCCACCCUAGAAUAUCAUUGCCAUUAUUUUCUAUGCAUUCCCAACACUCUCAAAGUCCAUAUACUUCAAUGAAGAUUGUUCAUAGUGGUUGAUUUCAUUCUUUCAAGUUUUUAAGGAGCUCACUAAGGAGGACAUGGGUGCAAAAUCACAUCUAUAUAUGAUGACAAAUGUAAGUGCUAACUAUUGUAAGACCCUUAGGAGAGGGGAGGGUAGGGUCUAAUUCAUUGUAAAAUUGUGGCUAACUCAUGGUUUUUACAUCUAUUGAGUUUCUAGAAGACUUUGUAGGCGAUCAUGUGUCAAUUAUGGGCUUGUUCUUUGCUUUGAUAAUUAAAUUCUCACAUAGAUUAAAAAAAAAUAUAGAAAAGUGUUAAAAAUUUGUAUUUUUGAGGAAAAUAAUUGGACUACUUAUUCAUCUCCCUGGCCUCUUUUAGAUGCUUUCAUGAACCAAGAUCUAAACUUUCAAUUGGUAUAAGAGGGAGUUAAAUUUUAAAGAUUAAAUUUAUGCUUGAUCUUGAUUCAUGGAACCACAACAAGUGAGGCCUUCUAUUACUAAUGCACCAUACUUCGAUGAAAACAAUUAUCCUCAUUGAAAAGAUUGAAUGCAAUUCUUCUUAAAGAUGAAAAGAGAAUAGGUUUGGAAUGCAUUGAAAUUUGUUGAGGCACCUCAUUAAAGUUUGGAUGGAAUUGAUAGAUUCAUUGGAGAAUCAAAGCCUAAACAUGAAUGUGAUAAGCUCGAUAAUGAAGGUAGUAAGGAAAAUGCCAAGACCCUCCAUUUUGUAGGAUAACAACAUGUAAAUGUGCUAAAGAGAUUUGAAAUAAAUAUUCUUUCUGUUACUCAUUAUGGGACAUCUACUAAGAAGUCUAAAAUAAAAAUUUAAUAUAUAUGCUUAGAGGGUGAUGGAGGAGAUAUUGAUAUACAUUAUAGGAGGUAACAUCUUCAUUAGUUUUGAGUUUUAGUUUUUCUUAGCUACUUUCUUCUUUCCCUUUCUUUUAUAACCAAACAUGGGUUAUGAGAAAAAUCUUCCACCAUGUUUGACUUAUUUUAUUAAAUCUAGAGAUAUAGCAACAAAAAUGCUAGUGAAGAAGUUGCACAAAAAAAUUAGUGUUAUUAUCCUUUACAAUCAUAUAUCUCAUAAGAUGCUAUAUGUAAUAUAUAGAAAUUUAACUACAUUUCCUUUUAUCAUUUUCUACAUUAGUAUAAAAACUCCAAACAAAAUAAGAUUUAAUGAACUUCAUUUUAAAAAAUAGUUUUUAUUUUUCUUAAUCAAAUGUACUUUCAAGAAAAGAAAAAAAAAUCAUUUUCAAUAAAUAAAUAAAUAAAUAAUUCCAAACCAAAUGUAACCUUAUUUCUCCAAAAUUGUUUCCAUCGAAACUUGCCUAACUUAAGCAUAGUCAAUUUCUAACUAAAGCAUAAAUAAAUAAAUAAACUAAGGCACUGUCAAGUAAUGUGCCAAUGCUUAGAAGAUAAUUCAGUCCAAGAAACUCUUUUAUUUGCAACAACUUACACUGUUUUCUUUUCACUUCAUUUAUAUAUACUCUUCUUCUUUUAUUAGCAAAUUAAGGGUAAGAAACCCAGAACCAUCUACUACUUGGCAACCAAUGUGAUCAUCUCAGUGUCUAAUUUGGCUGCUGCUAAUUUGAUGUUGGGAGUUGAUAGGACCGUUCCGUUUCUCAGGACUUGCAAUGGGAGACCAGAUAGGUUUAGGAGUAUCUUCUCUGGCAUGCCUUCGAAUGGUACUAGGCCUGAUAGUUACACGAGUAUCUUCUAUGGUACCCAGUAGGCUGUCUAUUAUUAAUUUAGAGGCAAACAGAAAAUAGCCAACAUUACAAAGUCAAAGAAUGUGAUGGAAAAGAAGUUUCGAACUAUCAUUUCACAAAUCAGAUCAAUUAGUGCAGCUGAUUUUAUGGUGUCCACCCUGAAUCAAAUGCCUCUAACAUAAUGAAUUAAGCUACACAUCAAACUGGUUAGUCUGCACUUGAAAAAAGCUUUUCCUCAUACUUAUGUAAAGGACUUGAGGAUAGGCUGGCUCAAAAUUUUCAAAACUUGCACCCAUUAAAUUGAAUGAAUCAUGAAAUUGAAGUAUGGAAAAGUUUGUACCUUGAAUAGCUGAGAAAUUGGGAACUCUGGCUUCUGCCAACUGACACCAUGUCUCCAUUGAUAAUGCAAUAUAAGCUAGAAGCUAAGUAUAGACGGAAGAACUUCUAAAGAACUUCCCCAUUCUUAAUUUAUGUGUCCCAAUGUGACCAAGGUUCCAUGCAAUAUAUAUAGACAGAUAAACCUCUUUCUGGUAAACUUAUUUAAUGGCCCCUUGAACUACUGUCACUAGUCUUCCUCCGUUGUGAAGGAUGAUCAGUCAUAAGUUAGAACCUUGAAAUGUAGGUCUAAGUCAUCCAAAUACUUACAAAACUUGCGGCGACACCGAGUGAGCAUGAAUAGUUCAUUUUUUUCAGGACAUUCAACAUAUGACUUAGGCACUGGUAAGGCUAUUGGCAUCAUUGUGUCUUAUUUUCUACAGUUAUUAGUCUCCUUAUUGUAUCUUUUUCCAAAUAAUUAGAAGUAAUGAAAAACCAAUGAGGAGAGUUUGCCCAUUCAUCAUUACCACGUAUCAAUGAUUCAAGCUGGGUUCUUGUUGACCCCCUAAUACAAUACAAUUAGGAGAUAAUGUAUUAACUUCUAACACCAAUGGAACAUUAUAUGGCUGGACGCUAAUUAAUAGCAGUUGGACAGUCUAUAAUCCUGUGAAUUGUUGAGAAAGAAGAAGUAGCAGAGAAAAUGCCCAUUCUCCUAAAUGGGUGAGAAGUCAUGAUAAGAGUGAUCCAUGCCGUGAUUUUCAUUGAGAAUAUAGGAAGCCAAUAAGCUUAAAAUUUAGCCCCAUAAAAAGGAAGAAGAUAAGAGGGUGUUGUAUUCAAUAAGUGAGAGACUGGCUUGUCAAAUAUCGGUUACCUGGGAUUCGGUUCAUUUGUCAAUGUUGUGAGUUCCUAUUACAGGUGGGUGUAACUGCUCAUUGAUUGCAGAAAAAGGAAUGACUUAGUUAAAUAGAUUUGCUUAAUUCAUUUACAGUGCACUUUUGGUGAUCAUACCUAGUGAUGGCUUGGAAAUUUUCAAGGGUGAUUCCACCAUCUUUUGGUGGACUUUACUUUUCAGCUUGAGAUGGAGAGGAAUAUUUUUCUUCAUUUUUAGGUUUUUUGUGAAAUCACAAGUAUAACUAUGGUACUUGAGAAGUGUGUUUUUUGAUGACUGUCAAAUACAAAUAGGUUGUAUUGGUAUUUUCUUAAGUUUGGGAGCUGAGCACUAUUUUCUGGAUUUCAGAAUUUUGGUUUUCAACCGCCGUUUGCUGGAAAAGUUUUCAAAUUCAUAAUUUCCACAUGACCUAAAAAACCCCAAUAUUACAUUUGGUCUACGCCUGCCCCCAAAUUAGAGCAAAGAGAUGCCCAGUGGGAGAUGACGUAUGGUGGCAUCUACCAGCUCUCAAUUGCUGGCUUGGAAAUAAGAUUUAAGGUGGAGAUUGUUGAGUGAUGCUUUGUGUUGGUUUGUAUUUCAGGACUGGUGAUGUGAUUUCAAACUCCUGCCAUGUUCAAGUUCCUAAUUUAUUCAACUCCUUUUUAUUAGAACUUUAGUAUUCUGAUCCUCAGGAAAUAACACAAACACACUGCCUCACACAAAACUCACCCUAUGAUGCAGUAACACAUACAUCCUCUAGGAACCCCAUAGCUUUUCAGCACAAAAAAACACUAAUACAUAAGAGUUUACAAGGCGCAAUAAGGAGUUUAUCACUAUAGUGCUGCAACGAUCAUGUCUCUUUCAAGCCUUCCAGGAAGCAAGGGGUGGAGUGUCAGAGUUCUUCCAGGUAAAUGUGGUGCUCUGGUAUCUGUCACCCUUAACCACAUCUGCUGAAGCAAUGGAUUCUAGUUCAGCCAUUUCUUCUGGAGUUAGCUUCACGGACAAAGCCCCUAUGUUUUGGUUGAGGUUUUCAAUCUUGGUAGUUCCUGGUAUGGGACACACAUCAUCCCCCUGGUGAUGGACCCAGGCCAGUGCUAGUUGUGAUGGAGUGCACCCCUUCCUUGUCGCAAUUUCACUAACCCGCUCAUAAAGGAUUUUAUUAUGCUCAAGAUUCUCUGGCUGGAACCUUGGAAAGUACUGCAAUUUAAACACACAUUUCAGUAACAAAAUUGAAAACCCGACAUAAAAAACGACAUAAUUGCAUAACAUCGUUAUUCAGAGAACAUAAAGGAUUAUACAUGCGCUUCUAACAUUAAUUGAUAAUACAAUUAAACAGGUUCCAAGUCAUAGUAUAGAAUCAAGCCCUCUUGUUUAAAUAGAUUAAAAGGGCAUUUAUUAACCAAUUGAUUAGGUUUUUGUGGCCUCAAAAAAUGGCAUGAGAUCAGGAAAGCACACUAUCAAAGAGAUAGACUAGAUAUUACAGAUAAAAUUCAUUUCCUUUCUCUUCUUGGCUCUACAAAUUAAAGGCAGUAGCUCCUUUUUUAGUUUUUGCCAAUAUUACUCCAUUUAAACUUCCUAUUGAAACAUUAUUACCUUGUUGAACAUUCCUCUGUAACACCACAAUUAAAAGAAGCAGGAAUAAGAAAUAGCAGUUCAUGUAUGAAUUAAAGAAGGUUUGGGACCCAACACAAUGUAAUCUAUAUUAUGAGAAUUAGAAGGCAUGUGGUAUGUAUACAAACCUUUCUCGAGUCAUUGUCUGAUAAGUUCUCAACCAUCUUGGCCCCUGAAGAAAGGAAUCCACGUCCUAGAGGGCUAUAUGCAACGAUCCCAAUGCCAAGUUCUCUGAGCAAAUAAGAAGGAUGAGUUAGAAAUUAAACUUUUAAAUGCCCCUCAAACAGCUUUUCGGUCUCAUAGAUGCCUCACCUGCAAGUUGGAACUAUGUCUUCCUCUACAUCUCUUGACCACAAGGACCACUCCAACUGCACAGCUGUUAUGGGAUGAACUGCAUGUGCUCUUCUGAUUGUUGAAGCAGAGGCCUCAGACAGACCUAUGUACUUUAUCUUACCCUCUUCAACUAAUUUCUUCAGUUCACCCACCUUAAUGACAAGCAUAUAUAAAAAAUGAAGAUUAAUUACAAAAAAAAAAAAAAAAAAAAUCUAAAAACAGAGAAAUUCAUAUAAAAAUUAAUAGAAAAAUGUGUAAGAUAAUCAUCAUACACUACUAUAGCCUUUUGUUAGAGUAAUCAAACCAAGUUGCAAACAUGGGUAUCCUUAAAUGUAAUAAUCUUGAGAAGAAAUUCCGGCUGGAUGAUUUACAGAAGGCCAGGGCUCUCUGAAUAGCUAACGAGUAAUACUCUCUUUUAAGUAGUCAAUGGUAGCACCUAUAGUGUCAACAUGUAGGUUUGCCCAACGCAAGAUGAAUCCUACCUCUAAUGACUUCAUGGCUGAAAUGGCUAGUAAGACAAUACUCAGUUUCCAGCAUAAAAUGGUUGAGCUUCUAUUUGGAAAGGGUAAAACUUUUGAAUGAAUUAUCAUCCAAAAGCAUUCCCCUCUAAUUUAACAAAAAUCCACCAAUCAACUUCUAAAAUUAUGACUGAACCAACCACACAAGAUCAAUCUAAUUAAUACCCAAAAAAUCGCUGAAGAAAGAGCGAAAAGGGCACAAACCGUGACUUCAAUGGGCACGCGAGUGUCGAUGCGAUGCUGGUAAUAGAGAUCAAUACAAUCAACCUCCAGCCUCUUCAAGCUCGCCUCGCAGCACGCCCUCACGUAAGCCGGGUCGCCGCGCGCGUCACGCACCCUGUCGUCGUAUAUAACCCCGAAUUUGGUAGCCAAUUCAACUUUCUCCCUCACUCCUCCUUUGAGAGCCUGUCCAACACCCCACCGAAAACCUUAAAGCAAUCACAUCGUUAACAUUGAUGAAAAGCAAGUAUUGAAAUGCAGGGAGAGAAUUGAAGGACCUUGCCGAGAAGGAUUUCAUUGGUGAAGGGCCCGUAGAUGUCGGAGGUGUCGAGGAAAGUGAUGCCGCUGUUGACGGCGUGGUGGAUGAGAGCGAUCAUGUCUUGUUCUGGCUUGGGAGGGCCGUAGAAGGCGGACAUGCCCAUGCACCCAAGUCCCUGUGCUGAAACCUCGAGGCCCUGUGAGCCAAGCUUCAUCCUCUUUACACUACUCAUCCUCCCUUACACUCUUUACCCUCUGCUGGACGGGGUUCCUACUUCCAAGUAUUUAUAAGCAGGCAGGGAAGUUCCCAGUUCUGAUAAUUUGAUCAAAAGGUCUAAACUCUUUCGUACACCUGACGUAAGUGCUUGCGAUGGACGCCACAGUCGCAAAGCUAGGGCCUGCUGGGUAGGUUGACAUCUAGUAUCACAUCAGAACCACAAAUAUGGAAAAGCAAACUUGCAUAGGGAUUUAGUCCAAUGGAUAUUUUCCGUAUAUAGAAAGAAAAAGAAAACACAUGCCCAGACACGCAAGAUCCUGUGCUGAAACCUCGAGGCCCUGUAAGCCCAACUUCGUUCUCUUCACCUUAUUACUCAUUCUUCCUACUGCCACACGUACUCUUCGCCAAACAUGGUGUAGUUUUGUUUUCUGUUUCCCGUACUUUUCUCCCGGCCAACAGAAUGGCUGCCAAAAGAGACCAGAGCUUUGACCCAAAAUGCUACACUUUAAAAAAAAAAAUCCAUAAAGUAAACUUAAUAUGAAAAUAAUGUCCAAUCAUUUGUGCCACAUAAAUUGCCACAUCAUAAAAUCAUAGUUGAUAACUACGAUUUUAUUUUUUUUAAACAUUCAAAACCGUAGUCAUCAACCACGGUAAAAAAGUUAAAACCGUGACUGGUGACUACGGCUUUGACUGUUUUUACAAAUAGUCAAAGACGUAGUUACUAAUUACGGUUUUAACUUUAAUUCUAAAACCGUAGUUAGUGACUACGGCUUUGACUAUUUUAAAAACAGUCAAAGUCGUAGUCAUCAACUACGGCUUCAACUUUAAUUUUAUAUAUAUAAAUAAUUAUAUUGCUUGAUUUAAAAUAUUUAACUUUAAUUUAUUUAAAUAAAAAUAUUAUAUUAUUUUGAUUUUAGAUAGACUAAAAAUAUGUGAGUGAUUUAAUAAAAAUAUUUAACUUAAAAUAUUAUAUUAUUUUGAUUUUAGAUUGACUAAAAAUAUGUGAAUGAUUUAAUAAAAAUAUUUAACUUAAAAUAUUAUAUUAUUUUGAUUUUAGAUUGACUAAAAAUAUGUGAGUGGUUUAAUAAAAAUAUUUAACUUUAAUUGAUCUCAUUAUUUAAAGAAUAAUAAUAUAUGAAAUUAAAUAAUUGAUGUCUUUAAUUUGAUAUAAAAAUAUUUUGGUUUAGUUUUAUUAAAAUAUUUGACACUAUACUCAAUAUAAAUAUAAUUAGUUAUAAAUAUACUAUUUUAUGCCCUCAUAAUGAAGAAUAUUAUAUUAUUUUGUAACUUUGUACAAAAAUUAAAGCCAAUUAUGCAUUUGUACAAAACAUAAUAUGACUUCAAGUGGGUAAAUAAUUGGAAAAUUACUUAAAUACAACAAAAAUAAUUUUAUUUUCUCCAAUUUUUUCCUUUCAAAAUGGGAUCAAAAUGGAAUGGAAUGGAAAUGCUUAAAAUUUUAACCUUAAAAUGCCAACCUAAUAGAAUUUGUUUUUCCACUUCUUAAAAUAUAGAAUUGUAGAAAGAAAAUACCUAUGUUUUUCCAAUCAAUUCACCAUUUAGUUUAACUGUUUUGGUAAAUAAAUGAAAAUGCUUUUAGAACAUUUUUGUAAAUUCAUUGAGAAUAAGAAAAAUGUUCCUUAUUGGGUUUUAACGGAAGUUUUGGACAAAAAUGAUUUCUUUAAAACAAAAAAUUCAUAAAUUAAUUUUAUUCUCAAAAUAAUUUUCAAUGUGAUGUGUGUCUUAUUCAUGAAGGUAUUUACAUCAUAAAACUGUAAUUGGUAAUUAUGAUUUUUUUUAAAUAGUCAAAAUAGUAGUUGGUGAUCAUAGCUUUAAAUUUAAACCUAAAACCAAUUUUUUUAAGUUCAAAUUUUAAAUCAUGCGAAUGUUCAAUUUUUUAAGAAUUAUUUUGAUUGGAGGUUAAGAUUGUAAAUUAGUUUUAAUGCAUUAUUUUUUCUAUAUUGAUAUAGUGUUGUUGUAACUAAUUAGUUACAAAUUUUUAGAUUGUCGAAUUGCUAUAUAUAUAUAAGUUCAAUUUAAGUUUAAAAUUGAUCAUAUUUUCAUUUAAAUAUAUAAUAAUUUGUUCAUAAUAAUAAUAAAAAAAAGUUAACAAUAUAAUGCAAAUGAAAAUAAACACAAAAACUAAAAACCAGUCCUCAAUGAGUGCCACAUGAUGGGGCCUUCCUCUUUCUCUACGGACGCCUAUGAUACACAGACAUCUUUGUGGAAUCUAACUGUGCAAUCUGCCAUGUCUCAGUAUGUAUAGGUUGAGAUGGAGCUGAUGGAGGCAAGACUCGACGUCUAUGUGGACCACGACGUCUCCUAGGUGGACAUAUAUCUAACUGUGUAACAUGUGUAAGGGUAUGAUGCAUGGUAGCCUCUAUGGGAAGAGGUGUAGGUGAUGGUAAAGUGGUAGAUGGUGGGGCGAUCUCAGCUUUAGUGAUAUCUGAUAUGGUAGCAUCUAGGAGAGGUGAUAUAGGAGAUGGAAGAAUGACAUCUACUGUAGUGGUAGCUGGUGCAAUAACAUCUGAUAUAGUGAGCUCGAGGAGAGGAAAUAUAAGUGAUGAUGGUGAGGUGACAUGUGGUGUAGUGGUCUCCUCGAGACAAGGUAAAGGUGAUGGUAGAUUAGUAGAUAGUGGGGUAGUCUCUGGUGUAGUGACAUCAGGUAUAGUGGCAUCUGUGGGAGGAAAUACAGGUGAUGGUAGAGUGGUAUCUGAUACGACAUGCUCUAAGGGAGAAGGUCUAGGUGAAGGUGAUGGUAGGGGUGAAGGGGGAAGUAUGGAAACCUCAGGUGCAAAUGGGGUAGAUGAUGUGGAUGGUGCUAACAUGGUCUCGGGUGGAUGCAUAGAUCGUCGAGGCUGUCGACCAACUCACCCACCAUCUCUCCUACUAUCUCUCCCUCGGCCUCGAAUAGGCUGCAUUUUAACUGUAGUAGCUGACACAGGUGGUCUCAUAGAUGGGUAUGAUGAUGUAGGCGACUGACGGGCAAAAUGUAUGCAAUGGUCCUCUCCAAUAACAUGCAAAAUAUCAAUAGCAAUCCGAUGAAUAUCGCCUAAUGCACCUGAAGUAGGCCCAGCAGAUCGACUAGCAAUCUCAACCAUACCAGUGAUCUAUUAAAAAAAAAAAAAAAAGUUAAACAGACGAAGAUGAUUUUAAUUAAUUAAAAUUUAAUAAACCAUUUGUAAAUACUAACAACUGAGUAGCUGCUGCUGUACUAUGAUACCUCAUCUGAUCUCUAUGGAGAGGGGGUGUAAUCAAACGUCGUGUAAUACGUUGGUACCACUCCAUAUAUGGAUCAUGAAACUGCAUAGCACCCACCAUAGGUGGUGCCGUCACAAUACGCUCCGCACGACUAGCCCAUAAGGUAAUAUAUUGUGCAUGAAAUGCCUCCCAAUCAUACUUAUGUCGUCCUCGCCUAUCCACGGAAUGGAGGUGUUGCUCUAUGGAACAAGAUGGAGGUAUCCCUUGUUGGAGGCCAAACUGUCGCAACACUCGCUCCAGUCGAUGCCACUUGACAAUGUCAAAGCAGAUAAGAGGUGACAUCGUCCUCCAAAUCUCCUGGUCUACUAGAGAUAUCGCCGCAAGAUGGGCAACUAAGUCUCCCAUGUAAGGCUCCCAUAAAACCUAUUAAAAUCAACAUUUGAAAUUAAUAAAGUUAACGUUUAUAUGGUUAACAAUAGCACAUUAGAUCUUAUAUGUACCUGGUCAUGGGUCUGUGCAUCUAAUUGGUCUCGAUAAAAUGUUAACACACGUGAUGGGUUUUGAGCCCAUGAUAAAGGUACUCUCCACCUACAUCCUAACGGAUCAGCUAGUAAACCCUCGUGUAACAAUGCCUCAUCCUGUAAUCCCUACUCUAAAUGCUCAGCUGGUAAAUCAUCGACUGCAUCAUGCUCUAAAUGCUGGGCUAUUGGAGGGGCUGGUGGUCGACCAAAAUCGGGUUGACCCAGGUGGAGUCUCUCCCAAGACCAUAACUGCAAAAAAAUGUAACAUUAAAAUUUUACUUAAAUUAUAAACUUGAAACAACUAGAAAUUUCAAUCUAAUGUGAAUAAUUAAUUAUACCUGUAAUAGUGUGACACAUCCAGCAAUAUCGGUGGCACCAUCCAAACUCGCUUGACACAACUCCCUAUAUAGGUGUGCUAAUACUACACUACCCCAACUAUACAUAGAUGUCUGAGUCAAGUCUCUAAGAAGUGGGAGAUAACACAUAUGUAUGUGAGUACCCUUCUUGUCUGUAAAUAGCGUUGAACCUAUGAGUCCUAAUAUGAAAGCCCGUGCAUACUGCUCUAAUGUGGCAUCAUCUAAAUCAACUGGUGGAUGAGAGAACUGGUGACAUAGCCAUCGUGUCAAUAUCACUGAUCCUUUAAUCUCAGAUGUAGGGGGAGUCACCCCUAAAAGUUCAUAACAUAGCAAUGACCAAUCUAUAUCACAUGUGCCAGUGAUGAGAAGCCCAUGAAUACGAAGACCUAAUAUGACAGCAACAUCCUGUAAAGUAAUGGUCAUCUCCCCAAUAGGUAAGUGAAAUGUGUGUGUCUCAAGACGCCAUCUCUCAACUAGACUAGUGAUCAAUCCCCAAUCUAGUGUAAUGUGUCCAAUACGAUAUACACCAUAAAAUCCAAAUUGAAUAAUAUAAGGUCGAAGACGAGGAUCCAUCUCCCACUCCCGCAUAAACCUAGAUAUAUGUUGUCAACAAGUCAAGACUGAAGCAAGCUGUAAAAAUACAAAUAAAUCAUUUAGAUAAUAAACUGCAAUUUUUUUCAUUCUUUAAAGAGAUAUUAUGUGUUUUCAUAUACAUACCUAACCAGAGUCAACUAAAUGAGACCUAUGUCUAUCCUGUAGAACCAAAAUAGAUGUAUCUAAUGGAUUUGGAUCAGAACUAUGUCCUCUAUACUCCAUAUCUGUAACAAAAUUGUGAAGAUAAAUAAACAAUACUUAUUGUUUUUAAAUAAAAAAUAUUUUUAAUGGAAAAUUUUUAAAAAUUUAUGGAGUUUUCCAUAUAUUAAGUAUAUAUCAGUUUGAUAAAUUUAAGAAGAUCAAUUCAUUUAUGACCAAUAAACAAGUCAUACUAGUUUAAAUUAAAAUUAGAGAUACAAAUACAAUGAAGCAUUUUGUUAACAUUUUUAAUAGAAAAUUUCAAAAUUUUGACAGAGUUUCCCCUAUAGUAUGGACAUUAUUCCAAAUACAAAUAACCUGAUUAGGCAAAUAACAUCAAUAUUUAUAAUCAAACCAAAGCCAAUAAUUGAAUAAAGGUAGUAUCAUAGUAGCUUACAUCACAAUAUCCAAGAAAAUUACAUGCACACAUCACAAGGUCUAAUCAACUCUAUUACUGUUUUGACAAGAACGACGAUUGUGGCCACUUUGUUUGCAUAACCCACAUGUAAUAGAAGUCUUGCCCUCCCUAACAUCCAUUUCAUUAUGUAAACGACUUGAUUUAGGUCGUCCACUCGAUGCACGUUUCAUCGACUCAGAAGGCAUGAUAAUCGGGCCAUCAUAAGGAGGCCACUCAUAUACAUUGAAAAUGGGAUGAAACAAGGGUGCUUAAGUAUUAUAGUACGAUUGUGUACUGUAGUAGUGUUGAAAAAGUGGUCUAAAAUCAACUGAACGAAAAUGACAUGCUGCUAGAAUAUGACUACAUGGGAAUCCAUAUAUGAGUGUUUUACCACACGUGCAUGCAUACUCCUGUAAGUUGACACGAUAUGUUCGACCACGAGUUAAGCUACUCUUAGUACCCCUAUUACUCUUCACAUGGAAUUGUCCUUGGAUGUGAUCAUAUAAAACAAUCUCAUGAGAUCCCGCCUUAACCAUAUUUGCCUUCAUCUUAGCAUCAACAUAUGGAGUGUAUUCCUCAGUUGAAGCAAGUCGAUUAGCACUUUGUUCCCUUCUCACAACAAAAUAACUAUUUAGCCGAAAAAAUGUCAAUUGAACCAAAGCAGUUACGGGUAAGCUAUGAGCCCCUUUAAGCACACUAUUGAACACCUCCGACAUGUUUGUACUCAUGAUGCCGUACCUUCGACCUCCAUCAUGAGAGUGCCCAUUUUUCAAAAGGGAUUGCUUCCAACCAUUGUUGUGCAGCUGCAUUAAUCCUCCCAAUUAUGUUCAUAUGUUUAUUGAAUUUUUCAAUCUUGGUUGCUAAGGCUACUCUGCACAUCAGAUUUUUCAAUAUUUUAUCCUUGAAUCGAGUCAUAAAAUUGCUAGCAAGAUGACGCAUACAAACCCUAUGAUAUGCGUAUGGCUCAGACCAACCAAGAUGAACAUCACUCAUUGCAGCCAUAAUGCCUAGAUGUCGAUCUGAUAUAACACAAAGUUUCCUCCUAUUAGUGCCUCUUGUUCUAAUACAUGUCAAAAACCAUCCCCAACUAUCAAUAUUCUCACCCUCUGUUAUGGCAAAAGCCAAUGGGAAUAACUGAUUAUUUCCAUCACAAUCCAUAGCAAUCAUUAAAGUGUCUUUAUACUUCCCAUACAAAUGUGUACCAUCAAUACUGAAUAAAGGCCGACAAUGCUUGAAUCUUUCAAUAGAUGGCUGAAAUGUCCAAAAAACUCGUUGAAAUAUUUAUGUAUUCUCCAUAAUACCAGGAAAUGUUUUUGAAAUUACAACACAUCCUGGAUUUGCCUGCUCUAAGGCAAUGAAAAAAUGUGGUAGCUCUGCAUAUGACUUAUAAAAAUCACCAAAUAAGUUUGUAAGAGCUUUAAGUUUCGCUUUAGAUGUCUUCUUGUAUGAUAUUUGGUAUCCGAAUUUCUCCACAAUACUUACUUGAAUAGCAGCCACUGACAAUGUGAAUUGUGCCUUAAUCAUUCCUUGGAUAUGAGCAGCAAUCAAGUUGGAAUCUAAUUGUUGAUGAUCUCGAUUCAAGCAAGGAUUUACACAUUUGUGGGGACCAUUGUAUUUAUUGAUUACAAAUGAAGUUGUACCUUUACAACCAUAGCACGAAGUUUCCAUGGACAUUGCGAUUGCUCAACCUUCUUGCAUCUUAGGACCAACAACUUUAUAGUUGACGAAACAACAACGUACUCUUGGUGUUGACUUAAAGAGUACAACUUCGCAACAUGUUGUGAAUCUGCUUUUGAAUUAAAAACUUGGCCAACCAUGAACUCUCCACCUGAGUUUCCAAUAUUAGUGUUCCCCCAUGGGGUCUAGUUACUUGAAACGGCGUUACCAAUGUUUUCUACAUUUUCAAACUGCAAUGAUGGUGUCGAGUGAUAGUGAAUAGGGGAAUACUCUAUUGGAUCAUCAGGAUCUGGGUUAUUUGACAUAUCACAACAUUCCCCAUCCACGGAGACAUAUCUCCCUUGUUCACUUUCCAUUGCUUCGUGAGGAGUUAAGAAAGAUGAAACAACAUUAACAUUAUUGUUUUCCUCAUCAAUAAAUUCGAACACCCCAUCGCCAUCAUGUUGAACAUCUUCUGCUCUCUCACUUUGAUCAUCACCUUCUUGGGAUUCACAUUCUUCUUCAUUUUCAUUUGCUCUACACUCAUAAGUCAUUGCAACUGGGGCACUACUAGGUCCACAAUCAUACUCAAAUUCCUCAACAUUAUCAUUUUGUCCGAGUAAUAAUUGUGUUAAGUUACCUAAAAAUUGUCCCCUCUCCCAUGGUUGUACUGACACUUGUUCAAUAUACAAUUCAAUUUCGUCCAUUCCAAAUGUAUUAACCAAUUUCAACAUUUGAGAUAAACUAUUAUCAUCCCAUAUUGGACAAGGUUGAAACCUAUUUUCCCUUUUUAAAGGAUAUCUACAGUUGAGGACUAAUUGAAAUUGUUUUUUGUCAAUGCCAGUUCUCGAGUAUAUCAUAGAUAACAAAUGUUCAUAGGUUCAAAUAACAGGCACAUUCAAAGGCACAAUUACAACUAGAUCCCCAAUAUACUUUACAUCUAUUUCUGUCCUCAACAUUUUUCCUUUACAAAAGCAAAUCACAGGGACAAUAGAUUCAGACAUGAUUUACCUACAAAAAUUACAAUAUCAAAUGGUUUAAUAAUCAAUGAAAAUAAUAGCAAGAGAAAUUGCAUAUAAUAUUUUAACAUGAGAAUACACAAUUAUAUAAUAAAACACAUUUUUACACAUUAGGAGGAAAAAUAUAAAUCACUUCAUAAUAAUAAUUUUUUUAUUUAAAUAGUUAUCUAUGAUACAAAUAUAAUCAUAGAUAAAUCUUUUAUAGAAUUUUAAUUUAAAACUUAGGUAGUGGGCUAUAAAUCAAUAAAUGUUGAGUUAAAAAAUUACAAUAAUCUUAAAAUUAAAUAAAAAAUAAUCCACCAAAUUUUUUUUAUUAUAAAAUAUCAUAUAUUAAAAUAAAAUUGAAUGUUAUGAACUAUUAAAUAAUAUAUAAUUUAAACAAUUAUGUUAUUAUUCAUGAAUCAAUUGAUAUUUGAUUAAAGCUAAAAGUCGAAAAAAAAAAUCAAAAUCAAAAUCAAAUAAAAGUAACUGACCAAAAAAAAAAUAUAUUAAUAAAAUAUCAAUUACACAAUUAUAAAAAUUUGAUAUAUGUGUUUAUUCUGUUUUUGGAAAGCUAGGUCCCUUCUUUUGACUAGUUUCAUUGAUCAGGAGCUGUCUAGGUGAGAAAUUGUGUGUGAAGAUUAAUCAAUAACCUAGGAUAAAUCAACAAUUUCAUAUGAAUUACCAAAUUGCAUAUCUAAAACAGGGGACAACAUGGGAUAUGGGAAGCAUGAUCUCAAAAAGAUAGUAGAACCAAGGAUGAGACAUCAGUUUUCAUGGAUAUAUCAGUAGUUGAAUUUUACGAAUAUACUAGGAUAUAUCGGGAAAUAUCAAUGGAAAUUUUGACAAAUAAAUCGAUGGAAGAAAUUUUGAGAAAAAAAAAAGAAAAAACAAGAANNNNNNNNNNNNNNNNNNNNNNNNNNNNNNNNNNNNNNNNNNNNNNNNNNNNNNNNNNNNNNNNNNNNNNNNNNNNNNNNNNNNNNNNNNNNNNNNNNNNNNNNNNNNNNNNNNNNNNNNNNNNNNNNNNNNNNNNNNNNNNNNNNNNNNNNNNNNNNNNNNNNNNNNNNNNNNNNNNNNNNNNNNNNNNNNNNNNNNNNNNNNNNNNNNNNNNNNNNNNNNNNNNNNNNNNNNNNNNNNNNNNNNNNNNNNNNNNNNNNNNNNNNNNNNNNNNNNNNNNNNNNNNNNNNNNNNNNNNNNNNNNNNNNNNNNNNNNNNNNNNNNNNNNNNNNNNNNNNNNNNNNNNNNNNNNNNNNNNNNNNNNNNNNNNNNNNNNNNNNNNNNNNNNNNNNNNNNNNNNNNNNNNNNNNNNNNNNNNNNNNNNNNNNNNNNNNNNNNNNNNNNNNNNNNNNNNNNNNNNNNNNNNNNNNNNNNNNNNNNNNNNNNNNNNNNNNNNNNNNNNNNNNNNNNNNNNNNNNNNNNNNNNNNNNNNNNNNNNNNNNNNNNNNNNNNNNNNNNNNNNNNNNNNNNNNNNNNNNNNNNNNNNNNNNNNNNNNNNNNNNNNNNNNNNNNNNNNNNNNNNNNNNNNNNNNNNNNNNNNNNNNNNNNNNNNNNNNNNNNNNNNNNNNNNNNNNNNNNNNNNNNNNNNNNNNNNNNNNNNNNNNNNNNNNNNNNNNNNNNNNNNNNNNNNNNNNNNNNNNNNNNNNNNNNNNNNNNNNNNNNNNNNNNNNNNNNNNNNNNNNNNNNNNNNNNNNNNNNNNNNNNNNNNNNNNNNNNNNNNNNNNNNNNNNNNNNNNNNNNCAUAUAUAUAUAUAUAUAUAUAUAUAUAUAUAUAUAUAUAUAUAUAUAUAUAUAUAUAUAUAUAUAUAUAUAUAUAUAUUAUUUCUAAUAUUCGAUAAUAAAUUAAUAAUAUAUAGAACUUGAAAACACAUUUUACAUUGAUAUAUCUAAAAGAUACAAAAGAAAUGAUGAUAUAUGUAUGAUUUUUAAAAUAUUUGUAAUUUUUUUUCUAUUAAGUUUAAUUAAUAAAAAAAAUAUGAACAAAGACUCAUUAAAAAAUUUAUGAUAAUCAUUUUUAUAUUUUUAAUACUUAAAUCAAAUUUGGAAAUAAGAUAAUUAAAAUUAAAUUAUUUAUUAGAUGUUUAUUUUAAUAUCUUAUGUAUGAUAAAAAUGUAUUAAAAAUAUAUUUGUCUCCAAAAUUCCUUUAUUUUUUUUUAUUAAAAUGAGAAAAAUAAAAAUUUGUGUGUGUGUAUAUAUAUAUUUAUUAACAAUUGUAAAACAAAAAUCACAUUAGUCCCACUAGUCAUGAACUUUUUUGCCAUGUAUAAGAACAAGGGGGUUUGAGUCCCAAUAUGGUUUUCCCAAAAUUUAAAUUAUUUAUGUUGUCUACCAUAUGAAGUAACACCCAUCUGGAGUGGCAACAAAAAGGUCAAGAUCAGAUUCUGAUGGCUAGGAUAAAGGCCUUGAACCCACCUUAAUAAUAGCAACCAUUACUUUGUUUUCGUGUACACACUUUCCUCUCUAAAUACAAGGCAAAAAAGAAAUUGUUUAAAUGAAGGGCUCUCAUUUUUUCUUCUUCAAACUUGGCAACUUCCAUACAUAUCAAGAAGAGAACUAUUAGGCAAAUCCUAAGUGGAAGAAAAUUAACAAAAGUUGAACUGUUACAAACUUAUACUAGAGGCCUUCUACUCCAAGUGUACUAAGCCUUUCAUUGUACCAUGUAUAUUGUGAAAAGAUCAUAAGCUUAAAGCUACUAUACUUUUUUUCUUUUUCACAUUAAUUACUUUUCUGCAUGGAAAAUGAAAGCAAAAGAGAAAAACAUGUCCCUUGACACUUUCCAUACCAAACAAUCCAUGGUCAGCGUUUUUGUCUAUUUUACUUGUAACGUUUAUGCACUGCACCUCAUUUACCAUUUUUGUAUUUCUCAAAAACUAGCUAGCUAGGUUCUGCUUGACAACCUUUAAUUGGUAGGAAUAAACUUCUUUUUGAGAACCCAAAUAUACUUAUGAAAUAGUACAAAAUUUUCCAACUUAUUCUCAUUAUUUUUAGAUUAUUUUUCAAAACACUCUACAAAAAAAAUAUGUGAAAAAUCCUUAAACUUAUUCAAACAAACCACUCUAUGUUUAGAAUAAAUUUUCAAAAGCUAUUUCCAGUCUACAACUUACCAAACAUUGAAAAACUAUUGUUUGUUCUAAAAACAAAAACUUUUUUAGAAAAUAGGCCCCUUAAAGGAUCCACAAGAUGAAUAGGGCAAAGAUUAGGGAGAUCAAUAAAAAAGGAUCAGACAAUGAGAUCUAUUAACAUAGUGUUCAAUCUAAACAACCUUGUUCACAAAAAAAAAAAACAAUGGGUCUAGUUUUUUCAUGAGUUUUACAGUGGUUAUUCAAAUUUACAUGGAAUGUUUUUGACAGUGAAAACGUAAGAUUGAACCCACAAGAAGGGAGAAAAACCAAGCUUUGAAGCUUACCUAUCCACAAAUACAGGAGAGCAACCUCAUAAGAAGAAGAAGAAGAAAAAGAAGAAUAUGCUUGUACUAAAGCUUUUGAUUAAGGUUUAAUUUGGAAGAGAAAGGCAAAGAGAUUCUUGAGGUAAACCAAAACAGUAGCAGGAGAAGGAGAAGAAGAAGAAGAAGAAGAAGCAGAAAGAAUAACUAAAAAGGAAGUUGAUCGUGAGCCCUGCCUUUCAUUCAAUUCAUAUGUUUCCCAUGCAAAUAUAUAUGAUGUAAGUCCGAAUAUUGGCUAAAAAUCUAGAAACGCAGAUAAUAAAUUUAAAAAUUAUUUUUUACAUUGGGGGUUUCAAGUAAAAUUUUGAAAAUAACUGACAGAUAGUUUAAAAAAUUGUCCUCAAAAAUUGUUUUUUAUAACAAUUUUAAAAAAUAGUACUAGACAAGUUCUAAUAAUUUCUUACUGAGUGGCAGAAUGAGAGAAAAUACAAAUAAAAUAAUUAAAAAUCUCAUAUAUACCAACUGAUGAAGGAUUGAAUGUUCAAGUUUUCAACUUUUCAUUAGUUCAAUAAAAUUACAAUAAAAGGAAUGAGAAUUUCUGCAGAUGCAAAGAAGAGAAUAGAUUUAAUAAUAAAAAAUCAUUAAAUUAUGUUCAAUUAGAAUCUCAUAGGAAGCUGAAUGGAAAAAAAAUCAAGUAUCACCAAACUAAAGAACUAUAUAAAAAAAUCUCAAGGUUCCAAGAAGUGGAGAACUAAACAACAAAACAUUUUGCAUAUAUUUUGAGAAUGGGUUUAAGAUUCUUGUUCAAAUAUUUGAAGAUAUACCAUCUGAGUGGUCCUCUCACUCUUGGUAACAAAUAUUUGAAGAUAUUUUCUAUUUCUAUAACAAAAAUCACCGGAGUUUUUUUACAGUGGUCCCCUCCAUUUUUGGUAUCUUUAACAAAAAGAAAUCCAUACUGGUCCCCCAUUCCAUAUCCGUUUUCUUUACCAAAAAAACCAUUUUCUUUCUGCUAAGCUCAAAAUCAAAAUAAAAUCAAACAUGUCUUUACCAAACAAAAACCAAACAAAUCUACAACAAAAAACCAAACAGAUUUACAAAAAAAAAAAAAAAAAUUAAAAUUUACGAUUAACUGAAAAAUUCAUAAAUCUUACCUGACAACGACUUCCAGAAUUUGAAUUUGAACCAAGGAUGCAACGGGAAGGAUGAAACCCUAAAGGGAAGAACGAAACCCUAAAGGGAAGAAAGCCAAUCGGGAAAAUGGAGAAACCUAAUGGGAAAGGGACAGAAAAGGAAUUCAAAACCAUAGUUACCAACUACGGUUUUGACCAAUUUAAAAAAAUUCAAAAUCGUAGUUACCAACUACAGUUUUAUGAUGUGGCAUUCCACGUGGCCCAGACGCACUAGAUUGGGCAUUAUUUUCAUAUUUGGUUUAGUUUAUGCAUUUUUUUUUUAAAAUGUGGCAUUUUGGGUCAAAGCUCAAGAGACCAAAUGGUUGAGUCAAUGGUAAUGGGUCAGAUGAAAUUAUUGGAACUAGGAAAUACAGAGAUUAAUAACCAUGAAAUUUUCUAAUAUAUACAUAUAUUUAUGUCAAUUUGGGCAUUACAUUUCAGCACUAUCCCAACAUUUUUUUUAUUAUACUUUUAUUUUAAUUCUAUUUUAAAUUUUUGGUUUUAACCCCUAAUUUUAGCUUAAAAUUUAAAUUAUUAAUUAAUUAUUUUUAAAUUGUAGGUUAUUUAUUCUUACCGCCUUUUUAACAUUUUUAAUUUUAAAUAAUAAUAAUAAUAAAACGAGAGAAAAAUAAUGAUAAAUAUUAAGAUUUUAUUUGAAAAGUGUUUUUCAAAAUAGUUGUAAAAAAUUAUUUUUUAAAAUUAUUAUUUAAUAUUUUAUAGAAUGAAAAUUUGUUUUAAAACUUAAAAUGUCCUUGACACAUUGGGUAUGCUUUUAAAUAUGUUUUAAAAAUAUUUUUUAUUUAAUUAUUUUUAUAAAAUAAUUUUAAAAAAUUUUAAAAUGUUCUUUAAAAAUUUAUUAUUUUUUACUUUUAAAAAACAAAAAAAAUAUUUUUUGUUUCUAUUUGUUUUAUUUUGGGAAUUACACUAUUUUGAAGAACUAAUGCCAAGUUAUGAUGGCUCAAUACCUGGCAACUGAUUUUUUCCUGAAAAGAAAGCAAAUAAAAUAUGGAAAGACCUUGCCAACAAAUGCAUUUGGGCUAUCACUCUACAAUUAUUAUAUGACUACCAUCUUGCCACUUGCUAGCGACCAUCUUACCACUUGCUAGCAACCAUCUUACCACCAACCUUCUUGUUGCUGUCACCACCACUACUCUAACUCAAGAACUGCGAACAACACUUUAAUUGGUCGCUAGGCUCAUGUCAAGUAACACAAUGUUGGGGGAUGGUGUAGUGUGUACUUUAGGUUUGUUAGUUAGUUGUAGCUUGUUGGAAGUUAUUUCAGUAAGAGUUAUUAAUAUAUUUAAUUACUAUAUUAGAAUUAUAUAUUUAGUUAUUAUAUUAUAAUUUUUUUUAGAAGUAAGGGUAAAUUAGUCUUUAUUUUCUUUUGUUAGGAAUAGUGUUAAUACCCUUUUUCAAGAGAAUUUAUAAUGAGAAAUUCUAAAUUUUUUUUCUCUUUCUUUUUCUCUUUGAAUAUUUUUUUUUCUAUUUCAACAUGGUAUCAAAGCUUAGUUUAGUGGGAGACAUGUUGGGAACUUUGAUGAAACUAAGAACAAUAACACAACAAGCUGGAUUGAAUGACACAUUUUAUUAACAAUAACUUUGGCUUAAAUAGCCAUUAAAUAUAGAUCUAAACAGAAAAAGAGAAAACAAAGGAGAUAAAGAUAAAGCUAAGUAACAGAAACUUGGAACAAUUCAAAUAUCCCUAAAGACUAGGACUUUCCUUAUAGAUCGGAAUAUUAUUCUAACAAAACAACUGCAGUAAAACUCCUUCAUUUCCUCCCUUAAACUAAAUGCUGUGAAGCAAUUAGUUUAUACCAAAAAUUUCACAUACUCUCAGCAGCUUUCAAAACUUCUGAAAAACUUCAAGCUUCAAUGGUUUGGUCAUUAUGUCCGCCACUUGAUCCUGACUCCCAUAAUGAACUAAUUCAAUUGUACCCUCUUUAGCAAGAUUCCUUAAGAAAUGAAACCUCACGUCAAUAUGCUUGCUGCGACCAUGCAUAAUUGGAUUUUUAGACAACUUGAUGGUUGAACUGUUGUCACACAUCACAGUAGUACAACCUUCAUUAGGAUGUCCCAGCUCUUUUAAAAUUCUCUUCAUCCAGACUCCUUGACAAGCACAGACUGCAACUGCCACAAACUCAACUUCUAUGGUUGAUAAAGUCACAAUAGGCUGUUUUUUUUAACACCAUGAAAUAGCACUUGAAUUCAUUAAGAACACAUAACCAGAGGUACUCUUCCUAUCUUCCAUAUUUCCAGCAUAAUCGCUAUCCGUAAACGCCAACAACUCACCAUCUCCUCCUUUCUUAUAAUAAAUUCCAUAGUUCACAGUCCCUUUUAAGUAUUGAAGUGCUCUCUUAGCUGCCUGUAGAUGAAUCUCCAUUGGUUUUGCCAUAUAUCUACUUAUGAGGCAAGUAACAAACAUUAUGUUAAGUCUCGUGGCAGUGAGAUACAUUAAACUACCCACCGGUUGCUUGUGGUACGUCUCAUCAACAAAGUCUCCAUUUUUGUCUCUGCUUAUUUUGAAACCGAGAACUAUUGGACUGCCCACCAAGUUACUUUCCAUCAUACCAAACCUUCUCAAAACCUCCAGUGCAUAUUUCCUUUGGCAUAUAUAAAUACCAUCAGACUUUUGUAGCACCUCGAUCCCAAGAAAAAACCUCAUCUUCCCCAAAUCAAACAUAUCAAACUCUCUUAACAUAAAGCUUUUAAAUUCAGACAUCAUAACUUCAUCAUUACCAGUAAAAAUUAAAUCAUCAACUUACACUUACAAUGAUAAUUUUUCCUUCUCUACUUCUCUUUGUGAAUAAUGUCUGCUCGCUAUCGCACCUCCGAAAUCCUUCACCAAUGAAAUGUGCUUCGAUUCGACUAAACCAAGCUUGUGGAGCUUGUUUUAAUCCAUACAGGGCUUUGUGUAGCUUGUAAACUAGAUGCUCACUACCCUUUUUUUCAUAUCCUCUUGGUUGUUCCACAUAAACAUCUUCACUCAGCUCACCAUGAAGAAAAGCCGACUUGACAUCCAACUGAAAAAUCGUCCAAUUCUUCUGUGCGACUAGAGCAAUAAUCAUCCUUAUUGUAUCCAUCCUUGCCACUGGUGCAAAAACUUCUGUGUAGUCCACUCCAUACUU